GUUUUAGAGGUAAAACUCUGAUGAGAAGAGAAUCUCAAAGGAUUUCUACAGUUUAUAUAUUGGUUCUGGUAAAUAUGAACUUUAUCAAGUUGGAGAUUUUCUCAAAACCGUUCAUCUUAUUACCUUAAUUUCAUAUUCUAUACAUAAGCAAUUGAGUCAUUUUUAUGUUACUAUUUUUAGGUUCAUGCAUUCCUUUAAAAGGAAAAGUUCAUGCACUAUACUGUUGAGUUUUAACUGUAUAAUUUUCAUAAUACUCUCGAUAGCAUAAUAUAAAAGUUUCUAUAUUAUUUAAGCCAUUUGAUUUCUCUGGCAUGAUAAUGAUAAAUUUAUCAACAUACAGGUAAGUUGUGACGUGGUAAUAUUAUAAUCAUUUUCAACGUAAAAGAAUACAUAUAAGCUGAAAGUGCAUCAACUUGAUUCAAAUGAUUAGGCAGGUAAUUUGAGCUUUUGGAAUGAAUCAUAUUAACUAACAGAUUCUUGGGUGUUUAAAAAAAUGGCGAAAAAUUCCUAGGAACUUGGGAACAAGAAAAAAUGGCGUUUAGCCUGGAACAGACAGAAUCUGAAUGUCAUUGAAUCAUAGCCGAGGAGCAUUAUAUAUUAUGAUUCAGUUUCUUGGGCGGCUUUUGACAUAGUACUGAAUCCACCCCGGCCCUUGAUUCUAAUUAACAUGGAUGUGGAGAAUCGCUUAGCUUUUCAACCUCCUUUUAGCCUCUCAUUUAUUCUUUACGAGUAACGAUAUAGAUGGCUUAUAUUCUAACCUUUAUUCCAAAAUCGAUUACUAAAAUCAGCGAGAUUCACAUGCAAAUCAAUACAAAUAAUUCCAAUUGUUAAAUAAUUAAUCGUUCAACUUUUACUGCUGGUUAGCCAACUAUGCAGUAUACUUCCUCUAAGCCUUCGUUGUUUUUGUUUUUUUGAUAAAAUCCUUGCGGAAUGGUAAUAGUAUUCUUUCGAGUGUUUACCCUGCUUUUAAAAGUAUUUCAGCCUUUGUACUUUUGAGGGACAGUGACAAGAUAUGGUAAUUGGUUGUUUACUUAAAACGCUUCUCAUUUGAUGAACUUCGGAAAUACAGCUACAAGGAAACGUAAAUAUUAAAUUAAUUGUACAAGACAAAAUUGAAAAUUUAACUAGUUUUAUGGGUAGAGCCUAUAAAUUUGCCUUUGUACAAUGGAAUCGCCUUCAAACUUAAUCCAAAUAAAACUACACAAGUGAAGGAAAUGGAGAUCACAGGCAACGGUAAAAUGGAAUUUGAUUAUGAUCGCAGGGGAGAGCUCAAAGCUUUUGAUGACACAAAACUAGGUGUCCAAGGGCUUGUGCAGGCUGGUGUAGCAAAUAUCCCUAGGAUGUUCAUUCGAUCACCCGAUGAGCUUUCGGAGGAGCUCCAUCAUUCCUCAACCACACACAUUGGUCUACCGGUUAUUGAUCUUGGUAGCCUUUCCACCGAUGGACGCCGGAAGAUUGUUGAUCAAUUCCGGAGUGCAUCGGAGGAGUGGGGAUUUUUUCAAGUGAUAAAUCAUGGGAUACCCUCAGGUGUACUAAAUAACAUGAUAAAUGCUGUAAGAAAAUUUAAUGAGCUGGAUAUUGAUGUCAAGAAAGAGUUUUAUUCACGCGAUACGAGCAAAAGAGUGAGAUUCAACAGCAACCAUGAUCUGUUUCAAUCUCAAAGAGCUGACUGGAGAGACACAUUUUCUGUUUCCUUGCUUAGAUCAGACCAUCUUGACCCGGCAGAGUUGCCUGCCAUAUGCAGGUCGUAUUCUUGUGCAUUCAUAAUUUCAUAUAAUUGACAUUAUUAUUUAUUGUUAUUAUUUCGUUUGCAUUUACAGAGAUGAAGCUGUGGAGUUCAUAGAUCAAAUUGGAAAAAUUGCAGACACGCUUUUCGAAUUACUGUCGGAAGCUCUUGGUCUGAAACCCGACCACCUGAAAUCUAUAGAGUGUAACAAAGGUCGAUCUCUUGUAUGUCACUAUUAUCCAGCAUGUCCUGAACCAGAAUUGGCCAUGGGAGUUACCCAGCACACUGAUAACACAUUCCUGACGGUUCUUGUAGAAGAUGAGACAGGAGGUCUCCAAGUGCUUCACGACAACCACUGGAUUGAUGUUCAACCUAUUGCAGGAGGCUUAGUAGUAAACAUCGGAGACCUUCUCCAAGUACAUAUAUAUUUCUGCCCUUUGCUCUUAACUAUUUAUACCAAUAAUUCUCGUAUUAUCCAUUUUGGAUCUGAUUAAUGAUACCUUAUAAAUUUGGAUUAGAUUGUAUCGAAUGACAAGUUCAAGAGCAAUGUGCACAGAGUGGUUCCUAGUCGCCUUCCAAGAAUUUCAGCGAUAGGAUUUUUCGCAGGACGUGUUGCUCCACCAGCAAGGCUCUAUGGUCCAAUCAAAGAACUGCUAUCGGAAGAAAAUCCACCAAAAUAUAAGGAGGUCCUAGUCAGUGAAUACGUUGCAAGAUUCUUCAACAAAAGACUCCAUGAGAAGCCAAGCCUUGAAGAUUAUAGACUCUAAAGCUGCCAAUUGUAGUAACCAGCAGGGAAUAAAACUCUACAGUGACACUAAUAAAAGUGAGCUGUAGAUGGAGGAACGCCAUGCAUCCAUAUAUCAUUUCAUGCUGUAGCGACACGGACCCAUGAAGUGUUGCAAUUAAUUAAUGAAGGAUUUGUGAUUUAUGGGUUUUUCUAAUUAAAAACCUGCGUAAAUUAAUAAUAUUUUGCAUUUCCACUGCAUCCUAAUUGACGUAUUUACUGGGUACUUUGAAUUAUAAAAAAAAAAAAAAGAAAAAAAAGAAAAGGGAGAAACCACCAAAUUAAUGAUGGGUCUUGGGGCACUGUUUGACAGGGACCUACAAAUAGAAGAUGCUUUGUGGUGAGCAAAAAGAAUUAGAUGCGUAAAGAGAAAGGAAUUUGGGCAAAAUCCCAAUUGGUGGUGGUGGGCAAUAAGGGAGGGAUUCCACCCUAACUGGACAAAUUAGAUUAUCUAUCAGCAUCACACUCUUACAUCAUCAACAGUGGUCUUUUUCGCAUUUUCAACUGUAUUCCAUUUCUAGGUGGUUGUCCUUGUCCAAACCAUUGCAUUUUUCUGUGAGAUAAGGAACCCAUACGCCAUUCAUAUGGCUUAUGAUUACAUCGUUGAAUCUUUGCUAAAAAACUUCAACUCAAAUUGAAGGAAACAAAUUCGGUGUUAUUAGACCCUUUUGAAUUAUAAAAUUGAUAAAAUUUUAGAUUAAAGAUUUUAAUUAAAAAUUUAAUCAUAAACCUUGAAAGAAAUUAUAAUUCAUGUCAAAAGUUGAUUCUGAUCACUUAUUCAAAUAAAUCAACAUUUUGCCAAUAUUGUUCUCAUUAAGUUAUAAUCAAAAGGAAGUAAUUAUAUAGAUUUUUUUUUUUAAUUAAUAGUAUGAAUAUGGAUUAAAAUUUAGGGAGAUUACUGAAAUUCAACUAAAACUAUCGAUGAAAAGGAAAAAGAAUCAAUGAAAACAUAAAGGAAUUACUAAUAUUAUAGUUCAAUUUCAAUUUUUAAAAUUUCGUGGGAUUCAAUUUUGUGUAUUUGGUUUGAAGAAAAAUUAAAAUGGAAUUGAUUAUAAUUAAAAUCAAUUCAUUUAAAUUUUAUUAGAAUUUGAAAUGAAUUUCAAAAAACUUAUCUAACAAUAUUUUGUGAAUUAAAGUGUCCUUAAAAAUUUUUAUUUUCAAUUAUCAUUUAUUUUACUAAUUAAUUAAAUAAAUUAUUGAAAAUUAAUAAAUUAUUAAAAAUAUUAAUAAUUACAAAAUAAAUCAUUAAAAAAUAUUUUAAUAAAUAAUUAUAUUUUUUAUAUUAUUAUAUAAAUAUUAAAUAAAAGUAAUAGAUACUACUAAACAAUCACACAACUGUCUAUCUUAACCAUUCACUUUCUUAAAUUAGUUGAAUGGAAUGAAAACUUUCUUAUACACACAAAUAUAAUUCCCAUAUUAUUUAUUUUGAUUUUAUCAAUAUAUUUUUAGAAGAUUCACAUUAUUAUUAUUAUUAUUAUUAUUAUUAUUAUUAUUAUUAUUAUUAUUAUUAUUAUUAUUAUUAUUAUUAUUAUUAUUAUUAUUGCUAAUUUAAAAAUUUAGAGUAAAUAAAUUUUAAUUUUGAAAUUAAAUAAUUAUAUGAAGUUCAAUUAAAUUUUUAUAUCAAAUCAAAUAGCGCUUGUUUAAUAUAUAUUUUUUCUAAGAAAAAAAUUGAAUUCUAUUAAUAGAAUUCAAUUCAUUGAUAAAAGAAUUUAUUUAUUUGGAAUAAUUUAAAUAUAAUAAAAUUUAAUUGAAUUCUUUUAUAUUAAAUAAACUAAUAAUAAAUUUAAAUUUAUUUUAUUUUAUUAUUUUUAAAUUAAAUAUAAAUAUUUUUUAUCAGUCAUUGAAAAAUCAUUAUUAAUAUUUUUAUAAAAUUUAAAUUUAAAUUUUACUAUGAUUAUUUUUUUAAAUUAACAAAAUAAUAUAAUAAAUUUUUUAAUAUUAAUAUUUAAUAUUAAAUUAAAAUAAUUUUUUAAAAAGUAAUUAUUAAUUAAAAAAUAAAAAAUAAAAUUAAAAAAAAAAGAAAAACUAAUUAAGUAAUCUUAAUGUAAAUAACUUUAAGUAAAAUUAUUUUUUGUAAAAUUCUAACAAUGUAAGAUUUAUUUUUAGUUUAAAAUCAAUUCUUACAAGAAUUUAAGAAAUUGAAUUCUUAAAUUAUUAGUUUUGCUAAACACAAAAAUUUAGAAAAAAAAAAUAUAUUUUUUUAAAUUUUUUCAAAAUUAGACAUUCCAAAUAAGGAAAUAGUUAUUUGGAAUAGUGAAAUUCAUUUGAAAUGAAUUCUAUUUAUAAUUCAAUUGAAUUCCACAUAAUUUUUUAAUUAUAAAAUUAAAUCAAAUACUAAGUAAGUUGUGGCAUAAAAGCAUCAUCAAAUCUAUCUAUUUUUUUAUUCAUAAAAUUUCAUUUGAAAUUCAAUUGAAUUUUACAUAAUUCUAAUUAUAGAAUUAAAUAAAAUAUUAUAUAAGUCAGUGGCAUAAGAGCAUCAUGAAUUCUAUUUAUUUUUUUUAUUUAUAAAGAAUUAUAAAAAUUAAAAAAAUACCAAUAAAAAUCAUUAAUCUUUAAUAUCAAAUAUUUUUUUAAAUUUCCAUACGUUUUUGCUGUUUCAUGUAUUUUAUUUUUUAAGAAAUUGUGUUAAAUAAUUAAAUUUAUUUUUCAAAAUUUAAAUUUAAUUUUUUAUUAUUAUUAUUUAAAAUAUUGACCACGCACAUCGGCAAACUCCGGCUGAAGAUAAUUUCAGGAUUCAACAACAUUUUUGUUUUUUGAAAGUAGGAUUCAUCCACUAAUUAAUUUACUUAAUGUCAAUUUUAAUUGUAAAAAUGAAUUGUAUAACUAAUUAAGUUUCGAUGCGAAAAAUGGCUGAACUUUUCCGGUCCAGGUAAUGUAUGGCAGAUCCGCUCGCGCAAGUUGACGGCUCAUACUUCUCUGGAUAUUGCGUGCCGGUGUUUCUCAAUCAUUUUCUUUUCUAUUUUAAUUUUACAUUAUGCUUUCAGUGUCUCUCAACAGUUCGCUUUGUUUAACUGUCCCCAUUUUUAUAAUCAUCUCUUCCUUCAACCUUUUUCAUGUCCUCUCUCUCCCUCUCUUUCACGCCAUUUUUUUCUUUGCUCACAAUUUUCUACAUGCCCAGAUACAAUAUUUUCCCCCUAAAUUGUUAAUUUUUCUGGGAAUGUUUUUCUUGCAUCUAAUCUCAGUAAAGAUCGGUAUUCGGAGUUGAAAGGUUUGUACUUUUCUGUUUCUGGGUGAUUUUAGGGAGAUGGGUACUUUCAUUGAUCAAUUAAGAAGCUGAAAAUUCUGCUGGCUUUGGUGGUGGCCCCAAAAGAAACGAAAAAAUGAAGGAUUUUGCUGGGACACCAGGGACAUUGACUGCUCUUGUUCUGAGGAUUUCACAAUGCAUUUUUGCAGCUGGCUCAAUUGCGGCCAUGGCCACCACGUCCACCUUCUUCAAUUUCACUGCUUUCUGGUAUUAUUUUAUCUAGCCCAUCUUUACAUAGCUUUAUCAAUAUUCCUCUGCAAUGUUUUAAGCUACUUUGGAAUUCAGCUGUCCUCCAUUAGUUACGGAUCAUCUGAAUCGAACUUUGGCAUUUCAAACUUAAAAGUUUUUAACUACUAAAAUAAAAUAUUUGAUUAGAAAAAAAUGACUUAAGCAAUUUGCAGUAAUUUAGGCUUCUGGGUUUCAACAACCAUUCGAGCAUGAUUUAAGAUGCAUGAUUAUUGCGCUGACUAUGUUUUAUUCCAAAAGUAAAGUCAUGGCUAAGGAAUUAGCUUCAUUUCUAAGGAAAUUUUGAUAUUUCUUGGGGGAAAAAGAAAUUAUGAAUCGAUUAUUAACUGGAACUUUUAGCAGUGACUCUGAUCUAUAAGACCUGUUAGUGACCAGAUCAUUUACUGUGUAUCUCAUUACUGUUAGUGACCAGACCUGGGUGUCUUAAUGUGCUUAAUUUCUUAUUAAAAUUAUUGCGCUUCCAAAUUCUUUGGCAUUGUACUUGGGACUGCUUCUUUGAUGAAUAUGGGUGUAAUUCUCCUAAACAAAAGAAAAGAAAAGGAGAAAAAAGACGCAGCUUGUUUACUUGUAGCAACAACACCCAUGAUGAUGUUGUUUUGUGGGCAUCUAGUGUUUGUGUGACCUUGUAGGAAUGAUGUUUUUUUGGAGAACAAACUAACGCCAAUGUGCUCCUUUCAGUGAACUACGAAAAAUUUAACAUGAAAUUUCUACAGACUAUAUUGUGUUAGGCACUUUAUUUUUUGUGAGUGUGACUUUAGACCUCCUAUAAAAAAUUUAUGUCUUUCGCAAGCUGAGUCCUUUAAUUCUUGAUGUGAUACAUAUCUGACUACUCCAGCAUUAGUAACGUUGAAUGCAAAAUGCUGCAUUUGAUCAUUUAAAUGCAUCUGCAGUUUGUUUCUAUGAUAAUUUAGUCUUGUUUUCAAUUUACAGAAUAACAGUCAACGCCAGUUCUCAUAUGUGUAAUGCACGGGUGAUGACAAAAAUAAUAAUAAUAAUAAUAAAUAAAUUUCAAUGCAGGAAGUGCUAAUCUCACAGGAUUUAAAGUUUUCAUGUGCUAAUUUCACAUGAACUUAAUGAAAUUGUAUUUCAUGUUGAUGGUCUUCAUCUUAUCUUGUUAACUGGAUCAUAUUUUGGCUUGGGCCAUUCUGCAGUGGAAAAAAAUGAAGUUAAACUGUAUGUCAUAAUUCUGCACUCCAUUAAAAUCACUGCACAAAUGAGCAUCUUCAUGAAGAAAAGUGUUAACACAUAGAUUAUAAGUUUAUCAGAUGAUCAGUACUCCACCGUUGCUAAACUUGUUACCAGUUAUAUACUAUUCUUAUUCAUGUUUUCAUACCUGAUAUCUCAUAGAACACAGGUUUUUCUUGCAGCUACCAUUUUCUUGUUAACUGUAGUUAGUAUUCUUGAGCAUGACCUACCAAAUGCUGAAUCGUGUUUCGGUUAGGACCAUUGUGCAUAAAAAAAAAAACUGUAUGUCAUAAUUCUGUCCUUCAUUAAAAUCACUGCACAAAGGAGCAUCUUUGGCAAGGAAAGUUCUAACUCAAUCAGUAUUGAACUCAUUACUAGUUACACCAUUCUUAUUCUAGUUUUCAUACCUGUCAUAACUCAUAGAACGUGAAGGCCUAAGGUAGAUUUUUUUUUUUAAUUUUCUCUUUGCAGCUACCUUGUAGCUUCAAUGGGUUUGCAAGUCAUAUGGAGCUUUGGACUUGCAUUAUUAGAUGCAUAUUCCUUGGUCCAAAGGAAGGUUCUCAACAAUUCUAUUUUGGUCAGCCUUUUCGUAGUGGGAGAUUGGGUCAGCCUCCAUAAAAUCUGCUAUGUUAUCAGAUCAUUUUUAGGUCACUAUAUCAGAAAGAGUUGUGUGUUAAUAUUAUUAUGAUUUUAACAGGUAACAGCAACGUUGUCUCUUGCAGCAGCUUCUGCCUCUGCAGGCAUCACAGUGCUCCUGUUUCAAGAUGUGGAACACUGUAGUUAUUUGAAGGAAUGUGAAAAGUACCAAAUAUCAGUUGCAUUGGCCUUUUUGAGCUGGGGAGCUAUUGCAAUAUCAUCUCUAAUUAUGCUAUGGCUACUGGCUGCAGGUUAGACUAUUUGGUCUAAUGGCCUUGAUAUAGAAAUUUUCAUCAUUCUCCAGUGUCAAUACCAAAAAAAAAAAAGGAAAAACAGUAUUCAAAUUGGUUUACACUUUUUCCUAUUUAGUAAAAGCUAAUUAUAUCCAUUUCAUGAUACUCCCAUAACAUUAUAACAUGCGUCUGGAACUGUGGAUAUGCUUAAAUGAAAAGGACUGAGCACAUUUCUUUUUCCUCUCACUUUCCACCUUCCCAAAAAAAGAAGGAAAAAAAGAAAGGCAAGUGUUAAACUGGUGUGAAGCAUAAUUCUAUUAAUCCAUGAUUGACAAACCUCGCUCACAAAAGGAAGCUAAGCGCGAAGUAGGAUGGGCAUCAGAUUCACAGGCGAGCAGCCGAGCACCUACUUGCAAUUGAAAAUAAAUUCAGAAAAAUAAAAUGAAAUGAAUCUUAUGAAUUAAAUAAUGGAGUCUGAUUUCACUAAUUCAACCGUUGGUGGCUACUGAUAAAAUAGUAAAGGUUCCAUGAGAAUCCAAUCCAUGAGAAUCCAAAUUAAAUGUUAUUUUAACAUUACUAUCUAUAUAAUAUUCUGACAUCCAUUUGCAAUGGAAUCAUUCGCUGUAAUGCAACCUGCAGUCUCGGAUGUUAUAGGACAUGAAUAAAGCGCAAAGAUUAUCCGCUUCACUCACCGUUUGCCGACGCUUCUCACGUAUAAGUCCAUCUUGUCUUCUUGAACUGAACUUGUCACUUGCCGCAUACCAUGAACAUCUAAAUCUUAUGAGCUGAAGUGUGGACUUGAUUUAUGAACUAUUAUGAGCUGUGAUACCAUGUAGGAAAAUUUUUUAUGAGCUCAAGCGUGGACUUGAUUUAUAUUGGGCUAGCUUCUUGUUAAAAUGGCCUGGCCUAUUUUAAGUUUACUAGGCCUCCAUAACUUCUGAUUUUUUAUAUCAUUUCCCGAUGUGCAUCUUUCAUUUCCAGCACCUUUUCUCUUGCCUUCACUCUCUGCUUCCAAACAAGAGUUCUAAAAGAACACAGGUCUAAAUCGACGUGUCUGUUGGAUGAUACUAGAUGGCUUUUCUCUGUUCAAUUAAACUAACAUAUGUGUUCAUGUAUUCACAGAAUAUUAUUGAUUAAUCUAGUGACUGAUGCAUUUAAGAGACAGUUUAAUAUUAUUUUUCUUUCAUAUCUUUGCCCAAACAUUAAUCAUGAAACUAUCGAUAUAUCAAAGAGAGUUUGACCAAGAACAUGGUGCUGACAACAACAUGCCGCAAGAAAGAAUUAAAACCCAACUCAUCCAUAUUUUCUUCCAUUAGUGCUAGUUUCUCCUAUGUGAAGAAGGGAAAGAGAGAAGAAUAAUGAAAUGGCUUUGAAAGCAUUCAACAUCGACGACCUUUACAGCAGGUUCAAGCCACAAUUGCUCAUUGUUCUUGCACAAAUUGGCUAUGCUUUUCUUUACUUCAUCACUGAAGCUUCCUUCGAACAUGGGAUGAAUUCCUCAUGUCUACGUACAUCACUUACCGACACAUUGUGGCUGGUGUAGCGAUGCUCCCUUUUGCGUACUAUCUUGAAAAGUAAUAAUUAAUAUGAUAUUGCUGAUGCUGUGUUCAGUUUUCACCUCCUACAAAUUUUAUUCUUCUCGAAGUUCUGUAUGCAAAUGCCUAUAUGAUCUCUUUCUUUCUCCUGCAGAAAACAAAGACCAAAGUUGACGAUACCUCUUUUUGUUGAGAUAUUCGUUCUUUCUUUCCUGGGGUAAUUAAGGACAUAUGUUACAUGUACAUACAUACAUAUACUUAACAUCUCACCUAGAUAAUGUAGCGUGUUCUGACAAUGGCAGGGUUGGUUUGACACUGAACAUGUAUUUUGCAAGCCUGAGAUACACCUCUCCGACUUUUCUUGCAUCAAUGGUGAAUACGAUAGCUUCUUUGACCUUCAUAAUCGCAGUUGCAUCAAGGUAUUAAUUAACAUCCAUACUUUCAACUCAUAAUAUGCGGAACUAUAUAUAUAUAUGCAUUCAACUACAGUUAUUUAGUUUAUUAUUCAUUCAGGUUGGAAGACCUUGAUCUUGGAAAUCCUCGUGGAAUAGCAAAAGUUCUUGGAACUUAAGUUUUCUUGGCUGGUGCAAUGACUAUGACAUUAUAUAAGGGUCCUAUCAUGCAUAAUCUUUGGCAUCCACUUAUCGAUAUUCAUCGAAAGGCUGGUAACAGCCAUGAGAGCUGGUUAAAGGGUUCGAUACUUGACUGUUGCAAGCUGCAUAUCAUGGUAUAUUAUGCAUGUUCAACUCUAGACUGCACCCAUAAGUUUUAUUUUAGUUAUCAGCACCUGCUCCUACUAAGCAGAAAAAUAAAAUCAUAACUCGAUUAGCAGCUUGUUAAUUCAUAUUAAAAAUUCAGGCACUCACCCUGAAAAGGUAACCUGCUCAACUAUCGCUGGCCACAUAGAUGAGCUUUAUGGGGGCCGCACAAUCUGCUUUCUUCGAAGUGGUUGUAGAACAUAGAAAAAGUGCUUGGACAAUUGGAUUCGAUAUUGAUUUUUGGUCCACUUUGUAAGGAGCAAGUCAGGAUUCAUAGCCACUGUCUUUAUGUUGGAUUCUUGCUGAGUACGUAUUAAUUCUUAACUGGAAUCAUAAAUGGCAGGGAGUGGUCUCUGGUUUAGUAGUUUUCAUUCAGCUAUGGUGCACAGAAGUAAAAGGACCAGUUUUUGUGACCAUGUUCAACCCCACUUCAACAACAUUAGUGGCAAUUUUGGCAUAUUUUGUUCUUGGCGAAAAACUAUACCUGGGCAGGUAAUUUAAAAUAAACAUCAUUAAAUACACUUGCGAGCUUAUCAACAAGAAACUAAAAUGUUCAAAAUGUUUGUACUUAUUGCUUGUACAGCAUACUGGGUGCUGUUGCGGUUAUCAUUGGCUUAUACUUGCUGUUAUGAGGGCAAAAGAUGAUCAACGAAUUCAUAGCAAAACACCAGAUCAAUCUCAUUCCUGUAAUGAAGAGCAGGAGGAGGCCAAGAUGCAGUCAAUUCAGUUGAGAGUAAAAUAAAAGCAGGCGAACCUUGAUGUCCUUUGAGAGAUGAAAAGAAAAAAUUGAUGUCCAAUUCAUACCAUGCACAUUCUUUCGAGUUACAAGAAAAUAUACCCAACAGCUUAAUAUAUCUCAUAUUGACAAUUCCAGAUGGCUGCAUUCAAAGAUCUGGCACAGAAGAUAUCAGCUUGAAUAAUUCCAUAUUAUAGAAAUGUGAAUUUAUUCUAGAUCAACAAUUGACAAUUGAUAUUAAAUAAUUCUUUUAAGAAAAUAAUUGUCAUCUAACUACAUGUCUUGUAAAUCCCCAACAAUGCAUUGGUCAAAACCAUUUGGCAAAAAACUGGUUAUAUUUACAACUCAACUGACUGAAAUCGUUGGACGACUCUAAAAGAAAGCAUCUAAUUGUUGACAGGAUAUUAAUUAGACAGGAGGAGAGUCAGAAAGAGAAAGAAUGAAGGAUAAAGAAAAAAUUAUGCAGCAGGGGGCCAGUACUCAUGGUCACGGGAUAUAUCACGGGAAGCUAGAGGUAAUUGCCACAUCGGCAUCAGACCAUAGCCUGGAAAAACUGCCAUCUUGUUCACUCCAGCAUGAUAAGCUGCUGGAUGGGCCGGCAUGAAUCCAGAAGGUGGAACUGCAAUAACCUUCAAUUGUUGUUCCAUCCUUUCUUUAUCUGCCUUUAGUGUGAGUUUCUCCUCACGAAGCUCAUUCUUCUCAGCCUGUUGCAGAGCCACAAAGUUUAGAAAGCUAGUUCUCAUAAAAAUGAAAAAUGACCUACCUGAGUGUAAUCUCACCCAUGGUAACCACACCAAGGCAUCAACCACAUUGAACAAAAUGAUAAUGAUUUACAAAGUCUAAUGAAUUCAUCAUAUGUACAUACAGCCCAAAAUAAAAUAAUAACAAUAAUAAAUAAAACAAGUGCUUAAGAACACUGCUUGUGCUUCAAUAUGCUUUGGAAAUAACUACCUUCAGACUUUUAAUUUCUUCUUGUAGCUUUUCAUUUGUUUCUUUGAGCUCCUGAGCUUCAGUUUUCAAUUGAUUUAAAACUCUAACAGCAUCAUCAAGUAUGGCUGGUUUGUCUAUUCUGGCAGGUCUUCCAGGCUCCAAAACAGAACUCAAAUCCUGAAACCUGCAAGCAUGGUAAACCAUCCUUAUGUCUAAAAGGAAAGAGGCAAAGUUGAGGCCAACUCUCCAGCAGCAUAUCAGUAGUAUCCUACAAAUUUGCAAGCAUGAAAUUAUUUUACCUUGUAAAAAACUAACCUACUCUAGAUAUCUAAAAUAAAUUAUGUUUCAGUAUUAAUUGCAUUCACUUGUGUGCUUUAGCAAACAAAACCAUCAUACAAAGAAAGAAUCUGAUCCAACAAGAAGCGUGCCUGUCAUUUAAUUUCUCUCUCCGCAACUUCUCACGGCAAGCUUUGGUCCUUGACUUGCUGCAAGAAUCACUGCGUCCCCUGGGCAGUAUCAGCAGAAGAAUUAUUAUGAAAACCUCAAAACAAAUUGAUUGACGGAAAAGAAAAGAUUAUGGAAAAUUAUACUAGCUCAUUUGCUAACAAAGGAACCCAAAUGAACCAGAGAUUAGCUGAUUCCUUUUCUGUUUUGGGCAUCAUUAUAGCAGUACUCCUUCUGUUAUUCCUUUCUUUGGCUUAUAUAUUCUGAAGUAUGGAAUACUGACUGGUUAUCUAAUUAGCAAAUCUCUGAAAGUUGAGUUUGUUAUUUUCCAAUUCAUUUUCCGUGUAUGAAGCUACUACUACUACUAGCGACGGCCUUUUUACCCUUACUCUUUUUUCAAAUUACUAGGAACAAAAUUUUAACAAAUCUUAUUUGCAACAUUUCAAAAGUGUGAUUCAGUUGUGAGACAAUCUUUUGAAAGUUUACUGCCAAAAACAGGAAAUUAAAAAUCACAUACAACAAGUAGCCUUGGGAUUCAUCAUGUACAAGUAGCCACUCCAUUGAGAACACCUUAAUUAAGCUGCUCCAAAAACCUCACUCUAAAUUCUUCAAAAUAUUGUGUUGUUCAACAAAACAGGACGAGAAGUUCAUGAAUUAAAAUAAAACAAAAAAAUGAACAGCCGUAACGCGGUCCAAACAAUAUUAGGAUCAUCGAAACAAGAAAUGACAAAGGAAUAUGCAAAUGAAAAUAAUACCUCUUUCUUGUGCAUGGUUUAUCUUGCGAUACAGCACCACCAGAUGAAAAAUCAACAUCCAGGCCACCACUGCAAAUAGUAAUGAUCAAAUAUUAAAUAAAUAAAUAACCAAAAUCACCCGGCCAACGCACAAGGGAAAAAUCUCAUAUAUCUAUGGACAAGCUUAUCAUAUAUUAAAAAUGUCUCAACUUUCUAAUGCUUCUGCGGUUUCUUCUUCAAAUUAUGUGAAAUAAAAAAAUGCAUUGAAUCUAGUAAAGGAAAAUUAUCGCGCAAAAGACAAUUACGAUUGACCAAUUUAUGAGGAACAAAAAUUAAAGAUAAACAAAAACACCCAAGCCAAUUUCAUGAUUGAGGUGUAAAACAAAGCCCUAAUGAAAAGUUAAAAAUAAAAAUUAAGAGAAUUGAAAUACCUUUGAUUAUUAGGCCACAAGAAAUCAGAAGACGUCGUUGUUUCCUCGAUGAAGUUAUAAUCAAGAAAAUCCCAGCAAGAAUUAUCCUCUAAUGAAUCCAUGUCUUACGGGAGGAAUUUUGGAUUUCGUAUAAAGUAAAUAGAUCAAUUCGAACUAGGGUUUUUUCCCCUCAAAACAAAGAUAAGAUGAAAGCAUAACCCAUUUUUUAGGAAAUUCAUUUUGGGGGUUGACGUCAGGGAAAGUCAUGGUAAAAGAUGUCCAAUAGAUUUAGGCCACGUGGAAGGAGUCAAUCCCUAUUGGGUUGCGUGCCGCCGCGUCGCUUUUCAAGGAACGAAUUUUACUGGUUCACUCACUGGUAGUGCAAAGCAUUGAGUAAAGAGCAGCCCAAUACGGAGUCUAGGGUCCAUCCCGGGCUGCGCCCACCAACCCACAAUCAGACUUUUCCUUUUAUUUAUUAUUAUUAUUAUUUGAUUCUAAUAAUGAAAUCUUUCAAAAUUGAUCAGCCAGUAGCGCCAUGCAAAUUGUAAUCUUUGCUCUCAUAUACAUACAUAUAUACUAUUAAAUGAAACUUGCUUAAUUAAAUAACUUUUUAAAAUUAAUAAAAUAAUAUCAAAUUAUGUCAAAAUUAAUUCUUUUAUUAAAUUUUCAGUAAAUAAUAGAUAUGAUAAAAAUAAAUGAUUAAUUUUAUUAUAAAAAAAAAAAGUAAAUUCAUUUAUCAUGAUAAUAUAUAUACUUUAUUAGUUUCAAAAGUAAGCAGUAUUCGAAUUGAUAAUUUAUAUAUUAUUUAUUAAAUUAAAUUAAAAAUAAAAUAAUCACAAGAAAACACCAAUAAUCUAUCUUAAUCUUCAAUUAACACCAUUUAAUUAGUUAGUUUGACAAUAUUAUUUUGUUGCAAUUUUUGCCUAUUUAAAUGAAAAUGAUAAUUUAAGAAAAGCUAGAUAAAUAACAAUAAGCAAGAAGCUAAAAGGAAAAAAAAAAAAAUUCAUAAUAACCCUUCAAUCUAAAGCCCUACUACCACCGGAUGGGUUUACAAGACACAUUCUAAUAAUCAAGGUUCGAUUUUCCCUCUCCUGAAUAAGUACGGACAAAAAAAAUUCACUUUCCACUGGUCCACAGGAGAGGAAUUAGCUUCUGAAAGAACUUCAUUUUGAAGACGAAGGAUUCAUUGGAUUUAUUGAAAAGAUGGGUUUGCCCAUGGUCCCAUACAUAGAAGCACAUGGCUUAACGUCAUAGAUUCAUCGGAGGGAGGAAGGGAGGGAGGCACUGUUAUUCUAAUAUAUAUAUAUAUAUAUUAUUUUCUCUGCUCAUCAAAUAAAUUAAUAAAAAUGUCAGAACAAGAAACUGAAGAUAUGGGUAAUGUAGUUAUACUGUCAAAGUGAUCAACAACCAAUGUGUGGCCAUUGGCUGUACGCACAUGAAUAUUUCUGCAGCCAGGAACAGAUUAGUUAUAUAUAUUUUUCAUUUAGAAUUGAUGCAUCUUCACUGUCCCUGAGUUGGGGUGUUGGACCCUCCAUAAAUUUUCAAUACUGAAAAUUCAACUAAUCUCUGUGUAGAAUAUAUGAUCAUUUGGAUGCUAGAUUAUUACAAGGUGCCUACAGCCUGGAUGAGGAUGCUUUGUUGUCAUGGGACAAUACAGGAACCAUUACCAACCAUGAACAAACAGUAUGCCUUCCUCCUCCACCAACAUUUUGCGUUAUUCAUACAGCUAUUAUAUUAGUUGAAACCGACUAUUCUCUAACUGUGUUAAAAUCACCAGUAGAGUGGACGCGACAUCUUCCUACCUUUUUUUCCAAAUUUUUUAACAAAAAAAGAACAAAAAGAAAAAUAAAAAAAAGGGUACAGCAACAGCUGAAUUCAUUCAGAAUGGGCACAAGAAAGUGGUGGUUUCAGCCAUCACGAUCACGAUCAUGGCUGUUGUGAACACAUUGGCCCAACAAUCAAAUAAAAUUAGUAUUUGAGAUUUCAAUCGAGUAUCUUUAUGUCACAGAUCCUAUGCCUUUUAAAUAACCACAUCUAAAAUCACUAUAUCUUUGAAAAGAUUAAAAAAAAAUAAAGAAAUUUAAACCUUUUUGGCUUUAUGGCUCCAAAUGAACUGGUAAGACUGCACAUCUGGUUGAUCCUCUGCUGUGACCAAAAGAAAAGAAAGUUCUUCUUGGUUUACUAGUGCUACUACAACCUUCAACAGGACUGACCUCAGUAAUUGCUUGCCUGCUCUGCUGAACAAUCUCCUGAAUUGAUAAAUAUAGCUGCCGAUCUGCUGACGAAUCCAGUGAAAAGGAUCUCCUUAUGGGUUGGAUUGCAAAUUGAUCAUCUUUACCUCUAAUAUCAAUACAUUCAUCUCCCAUGCUGGUUAACUUAUUAAAUUUUCUUGCUUUCUGGUGAAGAGCUGAUCCUCUCUGUUCUAAUUUCCUCCAUGGGGAAGGGCUAAUCGAACUUGCUGAUAACUCUCCUGAAUUCAUCAAUCUUUCCUGUGCCGCAAGCAAGGUUUGAUCUGCGGAAUUAUGGUUACCCAAUUCAAUAACAACAUAAUCUUCAUCUCCACCGACGACAGUUUCGCUGUAAGGAUUUGUAUCUUGUGGGGAAGAGCUUGGAGCUAUAACGUUAUCAAUUGGGAAUCUCGUGGUGGUUGAGAUGCUGUUUCUGCAAAGUGGGCAAUUUGCAUUAUUUUGAAGCCAAACAUCAAUGCAAUCAAUAUGGAAAACAUGGCGACAAUUUGGUAUUAUCCUCAGCUUCUCAUCUUCUUGAAACUCAUUCAAGCAAACUGCACAUUCACAUAAACUUCUUUCUCCAAAGUCUCUACUUUUAUUGCCUCCUUUCUUAAACUUGAAUAUUGGGAUUGACCUUAUCACCGACUCAUCCAGUCCACGAGUCUCCAUUGCGGGAGAGUGGCCCAUUAGAGGAUCGUCGUGAUUUCUGUUUCUUGAUAGAGAGAAUCGUCUUAGAACAUCGACGCGGUGCCAGUUGAGGCAGCAUUUGAUGACAAAUAUGUAAUAGCUAACCAGCAAAAAAGCAGUGGCUAAAAUCCCUAUGAUGGCAAUCGCUAUAAUGGGGAAACUUGUGUCUGAAGAAUGUGAAUGAGUACCAAAGAUUGAGGUACUGGUAGUAGGACUUGUGAUUGGAGGAAGAGACUGUGAACUGUAGAUUUUGCUUACAAGAUCCAUGUAAUGGAGGUUUUAGAUCUUGGACUAAUGUAAAACAACAUACGAUUAUGUCUUGAAACCAAUACGAAAUAUGCAAGAAACAGGAAACUAUUAAUUAAAGAAGAAGAAUAAGAGAAAGAAGUGUAGAGUCAAGAAAGAUGCGAGAACGUGGAGAAGAGAGAAAACCCGAGAGGAAACUCAGGUGGUGUAAAUGGGGGAGGUGUGAAAUGAAGCUUUGAAUUUCAAAGAAAAUGUACUUUUGAAACGUUUCUUUUAUGGAGAGUCAGAGCGAAGACUACGCUAGUUGGUGAAUUUCUCUCGUUUUUAGAAGCCAAAGCUUAUGCAGGCUAAUAUAAAAAUGAAGGGGCUUUGAUAGGUUGGACGGCUCUGCACCACCAUGGUCCAUGUUUCUGAAAAGAAAAUUGGAAGCUUGUCAGGGGAGGGUACUGUCGAGCAUCGACCGCGACAACCACCCAUUAUGCACAUUGUUUUGCUGAUUGAAGAACACUAGAAAAAAAUCCUCAAUGAUUUUACAUUAAUUAAAAUUAUAUCGUGAUCACAAGCCGCAAAGAGAUGACAAUAGUCAGAAAUUAUCAGUUAGUUCCACUUUUAAGUUUAAAAUUCUCAUAAUGCUAUUGUGAUGAACUAAUAAUCAAAUGUAGAUACACAAUUUGAAUUAAACAUGUUAAUGGGAAAAUCAUGGGCAGCAAUGAUUUUUCAUACACUCAUUCGCUCUCAAACAUCAUCAAUUAUAAAGCAAGAAAGUCAGAAUCGGCACAUGCGAGCCACCAUGAACAUGUACAUGACAUUGCCCCCCAUUUAUGCAUACAUCAAAUAUAUCUAAUAUCCUUAAUCAAUAUAAUUUAAAAUGAUAACAGCGUUACUCUCAUUCAAAUCUGUCAUGGAGCUGUGGGUCCAAGAUCAAGAGAGAUAACCUUUUUGUCAAUAAAGGACCAAUAUCACACACAAAAGAAAGUCAAAUAGAAAUCUUAUGGACACAUUACACAAUAAAAAAGAAAAAGCAAAGAGAACCGACACCCUCCUGCUCUAGUCCAUGCUUGCGUGUUGACGAAUUUGAGCCAAGCCAAUACGCUUAGGUUAGAAAAAUAGUAUCCACUUUUAGAAAAGAGUGUGUAUGUGCAUUUUACAGUCAAAGCUAUUGUAGACUCUGGCCUCCACUUCAUCGUUGCCUCUGCCAAAUCAAAAAAACUUUUUCCCAACUUGUUGACAAUAUUCUCUUCCAGAUAAAAAGAGAUAUCAGAGUACAGUACACUUCACGGCUAGGACGUAUGGCUGGCAGUGAGAGUCUUCUUGGUCAAAUCGUCUAUUUGCUCUUAAAUUUUGGUUUUUUAGGUGCAGAUUACUUGUGGGAAAUCUCACUGAUUGCAAAAUGUUACAUGUUUGUUUAUCAAACAUCAUUUUUAUUUGGAUUUACCCUCAAAUUAAUUGAAUAAAAAAUUAAUAAUUUUUUUGAAAAAAAUAAAAAAAGCCCUUCUAGAAAUUGGUUUCCUGCUGUUUAUGAUUCCCAUCAGCUCUUGUAUAUAUGUUAUAUGCUUCCAAAACUAAUAUUAUACAUUUCACCAUCUCUAAUUGGUUGGUCUUCAAGUCAGGAGACUUAUAACUUUACUAUCAUAAAUUAUGAGUCAGACCAAGUCAAAGAAUUGAUGAGAAAUCACAACGCAAUUUUUCUAAAAGAUAUUUGUAAGGAACCAACCUGAAAAUUUAAAUUUAAUUUUUUAAUUUUAAAUUAUUUUAAAUUUAAUUAUUCUAAAAUAUAUACCCCUGAUUUUUAUUUCCUAUUUUAAGUCUCGUAUCUACCUAAUAUUUUAGGAGACAUUGACCUAUCACUAACCCAUUUGGCUAGAACCUCUUCCUUUCUAUGUAGUGCCUCACUUUCCUAUUCCCCCUCGGCCCCUCCUCCCAAAAUUAAAGGGGGAAAACCAGGUUGUGCAUUGGCUGGCACUGUUUUUUUUUAACGUAGACUUAAGUGUCAAUUAUUUUUUUUAUUCCUUUUUCCUAAAAACCAUUAUGGUUGAGCCUUUCCCUGGUUUCUCCCAAUGAAUUAUUUCUCAAAGACAUCAAUUUUAUAUUUAAAAUCCAAUUUUUUUUUUUCCAAAAAAUACUAUGCAGUUUUCACAAAUUUAAUUUUAUAUACCUAUUCAACAUUUAUUACUAUUUAAGAUUUUUCAAAAAUAUAAUAAGUUAAUUAAAUUAUACUCUAAUUCAUCAACUUUUAUUUAUCAUUUUUAUAAAUUUUUUUAUCUAAAAUUAUUUAUUAUUUUAAUCAAAUUAAGAUAUAUUUUCUCUAUCCUAUAAAUUUAUUUUAAGUUAUUCCUUCAUUAUUUAAGUUAAUUUUACAUACUAUUUUUAUUAUUAAGUGAUUUUUUUUUUAUUUAUCUCAUUUCGUUAUUAAUUUAUUUAUAUAAUUAAAAUUAUAUAAAAAUAAAUUUUAAUAUAUUAAAAUAUUUACUUUUUAAAAAAAAAUUCAAAUUUUAAUAAUAAAUAUGUAUUAAAAUAUUAUAUUAUUUUAAUAAUGUUAUUUUUUUAUAAAUUUAUAUAUUACGAGAAAUAAAAUUUUUUAUAAUAAAUAUUAUUGAAAGUCGUGAUAAAUCAUAAAUAAUUUAUAAAUAAUUUAAAUUUAUAAAUAUUGAUGAUGAUAUUAUUAAAAAUAUUUUUUAAUUAAUAAAAAUAAAUGAGAAUAAUUAUAAUUUAAUUAUAACAUUUAUUUAUUUUUUAUAAAAAAUUAUUUUUUAAAUAUAUAUUUAUUUCAUAUUUUUUUAUUUUAUAAUUUUUAUUUAUUUUAAUUUUAAUUUCUCAUAUAUAUUAAGAAAGAUAAUUUAUUAUUGAUUUUUUAAUUAUAUUCAUUUAAAAAUAUUAAAUUUUAUUAAAUUCUAAUAAAUAUUUUAAAUGUUUAUUUAGAAAAAUAAUAAUUAAUAAUAGGUUAAUUUAAAAAUAAUAUAAAAUUAAAUAAAAUUAUAGUAAUUAAUUAUAUAUUACUAUAAUAAAAAAAAUAAAUAAUAAUUUUAAACAAUAAUAAAAAUAAUUAAUAAAAUAAUAUAUUUUAUUUACUUUAAUUAUUUAUUUAAUCAAACUCUGGAAUUAAAUUUUUAUAUCAGUCAAAGUUCUCGAUCUACUUUUUAUUUAAAAAAUAUUAUUUACAGUUAUUCUAUUAUAACUAAUCAAGUUUAUAUCUAUAUCAUAAUAAAUACAUCUAAUUUCGUUGGUGCUCAAUUACGAAAAUAAGGACCAUCAGUUAAGUGCCACGUGUAAUGGGAAACAAUUAUGACGAUCAAAAUCACCUGGGUAAUUACAUUGGCAGCGAUGCAGUCACGUGCGUGACACAGGGCACCAAAAUUUAAUUUUGCAGAUUCUAGGACACAAGCAGUCAACUCGGUCAAAACGUUGACAAAUGUGGGAUCUGUGAUUUUUGUUUUAAUAUAUAAACUUCAUAUAUUUAAUAAAUUAUUUUAUAUUACAUAAUAUUAUAUUUAUGGUGAAUUUAAAUUUUAGAAAAAAAUCAUAUUUUUAUAAAAUAUUUCAAUUAUAACAUAAAAACAGUAAUUUAUAGGCAUCAUAUAAAAUAAUAAAUUAAUAAAAAGACACAUAUACUAUGUAAAAAAAUAAAUAUAAAAUUAUUAAAAUUAAAAAAUAUAUAUAUUUGUUAAUUUUUUACUAACCCCUCAAAUAAAUUCGAAGGGUGAGAGGGGAAGGGAUAGAUCAUGUUCCCCUAAUUAGAUGAGAUGAGUAAUCUUAUGGUCUCGGUUUCAGAUGUGGCCCGUAUGACUGGUUCCACAAUACUUUGCAUGCCCAAGUUCAAUGGGCUUCACUUCAAAACCGGUUGAGCGCUUUGUUUUUUUUUUUUUCCUAGGUAUAAUGCAUUAUAUAAAGAGGAGUUUUUUUUUUUUUCAAAUGAGAAUAGAGAUAGUAAAAUUUAAAAUUUUUUAAAUUUAUUUAAAUAUAUUUAUCAUCGAAUUAAAUUUAUGAGUGUAUAUAUGAUGUGAAAGUAAAAAUUAAUUAUUUUAUAUAUUUUCAUAAUAUUACUCGCUAAUUUACUUGAAAUUAAUUUGUGAGUACAUAUACAAUGAGAAAACAAGCAGAAAUUAAUUAUUUUAUAUAUUUUCAUAAUAUUAUUCGUUAAUUUACUUAAAGUUUCACAUUUAAGUCAUUUUUAAUAAAAUAAGAGAUACUUAAAUAUUAAACACCUAAUUAACAGUAACAAAUGUACCUUGACAUUCCCAAUCUAAGUCAAACUAAGUACUCAAUUUGUCGAAUGUCUGGCAACUUAGUUUUUCAAUUUGUCCUAUCCAUCACUCAAUUUAUAAAUUAUUACAAAGCGUAAUUAUUAAAUCUGGAAUAUCUCCUUGCAAGGAUUUUAGAAUAAUUACAUGCAUGUACAUUCAUUCCAUCCUUUAUUUCUUUUCAUUUUCUUUUUUCUUUUUUUUUUAAAUCGAUCUAUAUACAAUUUUCAAAUUAGGUAUAAUCGAUCUAAAUUUCAAUUUAAUUAUUUUAACAUAUUAUGUGAUCAGAAAAAUGGUAAUCAAGGAAGUCAUAAAUUCCAUCCUUAUAGAAUCUCUUUUUAAGAAAAACAAAUCAGUGCAAUGGAUUAAUUAGCAAGUUUGGAAGAGGCUGCAAGAUGCAUACCCAUGUGGUGAGAUUAAAUUAAUUUUCUUAGGGUGAGAGAUGCUUGACCUUUCUAAGUUAUAAGAUUAGCCAAAUUCCGAUUCCUGCACUAUAAAGAAAAGAAUCAAAUCAAAUCAAAUGGUUAUAUUAUGGAACCCACAACGUUAUUCUAGGCUACUGUUCUUUUACUUUCUUUUUCUUACAUCUUGAGGUUGGUGUCUGGUGAUCUUUCUAAGAAUCCAUUUUAGAUUUUGAUGAUCACUGGAUUUCACUAUCUCGAUUCGAGGUCUGACCAUAAUGACAAUCCAUUACUUGAAGGUUCUUAAGCCCCCCGCAUGAAUCAGGUCCAGCCCACUCGGUCUCAAGACCGAACUCCUUCUUAAGCCUCUCAAGUCGGGCCGGCCCAGUCCUUUCAGCCCAAAGUUCAGACCUCCCCUGGGCCUCAGCCCUAAUCUCACCUAUCAGCCCAGUCCGGAGGAGAAAAGGUAGCCAGCCCAUUCGCCUUGUGGGUCCAUUCGCAUGCGUGCCAGAGGGAAUUAAAUGGCCGUUACGCAUGGAGCAGAGAUCUGAUAUUCUCGUACGUCCGUAUCCGUAUGGCAGAGACAGGUGGUCCAAUGGCAGUGAGACCGUUACACGUCACUGACAGGCAAACGAAAAGAAUAAAAGGGGAGAAGUAUUCUCCUAUCAGACUAAGCUUACUCAACCCUUGUAAAACCCUAUUUUCUGAAUAAUAGAUCAUCAAUUGGCACCGUCUGUGGAAACGAAGGAGAUCUUUUCAUUGCCGGAGUUCCACUCUUAGAAUACCGACUGAGAUCCACGAUGGCCAACCAUAAUGAAAACAACCUUGCUAACACCUCCAAUGACCUGAACUCUGUCCAGGAGGGGCAACAGUUCUCUUUCUCCAGUCCUACAACUCCUAACAACCAACCACCAAUCUCUUUUAAUCCCUCACCAAGCUUGGCAGGGAAUGUACCCGGAGCUACCUUAUCCAACCAGGACCUCCAAGCCAUGGCCCUUCAACUACAAAACACUGCCCACUAGCUGGGGCAGAUGAUGCAGCAGAGGGGCCUCAGCACACCAAUGAAUGUGUUGCCUGUGGUGGAAGAGCCCCGAACCAACGAACCUCAGCCUACCUUCAACCAUCCUCAAACAAACAGUAGAGAAACCGGAGAAAGGGGGAGAAGAGCCGAGGGAGAAGAAGAACCAGAGGCUAGAGUUCAUGGAAGGAGGGUGAGGGAGUUGAUAGAGAACGAUGACGUAGACAGUUAUUCUACCAGAACAACCAAGAGGACGGAGAGUGAGGCGCAGGAAGAGGAGUAUCGUCUGGAGAAGAGGCCCAUACAAGAAGAAGAGAAUGUAGAUCAGAAACUGUAGAAACUAAGGGAACAGCUCCUAGUCGAGUUGGGGGCGAAGGACCACAACCAGACUCUCUUGCCCACCUCUUCACCUUUCUCGAAAUGGGUGCAGCAGGAGACCAUCCCCAAGAAGUUUAUGAUGCCACCCAUGGCAGCCUAUGACGGAGCGGGAAACCCAAGGGAGCACGUCCUCAACUACAAGACCUUCAUGGAGUUGCAGACUCUGUCGGAUGCCUUAAUGUGCAAGGUAUUCCCCACCACGCUUACGGGGCCAGCACGGGCGUGGUUUAAUAGUCUAGAGGCUGGAAGUAUCAGAAGUUUUGGAGACUUAGAUAACCUCUUCAUCAGCCGGUUCAUUGCCGGAGUGCCGGCAGACAGAAAGACGAGCUACUUGGAGACAGUCAGGCAGAGGAGGAAUGAGUCUUUAAGGUAGUACGUUGCCCGUUUAACACGGAGGCCCUGCAGAUCCCUGAGCUAGAUGAAAAUCGAGCUGUGGAAGCAAUGCAAAAAGGGACGACCUCCCCAGAGUUCUUUGGCUCGUUAAGCAGGAAACCGCCGACCUCGCUGGCAGAGCUGAUGAAGAGGGCGGAGAAAUACAUAAGGCAGGACGAUGCCUUAGUAACAAGCAGAUUCGCAAAAGAGGCGGCAGACAGGGUAAAAGCCCCAGAAGAAAGGAGGCCGGAAAGGCAGGAGAAAAAGCAAGGCAAGAGGCCCGAGCAGUACAGACAGCCUUGGGAUCGAAGGGACCAAAGACCCUUCCCCCCUCGAGUUCCAGAACAAAAGCCGUUUCCCCCGCGGAUUCCAGAGAACCUGAUCCCACUCAAAGCCUCUAGAGCCGAAGUGCUCAUAGCAGUCCAGAACAAGGAGUUCCUCCAGUGGCCGAAACCAAUGAGGGCUAAGGCGAGCCAACGAGAUCCCGACAAGUACUGCUAGUACCAUCGCACGCACGGCCAUGACACCAAUAACUGCUACCAGCUGAUCAGUAAGAUUGAGAGGCUGAUCAAAAGGGGUCACUUGCGGAACUUUGUGAAGAAGCCAGAGGGAGAAAGACCUCAGCCGAACCCUACAGCAGAGAGACGCAGGAGGACGGGAGCAGGGUCGGUGAAUGAUGGUUCCAGUGGGACCAUCAACAUGAUUGUGGGAGGAACGGGAGGUCGGAUGAGCAGGAGAGGAAGAAAGAGGAGCCGAGAUGGGGAAGGCAGCAGUGUCGAGGUCAUGCAGGUAGCUGAACACUCUCCAGUGACCAUCUCCUUCUCUCUGGAGGAUUCCCAGGGCGUUCAAAUGCCUCACGAUGACGCUCUUGUCAUCGAAGCUGUCAUCCACAACUACCGGGUUAGGAAGAUCUUGGUGGAUGACGGAAGUAAGGUGAAUUUAUUGCCGUACAGAGUCUUCCAGCAGAUGAGAAUCCCCGAGGAACAGUUGGCCGACCAAAUCAGACUCUCUCUCUCGGCAAUUUCGUCAAGCUCGGCGCAAAGGGCAGAAUUCAAUUCUGCAAUUCUUCGGUUCAUUCGUCCUUUCUCUUUUCCUUUUAAUUUAUGUUUUAAUUCAGCCAUGAGUGGCUGAAUUCUUCUAUUCUAGUUGAAGAUUGGUUGAAACUAAGGUUGUUUUAUAGAUUGUGAGAUCUGAACAUAAACUAUUUGUCUUUGAUUUGUUCAAUAUUCAUACAAUUUGGUGGUUGAAUCUAUGAUUACUUUGUUGUUUUGAUCAAAUUGGCCACUUGAUUCUUGAUUGCAAGGUAAUUGAUUGUUAGUUGGGAUAAUUUUUAGUCUGUAAUUACUGGAAUUAUUCUAACAUAAAAACACUUGAUGUAAUAACUAAGGAAUUGUAUGAUCUAGCAACAUCUCCAUGCGUUUGGGUAGCUAGGAUUGGGUCUCUCUAUUUCUUCAUGCAAUUGACAAUUGUUUUGAUGCCUAAGACCCAAGGACGUUCCUUGGCAAUUUGUUAAUUAGUAAUUGAUUAGAGGACGUUCCCUAAUUGAUUUAAUCAUAAGGAGAGACAUGGUGGUGAGAAGUGUUUUCCAUCACCAUAACUAAUCUAUUGAAUCAAUCAAAAGAACAUAAGUUUCAAUGAUCAAUCCAAACAACCAAAGUGGAUCCAUCUCUUCAACUAGACAUUUCUCAUAUUGAAUUUCUCUUUUAUUUCUAUUACUUGCUUAUUUAAUUGCUUUCAGUAGUGUGUUAAUCAAAUCAACCUCAAAACCCCCCCUUUUACUUUUAUUGCAUUUUACUUUUGUUCCGCUUUCAGUUACUUGCUUUCAGUUGCGCUUUAAGUUAAUUCUCUUGACCUUGUUGAGAAAAAUAGAUAAGUUUACAAUUCUCUGUGGAUUCGAUCCUUUACCACUAUCUGCAGUUGUAAAAUUAUUGAUAACUGGAAAGGUUAUUUUUGACCGGCUUCGACAACCGCGAGUCAGCAGGAGUGUCAGAAGGGAGGGGACGCUUGCUCGCGACCCUCUCAACAGCUCCCUCCAGGGUAGUUGAUGUCUUCUCUCGAGGUCCGGACUCCACCUCCCCAGUAACAUAGGCGACCUCAAGAGGAGUUUCCUGGACAUCUUCGCCAGCGGGGAUAACUUCCAUCCCAGGAACCCUCUCAUCAGUUGUGGAGGCCUCGGGAGCUUGGCUUGGGAGCUUGGGAAGGAGCUGGAGCAGGAGGCCGGCUAGCCGACCUGGAGGAAAUGACUUCAGCCACCCUCUGAGCAGUCUCUCCCACAGAUUGCCCAGCUCGGAGGGCGUCCAAAGCAGCAUUCAUGCUCUCCCAAGAUAGCGUGAAGUUCUUCAGGGGCUUGAUUUGGUCCAUUUUCACGUCGAAAGCUGCAAAGAUUCAAAACCAGAACGAAUUAGAACGGCCCUCAGUAAAAUCGCAAAGACAAGACAAAGCAAUUAAACGAAAUAAAGUACCCGCGUCCUGGAUAUCCCAAAGAUUAGACGCGAACAUACACUUUUCGACAUCAUACUUCUUUUCAACAGAAGUCAGUCGAAUGUACUCGACCUGCUCUGUAAGGCUCAGCUGGUGCAGGUCGUUGCAACCUAGAGGGACAUCCUCCCAGGAGAGAUCCGCCUCCUAAGACAACCCGAACUCCUUCUUCAGCUCAACCACCGCGAAUCCCUCCACCCAGCCUUUUAUCGAGCCUUUAUGACCCGAGAAGAUUGACAGCCCCCCGCGAGGGGCAAAGUAGUAAAAACCUUAGCUUGCCUUGACUAGCCUAAAGAAAGUGACGAACAGACGCGCCGUGGGUGUGAACCUCCAGCUCAGACAAAAAGAUUCAAAAGAAGACAUGAAAAGAAUGGAAUUAGGAGCCAGCAUUCGAGGGGUUAUCUCGAAAUACCGGAAGACCUCAAUAAAGAAAGGAGAGAAGGGAAAUGUUAAGCCAUACUCCCUUUGUUUGGCAAAAAAGAUCAGGCUAAGGUCCUUCUGUGGGUCGAUUAGACUAGAGGGAGGAAGAUCAAGAAGAACAAUCCUCUCAUUCCGGUAGGGAGCCCGAAUAUGAAAAAGGGGGGGUAUCUAGGUAUUCCCUGGAAAAGAAGUUUUUGAGGGUGGAUGGAGUGAUACUAGACUCUAGGUUAAGGACAUCAGGGAGCUUUGGGCCUUCCAUGGAAAAAUGAAGAGCGUACCUGGAAAGCGAUUAGAGCAGAAGGAUGGAGCAAGCGAAGCGUGCAGAGAACAGAGGAGAGCAAAAGUUUUGAGAAGACUGAGAGAAUUUGAAAAUAUGAAACAACAAUGAGACAAAGAGGUGUUCUGAAGAAAACUGUCCUUGGGUGGCGCAGUCAUUAUGAUUCUCGAUAUUUACCCCCUCAUCAUUCGUACAAUAGCUGAUGAGAAGGUAAAGGGGCAAUUGAUGACCGCUGGAUUUCACUACCCCGGUCUGAGACCUGACCUAUGACGACAACCCAUUACUUGAAGGCUCUUAAGCCCCCGCAUGAAUCAGGUCCAGCCCACUCGGCCUCAUGACCGGACUCCUUCUUAAGCCUCUCAAGUUGGACCGGCCCAGUCCUUUCGGCCCAAAGCUCAGACCUCCCCUGGGCCUCAGCCCUAAUCUCACCUAUCAGCCCAGUCCAGAGGAGAAAAGAUGGCCAGUCCAUUCGCCUUGUGGGUCCAUCCGCAUGCGUGCCAGGGAGAAUUAAAUGGUCGUUACGCAUGGAGCAGAGAUCUGAUAUUCUCGUGCGUCCAUAUCCGUAUGGCAGAGACAGGUGGCCCAAUGACAGUGAGACCGUUACACGUCACUGACAGACAAAGGAAAAGAAUAAAAGGGGAGAAGUAUUCUCAUCUCAGACUAAACUUACUCAACCCUUAUAAAACCAUAUUUUCUUCAGAUCAUCAGAUUUCAAAAAUUGAAUAAAGCCUUUCCAAACCCUAGUCCCUGCCUUUAGUUCAUCUAUUUGACUUGGUUCCUCUUAUUGUCCUUUUUAAUUAAUAUUGUCUCCACCUGUCAUUCUCCCACUGAGAUCAGAUCUCUGUGUGUUGGGAUAAAAAAAAAAAACAUUAAAAUUUAAGAUUUCUCUAUGUUGGAUUAUUGACAUCAAGGGACUUAAUUAUUAUACUCUUUUAUAUAUAUAUAUAUAUAUAUAUAUAUAACUAAAAAUAAACCUCUCAAACAAAAACUCAAAAAUAAAUAUAUAUUAUGAUGGAAUUAAAUCUGUGAUUACACAAAAUAUAUUCCGAGUAGUUGGUCGACGGAGAAAAAGUAAAGUUGAAAACAAACACUGCCGCCCUGAAAUAAUAGAGGAGAGGGGAGGUAGCAGAAUAGAAUUUUAAUUACGUUACGACCAGUGAGAGGAGUAGAAAAAGGAAUAAUUCAAUUCUCGCAGAAUUUAAUUAGAAGGGUUAAAACCAAAGAAAAAGCAAAAGCAUAAUAAGAAGAAAUGAAGAAUGAGAUCAGCUGCGUAUGCAUGUAUGACUUCAAUAAUUGACACACACUCGCGACGAUAAAGCUUCAAUAAAUAAAUAUUUCCUUUCAUCUGUUUUAAAUCAUAGACCAUUUUCUUUUUUAAUAAUUUAACAAAUAAUUAAAUUUAUUAGUCUUAAAAAUAAUUGAACGAGUAAUAUGAGUAAAAGACUACAUUAGAAAAACCAAUAUAAAAUUUACUAUUUUAAUUAUAUUUUUUUAAUUAAUAUGAAAAAAAUAUGUCCACCAUGGAAUAUAAAAAUAUGAAAUAAAAAGUGACAGAACAUAGUGUGAAAAGGGCUAUGAGCCUGAAAGCCAUCACCUUGACCAUCCAGGUGCAAUGGACUCAAACCCAUAUCUCUUACUCCAUAGGCCAUUUAGAAACUUCUCCUGGCCAAAGUUUAAAUGGUUCUAAAACCACUAGCUAGAUUCUCCACGUGGCUAAAUACUGUUUGACCUUCAAGUCUGGCCAAAUCCAGGUGGUAUAUAUAUAAUAAUUUAGAAGUGCAGCUUCAGCCAUGCAAAAUCGUGGAACACAAACAUGGAUGAGGACCGGACAAAUGCCAAGGAACAAGCAACAGCAGGAGAAGUUAAGUACAGAGGCGUUCGAAGACGGCCUUGGGGCAAAUUCGCUGCGGAGAUACGCGACUCCGCACGCCAAGGUGCACGUGUAUGGUUAGGGACUUUCAACACGGCGGAGGAAGCAGCAAGAGCGUAUGAUCGAGCAGCUUAUGCAAUGAGAGGCCAAUUAGCCAUUCUUAAUUUUCCUAAUGAGUACCCUCUUGCAAGUGGUGGUUCUGCUAGUUCUUCUACUUCUUUGUCUGCUUCUUCUUCCUCUUCAUCAUCAAUGCGAAACCAAGUUAUCGAGUUGGAGUACCUGGAUGAUAGAUUGCUGGAGGAAAUGCUGGAGCAAGAAGAACAAAAGAGCAAGAAAAAGUGAAGCAGCUAUUCUCGCGUGACGCUAGGAUUCGCCAUCUUUUUAUUUAACUAUAAUAAAUAAUUUUCUCAAGUCUUGAUCAGUUUUAAUGUCUCCCAGCUGAAAUUUUUUAGGAAUUAUUAAAUGUUCAUGAAAUAACACCUUAUCAUGCAAGGUGGUAUAAAAUUAUUGUAUAAUUUAAAAUCACCUACUAAGCUCAUAUCAUCUCCAAAGUUUCAUAAUUUAAUCAUAAUGUUAUUAAUUUGUUUUACCACCUCAAUACGAAGUGAUAGUUAUUCAGGUGCACCCAAUAAGUUUUCUUCUUCUUUACCAUUUUUGCUUUUUUUUUUUUUGUUAUUGUAUGCAUAUUGUAAAAUUUUACAUUAUAUGUAAGUUUAGUAAAGAGAAAUCACCCCUUUCUUUUUAUUCCAUUUCCUUUUGUUUACUAAUAAUAUAUAAUCGUCUUUCUCCUACAGUGCUAUUUAUCAGGCCGUACGUACGAACAAGUGAGAGCACAUUUCCACGUCAGCCGGCCAUUUAAUUCAUCCCAACGCACAUGCUGGUAGGAUUAUGAAAUGACUGGACCAGCUAUUAUACUCCAUGUCAUAUCACAUAGCUAGGUUAUCUCCUACUGACCCGAGCUCAUGACUGAUCCAGUCUGCUCCACAUCGCCAAGCUAGAGUUCGUGACAUUGAAUUGGUCUGCUUAUUAAUGAUCUGAUGGAUUUUGGACCUAUAUUUUUCUUCUAAACUGGCUUCACCACCAGAUAUAAGAAACCUGACGAUCAUCACGUAUUAUCCUUUUCUUCAUAUUACUUUGAAUUUAUAGGAUAUGUGCAGAUUCCCAAAAUAGAGAAAACAAAAACUAAGAAUUUGAAAAAAGAAAAGAGUUUUAAACUAUAUGUACUUUUCUAGAAGGCAUCUUCAAGUGAAAUCCCUAUCAAGAAUUUUUGUUCUUCUUCUUGAGGAAGGUUACCUAACACUAUUCUUUUUCUUUAUAAUAUGACGCAAUAAUUUGCUUUAAUUGGAAAAAAGAAAACUUGGGUAAAGAACAACCAACAAGAAAACAGAAAACCAACUAAUUAAUUAGUUACAUUCAUGCUAAUUAAGUGGUGAAACAGCGGCAAGUGUUGUAUGGUGCAUGACCUGAACUAUGAUUUAAUUUAGUUAACUACAAAUUAUCAUUAAUAACUCGUUUGACUGAUUAGGGCUGGAGUUAUUUCAUGAUUAAGGAACACCACUGGCUAGCUUUUGUAAGCAUUUGGGAGUUUUUUAUUUGUAUUUGUAUAUUUGUUGAUUUACAAAUUAAGUCUACUCAAUACACUCAAGUGAAAAAAUUUAAAAAGAAAACAUCCCAAUGAAAAUGGCUAGCAAAGCGGAGGGAGAAACGUAAACUAUCACAAUACAAAUAUAAAUGUAGCAAUCUUUUAUGUAUGGUAGGAACGUAGAGGUAAUUCACACGAAAGAUAAGCAAGAUUAGGUUAAGCUCAAGAUUAAAAGUAAACUAACCAAUAUAAGCCAGGAUGAGUUAUGCUAUUUGGCUCAUGGAGAUAUAUCUCAAUGGCACAAUGCGGAAAUUUUAUAUUUAUCGACUCUUAACAUCUGUUGGAAAGGAUUCCUACAAUAUUUGUCAUGCAAAAGAGCUUCAACGUAGUUGUAAUCAGAACACAUAUAUAAAAUGAAGACACACUUCGCCACCAAACUAGCUACACACAGGUAAAGACAUGCCCAGGGUCCUGAACAUAGACACAACAUGUCCAAACAGCAAAAUAAACAACACAAGCAAAUAGAACAAAAAUCAGCAAAAAGCGUCUCAAAUAAGCUCCAAAAAGUGUAGAGGCUCUAAGUCAAGUACAUGAUAGGAUUAGCAUACGAUAAAACAGACUUCAGUCCGUCCAAGGCAAGCAAUUGAACCAAGACGACAACCACACUAGAAUAGACAUACACCAGCGAAAGCAAUGCAGACCAACCACCUGUGACUCCAAUAAACAGAAAAAGUCACAACCGAUUUAAUUAUUUAAUGUACAACCCAUCAAUUAUUUCAAUUAAACUUAAUUAUUCUUAUAAAAGAAAAAAUAUAUUGAUAUUAAAGAUGAUAACAAUUUUGAAAAGAGAGCUAAAGCAGAUAUAUAGAUAAUGUUGUUAAGUAAAGAGUCAUCUGAUCCAUUACAUAAUAAGUGGUUGAUACUGGUCAGAUGACUGUGUGUUAGGGUAACAGGGAACAUUAACAAGUAAUUUAAGUGUAUAAGGGAAUCUCCAAAUGGAAACACUUAUGAGAUAAAAGGUAGAAAUUUGUUAUGACGCUUACCGCAAUUCAUAUGCACAAACAUUAGUCCUCUGGAGGUAGCAUAUUGAAGCAUAGAGCAACCAACAUAUUCAAAAUAAAAACCAUGCGAUUCUAGGAGAUCACAAUGUAAUUAAGAAAAUUAAGGAUAAACAUACGGUCAUUUUGUAUGAUUCUUAAUUAUUUUAUAUAUUAUGUUAUUUUCAAUUAAAUAACACAUUCAUUAUAAAAUAUUCAUAAUUACUAUUAUAAAAUAAAAAUCUUGAAUAUAUGAAAUGUACAUUUAAUAAUUAGAUUAUUUAUUUUUAAUUUUAAUUUUAAAAAAUAGACAAAAUUACACUCAAAUAUAAAUAUUUAGCUAAUUUAUUUAAAAUUUAUAUAUCAAAUAAUUAGAAUUUUUUUUACUUUGUAAAUGAUUUAUUCCAAACAAAGCUUAAGAAUUUACUACUAAAAGCAAGUAUGUAGGCAUCUUUCAAUAGCGUCAUUGAGUCACCGAUUGACAUUCUGAUUUGUGCCCUAUCUAUGUGUGCAUUAUCUUUGUAGCAGAAGUUCCAUCACAUCCUUGAGUUUGGCAUCUCUAAAAUAUACCAAUUUGAUAUCUUCAACUUUAUCUUGAGAUUUGCUAAUGCUAGCUACAAGUAUUAGCAUGUUAAAUAUUCACAAUAAUGGAAGAAAGAUUUUACUUUUACUUUGAUUAUAUUUAUUUUGUAGCUUUGGCAUGUAAUUAUCUAGAUCACUAUAUAUGACUUAAGCUUUUAGAAACUGCUAUAUAAAGCAAGUAAUCUUACAAUUGGUAUCAAAUCAAAAAGUGAUUUGCUUUAUUGAUCAGAUGCUUCCUUUAAUUCCACCACUUGUUUUAGUCUCUGAAUCUGCUACAAGCAAUGCUUUCUCUCAUACUCAUAUUCAAAGGAAACUUUUUAUAGUAGGUAUCCACACGUGAGCCAAUAAAGACAGAUAUAAUAUAUCAUGAUUUCUGUAUUGAUAGAUCCUGAUCUUUUUCCCCUGGAAGAGAUGGAAAUAAACAUUUAUUAAUAAGCAACCAAAUUAUAGCAACUUCAUUUAUUCGAUCUUCUACCAUUUUGAUAUCUAUUUAGCAUUUUCAGGGAAUUUUUUUUCCUAAACUUCAUCAUUUUCUAGGCAUAAUCAUACGUUCUAAUAAUAAAUAAUUUGAUACACAUUAUGGAUUCUGUUCCAUGACAUUGGUUUUCAUUGAUAAACACCUUAGUAUUGCCUGUUUUUCUUCCCUCCCGCUUCAUAGGAUUAACUAGCCAAAACUCUGUCAAAUAUUAUCAGAUUUAAAUUCUUUUAUAAAUGCUUUAUUCAAAACUAAUUCAUUUUGAAUUUAUUAUGAAAAGAAUUGAAUUUAUUAUGAAAUCCUUUGAUUUUAAACUAGAGAAAAUAAGAAAAGCAGCUAGAUCAUAAACAAAGAAAUUGUAAAUGACUAUGGCAGUAUGAUUUUCACAACUUAGGAACUGAAUUAUCAGGGUGGGGUGUUCAAUUUCUAACCAAACAAACAAACCAUAAAUUGCCAACGAUCUCAUUCAUGCCAUUAAAAUAUAUAAAACCUCUCAUGAUUAUGUGAAAAUUAAGGAUGAGGGAUUAGUUAAUUAGGCUCAAGAGCUCAAGAAAACCAAUAACAAAACAAACUUGAAGACCUUAAAAACAAGAAAUGAUACAGUAGUGAUCAAUCCUGUCGUCGUUUCUUCUUCUCCUCUUCUGAUUCAAGAAGCUCCUCCAACACCUUGUCAUCCAAAUACUCAAACUCAAAAACUUGCCUUUCUUGCCUGCCAGAAGAACUUCCCCUCUCGGAGCUCUGGCUUGCAACAUUAUUAGUACUAGUGCUGCUAAAUGAUGAUGAUGAUGAAGAAGAAGAAGAAGAAAACGACUGAUGAGGUGGUCGAGGAGAGAAUCCCAUAACUCGAGGGUAAUACUCACUUGGAAAAUUAAGGGUUGCAAGAUGACCUCUCAAGUUAAAUGCUGCUUUAUCAUAAGCACGAGCAGCCUCCUCUGCAGUAUCAAAUGUUCCAAGCCAUAACCUUGCUCCGUGUCUCGUAGGAUCUCGAAUCUCCGCAGCAAAUUUUCCCCAUGGCCUUCUUCUGACGCCCCUGUAACGCACUUCUUCGCCUCCUUUCUCUUCCUUGUCCUUCCCUCUGUUGUUGCUAGGGCCUUCCAUAAGAUACCGAUGUUUAACGUAGGGUUUGAAAACCCACCUGCUUGCUCUAAAAAAGUUGGUAGUUUGGCGAGUCUAAUAUACAAGGGGUGGGGUCAUAGUUGAUGAUUCUAUGUCUAUGAAUGUGAAUUCUCAAGAACGUGGAUUUGACUAUAGAUCAAUUGAAACAUAUUUCUAUUUCUUGGAAGGUUCUCAGCAGCACAAUGUAAUUUUGAUUGUUAAUAGUUGCAAGGAAUAGCCUUUUUUUUAUAGUAUGGAUCUGUUUUCUCUCUUUUCUUUUGAAGAUUAAGAAUAUUAUGCACAAGUAAUAGUAUAGUUUGUCCCAGUUCAUGGGUAUUCCAAAUAAUUCCAUCAAGAUCUUGAUCGCUAGCUCUCCUUUUUAUGAUACCCAAAUCACAUGGACAUAUUAGGUUUGUUGGAUUUGGACCCACCAUUUCCUUUUAUGAAUUAAAUUAGAAAAGACAAUUCAUAUAUAUACUUUUUAACGUGGUGAUUUUGUUUUAUGUAUUUUUUUAUUUUAAGUAUCUAGAAAAUAAAUUUACUAAUAUUAUAAUAAAAUUAUAUUUUUUUUAAAAAUAAAAAUUAAGAAGUAAAAAAAAAUAGAAUUUGAAAUCUCUCAAAUUUAAUUAGAAUAGUUUAAAUAUAUUUUACUCAUUCAGAUUUUAGCAGCUGACGAUAAAAUAAAAACAUUAAACUAUUUUGUAAAUAAAAUUAAAAAACAAAUAAAAAAUUCAUAACGGGAAAAUAAAAAUAGAAAAGAACGGCGGCGUUUUGUGCUAAAGGGCGGCCCAACAGGUAUUAAAUCUGUGGAUCCUGGAGUCAUGGCUUUUCCAUGUAAAACAAAGCCCACGCUGGACUUCUAACUUUGGAUUUUAAGGGUUUGGUAUUAAAAUUAUAAAUAAAUAUCUUAUUAAAUAUAUCAGCUAAAAAUAUUUAUUAUUUUAUUUAUACAUAUUUUUAAAAACAAUUGUAUAGUUAAUUGAGAAUUGAAUUAAGGCUUUAUAGUUUUGAAACUAUAAAACACGAAAAUUUAAUAAAAAAAUUAUAUUUUUUAAGAUAUAAAAAAUAAAAGAAAUAAAAAUUAUGAAUUUUAAUGACUUUGAUUCACUUUAGUAUCUUAGCGGUGUGUCCAAAUUUACAAUAUUUAUUGUGGUAACCGUCGAAAUGAAGGAGGCUUUUAUUCAAUGUUUUGUUUGUAGAGUACCUGUUCUCGUUCUUGAAAUUCUUCCGUAGACUCGACUCGCGCAGGACACCUUUUAAACAAGUUCCGUGUCGCAAACGACGACAUUGUCAUCAUUAUAAUUCCAAAAUUUCAAUUUGAUUCCAACGUAGUUUUUCUUUUUAAGUAUUUACAUUAUGUAUUCAUCCCAUUAAUUUAUAUUCAUUUGGGAAGGAGGUAAAACGACUAAACAAAAUUAUAUAUCCAUUUUAAUUUUUACUCUUCAUUUAAAAUUAAAAAUUUUAUAAUAAUUUAAUUGAUUUAUUUUUAUAUAAUUAUCAUGUUUGAAAUAAAAAAAAUAUAUAUUCUUUUUACUCUAAAAUCUUUCAAUCAUUCAUUAAUUUUUUUUAUAAAAUUAUUAAUAUCAAAUGAAGGGUUAAGGUUUUUAUUUCUCCAUUUUUAUAAGUUAUUAAGAUGUUUAUAUAUUGUCGUUUCAAAAAGGUUAAUGUAUUGUCAAAAAAUACGUUUACAUGAAAUUUUAAAAAAUUAAAUAAUUUAAAUUAUAAUAUCAUACAAUUAUUAUUGUGAUUUUCUUACUAAUAAAAAAAUAAUUAAUAAAAGUAAAAUAAAUUUAAAAAUGUUAUUAUAAAAUUGAAAAGAAAAUUUGUUUGUAAAUAAAACAAUUCAAAAGUAAUAUGUAUUUUUAAAUAAAGCAAUUUUUAAAAAGUGAUGCAUGUAAAAGUAGAUCAAGAGGUAGUAACAAUUUAAAUUGGUUUUCUUGCAUGAGGUAUACAUAAUUAAAAAUUGAAUUACUCUUAAUUAAAAUUUUAGUUGCUCUUUAUUUAGAUUCAAUAAUUUUAUAAUAAUUUAAUUUAAAUGAUUUUUUUUUCAACAAUUUCUUAUUUAGAAUGAAAUAAUUUUUUUAACUUAAAAGAUUUUUAUUUUAAAAAAUUAAAAUAAUACAUAAUUUUAUAAAUAAUUAUUUAAAAUUUUUUAUUUCAAAUAAAAAAUAAAUGUGCAUAAAAUUAAAAAAGUAAAAAAACCGAAUAAUUAAAGUUUUACCACGUAGACCAAACGAGAUAACAAAAACCUCGACUACAUCGGAAAUAUCACAGCGACCACCACCUGUCAUCACACUCACAAAGAGAAGAGGAGGUACAACGUAAACGGCCAACAAGAGAACCAACACAUAUAAACAAAUAGAAAAAAAACCAACAUGCAAAAACUUAUAACCCUUAGAAUACUAGCGUCCUAAAUAAACAAUCAAAUAGAGAAGGUUAUAGCAGAGUUUAGCUGAAAAGCAGCCAACAGGAAUAGUACCAUUGGAAAUAUGGGUGCGGUUCUAAGGUGCUGACAAGAAGCAACUUAAACCUUCCUCUAAAAAAUAAAGAAUAGAGCCGAAAAUCCUUUCAACGAGAACUUCCUUCUAAUAUUGUUCAAGAUACUUAAAGACACUACAACUGAAGAAACAAUAUCCAAAAUUCAUCCAUAACAAGGGAGAAUCAAGCAAAUAGAGAUACAAUUCCUGCGAUUAAGUAAAAGAAACUCUCAUAUUCGAUUUAAAUUGAAAAAAUCAACCGAAUCAAAUUAAUUUAAAAUUUUAAUUUAAUAUUUUAUUUUUUUCUAUUUAUUUUUAUUUUUAAAAAAUUGAAUUAUUUUAAUUCGAUUCAAUUUUAAUUUUAAAAAAUAAUAAAAUCAAACUGAAUCGAUUAAUAAUAAUAGUAUAUUAUUUUGGAUAAUAUAAAGAGAUUAUACUAUAAUUAAGGUUAAAAUAUUUUAAUUAAAUGUUAGAACACUUCAAAUAAGGUGUGAAAAAUAAAAAGUUAAUUAAAAGACUUAUUAAUCAAAUCGAAUGAAAUCAAAUUGAAUCAAACUGAUUUAAUUUAAAUUAAUUCUUAUAUCUAAAAUCGAUUCAAUUCGAUUUUUAUAAAUACUAAAAUUUUAAUAUUUAAUAUACCUGCAUGCAUGCACAAAUUGAAACAAAACCAUACUAACCCAAAAGAAUCUUCCUCUACCUCCAAGGGUAAAAAAUCAACUAUUCCUCUACCUCCAAGGGUAAAAAAUCUUGAGCAACAACCAUCAAAAUAACAAUAGGUACAAUGGCUAGUAGAUUCAGUCACCUAAAACCAGAGACCCAAUAUGACAAUAGCACAACGACACAAUCCGUUCUCCUCCCUUUCCUUUUUUACCCUUUCCUUUUCUAGCCUUUCCUUUUCAAUUGGUCCGGCAAUUUCAAAAGAGCAUGGGGUAGUCAUUCUUAGCUUAGAUUGACAUUAAAAAAUAUAAUAUGGCAAUGUGUGUGACAAUACAUUAAUUUAAAGGGUUUUUGUGGGAAAAGCAAACCUUGUAUCUACCCACUUUUGCAUAAUUUAAUUAUCUGGAAAUUUGUUUUAUUUUUUUAAUAAAAAUUUUAAUUUUAUUUAAUUUAUAAAAAAUAUUUAUUUAUAUGCAAAAAAAUUUUAAAAAUAAAAUUUAAUUUUAAGCAGAGAAACAAACAAACAAAAUUCACAUAUAAAAUUUUACAAGUUAAAUUAAUUUAUUCAUAUUAAAUAUUGAAUAUAAAUUUUAAAAAAACUAUUAUAUUUUAAAAAACUAUUUGAUUUAUGUUUUAAUCUAUAUUUAAAAUUUUUAAAAUUUUAAAUAUAACCAUAAACUAUUAAACUCAUUUUUUAUUUAAAUUUUUUUAAAAUUUAAAUAAUCCAUAAAAUUCAUUAAAACAAUCUAAUUAUUACUUUUAAAAUUAUUUUUUAUAAAUUUAAGAUUUAUUUUUUAAAUUUAAAUAAUUUAAUAUAUAAUUUUAAUGAGAUGAACAUAAAUAAUUUUACUUUUUAAAAUUAAAAAAGUGGUGUAUAUAAAUAAAUUAGAUUAAAUAUAUAUAUUUACAUUAAAGAGUUGCGUUGAUUUUGAUUUAAAUUUGUAUGAAAUAAUAAAAUUAUUAUCGUCUAAUUUUAUUAAUUUAUAAAAAUUUAUAACACAAUCAAUAAAUUUAAAGUGGAAUUAAUAAUAUAUAUGAAUAAUUUAAUAUUUUUUAAUAAUAAUUAAUUUAUAUUUAAUUAUUAAAAUUUUUAUAAUUUAAAGCGUUGAAUUGGUUAAUUUUAAUUAUUAUGAAAUUUAUAUACAUAUUAAGUCAAUAAAUAAUUUAUUUUAUAAAUAUUUUAUAAUUAAAAAAAUUAAACAGAAUACGUUGAAAUUAAAAUCUUAAAAAUUAAAUAUAAAUUUUUUAAAUAAAAAAUAAAUAAAUUAAAAUGACUGCUUUAAAAUGGUAUUAGUGAUAGAGAUUUUAUUUAUAAGAGAAUUAUUAUUAGAUUUUUGAAUUUUUAAAAAUUUUAUUAAUCAUCAUUUUUAUAAAAAUCACUCAAUUCAAAUAUUAAUAUGUUUUAUAAAAUAAAAUUUAUUUAUUUAUUUGUUAAAGCAAUUAUUAGCUAAUUUAUUUUAUUUUUAAUUAAAAAAUAAACAAUAUAAAUAUUUAAAUAUAUAGAAAUUAAAUGAUAUAUAAUUAAAAUUAAAUAAAUUAAAUGAUAUAAAUAUUCGUUAAUAAAUUUAUAAAAAAAUAUUUAUAAAAUAUAAAAAUAUUUUAAUUAAAUAAAUUUUAAAUAAAAUAAAUUAAUAAUUUAAAAAAAAUAAAAACUGAAUGAUAAUUUUUUUAUUUAUUUAAAAUUAAUAAAAAUUACAUAAAUACAAAAUUGAGGAAGGCUAUGGCUCUUUAGCCCAUACCUAAAUCCGUCAUGUAGUAUAUUGUUUUAUAUGAUAAUCGUAAUCAAAUGAUUAUAUAUAAUAAUAAUAAUAAUAAUAAUAAUGCACUAACAAAGUAUUUAGACAAAUGUUUAUUUAAUUAUAUUUGUCACCAUCGCAUUUUACAAACUGUUUGAACCUCAGCCGCCACAAUUUUGGCAUCAUCUCAUCAAAACCCCUAUUUCUUUUCCUAGUAUUAUAGGCUCAUGUUGUCCAAAAAAAAAAUCUCAUGUUGCCGGAUGUGUUUUUCACCGUAAACGUAUAUUCAAUGUUUAAAUAAUAAUAAUAAUAAAUAAUGGUAAAUAAAAAUUACUCCACUUAGUCUAAAAAAAAUAAUUAAAUUUGUUUUCAUAAUUAAUUAAUUUAAUUUUUCCUUCCAUUUAAAUAAAAAAAAUCAGUUUUCAUUUGUUAAUCCUAAAGCUUCUGAAAAUAUAUAAAUAUAUAUAAAUAUUAAAAUUUAUAUACGAUGUGCGGAUAUCCAUAAUAAUGAAACUUAUCGCAGUUGUAUAAGUUUAGUCAGAGAAGAGGGUCGUUCUCUCCUCUUAUUUCAUUCUAUUUGUCUGUUAGUAGCGUCUAACGGCUUUCUUAUUACAGUGUCAUAUAUUUCUGUCACACAGGUUUGUAUAUAGUAUCAUACUAUCUCUUUACGUCAAGCGGUUAUUUAAUGCUCUUGGCGCGCAUGCGAAUAGAGUUGCGAAAUGAUUAGACCUGCUAUUCUCCAACAUGUCUAAUCACCGGACUAGGUUUUAUUCCACUGAAUUCAGACUUUCAGGUGACCCGAUCUGCUCUGUGUUUCUAGAUCGAAGUCUGAAGAGCCGGACUAUUCGGCGUAAAGAAUUGCACGGGUUUUGGUCCAGCUCUAUUUUCUUAGUCUGGCAUAAAAUAAAUAAAGUCCAAUGAGCAUCAAUAUAUAUAAAUAUAUAAUUGUUAGAACUAUAUAAAUAUUGGAAUUUUCCGCACUCAAAAUAAAUAGGAUGGAUGAAAUACAUAUAAUUAGUGAAAAUGAUAUAUAAAAUCAAUUGGCUUACAUUCAAGCUCCUAAGUUCUUUUUUACCAAGAGAUUAAAAAUUAUUAUUUCAAAGCGUGCUUCGGAUUCCCCAGGUCUCUUAGAAUGAUAUUAAAUGUUUUCGACCAUUUCUACUUUUUUUUUUUUAAAUAUUUCAUUUAUUUCACAAAAAUUUAUAUAUUUAUAUAUAUAACAUUUAUCAUUAAAAAUAUUUACAAAAAACUUAUUUUUUAUUAAUUGCUUUCCAAUGUUAAAAGAUGAAAGAUAUUGGAUAAAAUUAUUUAAAACUGAAAUAAAUUAAGUUAAUUAAAAUUAAUUUUUUUUCUCAUAGAUAAUAUUACUUUUAUUGGCUUAGACUUAAACGGGAUAGAAAAUAAUUUUUGUAAGAAAUCAACAUAUGUAUAACAUAAGAUCCACCAACAAAAAAUAUAAAAAGAAAUUAUAGUAAAUAGUGGAGUGUUAGACUGAGAAGCAAGAGACUCCAUAUUCGAAUUCGAUUGACAUCCCAUCUACAUCAUAAAUAUUACGAUAAAUUGAGAAAAAAAAGCUACAAAGACUAACUAUUCUAAGAUAGUUUGUCCGAUCAAAAAGAUUUAAGAAGAAAAAAAUCAUCAAUUUUAAAAAGUUACCAUUAAUAGAAUUUAUUAAUGCAUUAAGUAAAAUAUGUAAAAAUAAAUAUUAAUUCACAAAGCACAACUAAAAACUCAAAAAUAUGAAAUCAAUCACAAUUGUGAUUUGUGAAUUGAGAUUUGUUUUUACAUAUUUUAGGAGAAUAAAGGUGAUUUGUAUAUCGAAUGAGUAGAGAAUGAGUGAUCUUUAUAAGAAUGGAUACACAUGCUGCAUAGGCUAACGAGACCUAAAUAUCAAAAUUGAAAAGAGAAAGCAUAGACUACCUUGGUAUUUCCAAACAUAGGCACGAAGGAAGCACAAGUUUUAAGGCUCCAUCUAAAAAUUUUCUUACUAGGGAUCUUUCUUGUAUUGCAGAAACGUUAAUUAACUUGCCAGCAACAAUGUAAUAUAACCACAGCACAUGUAAAAAUAAUUAAAUAAAAUAUAUAUAAUAAUAAAAAAAGACAAAUCUCUCGUUUAGAAUUUAAAUACAAUCUAUUCCACUCUUAUAAUUGGGGGAGAUAACUAAAAAUCGAAAAAGAAAAAAACAGUUUGAUGUCGUUGAAGAAAAAAAGGGAGGAAAAAAAAAAAAAGAAGAAGACUAUAAUAAAAAUUACAGUUAUGAGGUCAGCACAUAAGUGCAUAAUAUGGAAUGAAAUUAAAAGAAAAUAAUAAAUUCAAUUUUAAUUGUAGAGUCCACGUGCGCAAUAACUCCCAAAUCUCGUAGAGAUGCUGCGUAUCAUUACUUCAGGUCAAAAAUUGAUUAGAUUCACUUAAUCUCCUUAUGUUAAUGAUUCAUCAACGCAUUAGAUUACGCAUAAUUCAUUAAUUUCUUGUGGUAAUUAAUUCACAACCCUGUUUUUUUUUAUAUAAUUUUUUUAGGAAAAAGUAUAUCGAAUCGUAUAUAUAUAUAUAUAGAUAGCCACCUAGGCUACUAAUUGUAGGUUCAUUGAGUCUGACCAUAACUGUCUUCUGUCUAUCACAAAGUGUUCAUCCUUCUAACACUAAGUUUGUUGUUAUUGCAGCAUCUUCAAUUUUCUUGCAAAACGGCACGUUUCUAGUGUGAACAAUGAAAUAGAUUUAUAUUGGCACAGAAUAUCAUGUCAGAAGAGCGGACACAUGCUUUGCAACUAAUGAUUAUGCACUGUUUAGUUUUGGACAUUAACUAAUUAAGUUCAACUUUUGAUUAUAACUUGGAAAAAAAAAAGGUAAUAAAGUUAAUUAUGGUCAUUUUCAAGUAAAUAUUAGUUUAUUUCAGUUAAGCAAUGGGUUCAUGCACCAAUUACACCCUCAAAUAGUUAAAGUUUGAAUCUUUGAUGUUAGCAUAUAUACAUUUGGAGUCACUUUCCUUUCUUCUUCUUCAGUCUGAUUUAAAUUUUUUCUUUUUAAAUGUGAAGAAUGUUUGUUUCAAUUUAUAGCGUCAGUUCAUAUCAGCUUAACAGUAUUUAUACAUGUUUUCAAAUCAUAUGAACAAUUACAUAAUUUGUUUUUCAUUUUAGACAUUAAGUAUAAAGUUGUUAUGGACAGAGAUGACAAAGGCUGAAUACUUGUCUUUUUCUCCUACCAUAAUUAUAGGUUACUGGAGUCGAAAUCGCAUAGUAGCUAGCUAAUAAAAUUCAACAUAAACUGUUCAAUUUCAAUUUGUCCAAUUCCUCCGAUGAGUGCCAAUUUUAGGGGAAGAGGGAGAUUUAAUGGUCGCCGGAGACAAGAGUGUGUGAGGAGCAUCGCUACUAUAAAUGGUUGGUGGAAAGAGCGUGGGCGGUGGGUCACAAGCUUACAGCUGCAAAAAAGUUAAAAAUGGCGAAAAUUCUAUCGAUGGACCAUGUACCAUGUAUCUGUAGGCAUCAUCCCUUGCCUAACCGAUUAGUCAAUUUUAUAUUUAUGCUUUUUUUAAAAAAAAAAAAAGAAAAAAACAAAUUUCCUUUUUAAUUAAAUUAAAUUUUGUAAUAAGGAGUUAAGGAGGGCCCGCCUGUUACAUUAAUUAAAAACAUGAACAGGGCAACUCAUCACUGUCUCUUCACGUGAGGGAAACCUAUCGCAGACAACACACGUAAACUUUAUUUUCCAAAAUUUCAUGCUCACGUGACACAAGGAAUAAAAUAAAAGUAAAUUACUUAUUUUUUCUUUUAUCUUUAUAUAGGGUAUACGAGGUUUUUAAUUCUAGUUUCUCUUUUUAUUAAAAUAUAUAUAUUUGUUUUAAUUUACUAUUUUAAACGAAUAGUGUGCUUGUUUUAGCCCCGUUGUAUAUUAAAUUUCCUUAUAAUUUUAAAAAAUAAACAAAUAAGGGUUUUUGAAAAAUAUGUAUGAGUAGAUAAUAGAAAUAAAAAUAAAUUAAUCUAUUUUAAUAUAUUUAUUAUUUUUUUUAAAAUAAAAUUACUGAAUAUAUUAAUAAAAUUUUAUCAAACAAAAAAGAUAUCAUUCCAAAGAGAUAAUUCCAAACAAAGAGACAAUCGUACCUAAUAAAUUUUCUAAUAAAAGUACGAGUAGUUAAAGUGGUAUAACGACGAAUCCAUCUAACAGAAAUAUCAGUUUUAAAGUCUCUCGAAUAAAGUCAUAAAAGAGAGUUUGUAUGAGAUAAAACUCGAAUAAAGUUUUUAAAUUAACGUCGUUGUUGCGAUUCCUAAAAUCUAUAAUAACCAGUAAACAUCUAUUGGAUAUUAUCUUGCGAAACAAUCGAAUCAAUAAAAUUUAAAGAAAAUUUAAUCACAAAAACAGACACAUGAUUCUUUCACAUUAACGAAAAGUCUCCUCUAAAUUCUUAUCAAAAUCAACCAUUAAAAUGUAAAAAUUACAAAAAAAAAUUUAUACGAUAAUUAAUAGUUUUUGUUUUCAUGAAAAAUAAAAUAUCUGACUUGUAACUAGUAACCAAAAUUUUCAAUACAUUAACUGUCCAAGAAUUGUAGAGUACUCGACAGUUUCAACACAGGACGAUCAUUGCUUCGGCUAUCCUGAUUUUUGACGGAAAAAAUUGUUUCGAUAAUCAAUUGACGAAAAUUUUUUUUAAUGGGAAAGGAAAAAAAAAAGUUAAAUUUAAGAAGAAAAAAAUACGAGAGUAUCAAAUUACAGAGAGACUAUAAAAUAAAAAUUUUUUUUUAUAUAUAUUUAAAAAUACGAUGAUAUCACGUAAUUUAAUCAAACUUUAAAAUUUUAUAAUAUAUUUAUUAGUCUUUAGUAGCUUAUAAAAUAAUUAAAAUGGAAGUAUCAAAACUAUUUGAGUGAUUGUUGUUUUUAAAAUUAUUUUUAUGGUUGUUAUUAAAUUCAAUAGAAAAGUCUAAUAAAAAAAUUAUUUUCAAAUUUUAUAGUUCUAAUUCAAAUUUGAUGGUUGUUGUUUAAAAAAUUAAAUGCAAGUCAAUUUAAUAAUUAUAUAUUGUAUAAUUUUAAAUUAAUCUUUUCCUAUUUAGAUCUAAAAAUUAUUUUAUUAAUAUAUGUAUACAAAAUUAUAAAGUAAUCUCCUUUUUUUUCAUAAAUUUUGGAAUUUAGAUGUACAUUUUUUUAUCAGAUAUAUUACUUUAUAUUUUACUAAUUAUUGAUUUUUCAUAUCCUUUUAAUUUAUUUAAUGUAAUUUUUGGAAUCUUAUCUUAUUAUUCUCUACAUUUAAGUUUUAUAUUUAUUUUUCUUUUUAAUAGUAUAAUUCUAUGCAAAAACAGAUAAAGUAUAAUACUUAUUUUAUUAUUUUUUUUAAAUAAUGUUUAAUCAAUAAAAUCUUAUAAUGUGAUUUUGGACGUUAUUUUAUAUAUAAUUAUCGAAUUGAUGAGAUUUAAUUAUUCAUUUAUUCUUUUAUUGUUUUUUAGCAAUUAAAUUUUUUUUUUAAUUUAAACUUUAUUGGUAUAUAUAUUUAUAAUAAUUAUUCAAAAGGUAUAGAAAAUUUAUAAUUUUGUCCAUGCGCGAAAGAGAAGGCUGAAAAGACAAAUAUACCAAAAUGGGGGGGGGUUCCUCGAAGCUACAUAGGAAUAAGGGAAAAUGUGAAAUUAUCUUUGAUACCCUGCAAAGUGAUAGGCCAAAAUUGGAAAAUAAUGGCCUCAGGUCACUCUCCAUGAACAGUAUCCAUUCUUUCUGGAGGACUUCCAACUUUCAACCAUUUUUAUCUUACAGUUUUGAAGACUUUGAAUUUUUUUUUUUUUUCCCAGAACUUCAAGGGGGGCAUGCAUCUGGACUCUUUCAACACCUAUCAUAUUCUUAUUUCAAUUUUGUGGUUGAUUUAAAGGCUCUAUGUUUCGGAUAAUGAUUUGAUUCUUCAAAUCACAAUCAAUCAAUAAAAUUUUCUUCUUCUUUGUGUGGGAAUUUUUAUUUACAUAUAUUACAGUCAUUUUCAUUAUGAUGUUUGCCAUAAAGAAAGGUUACCUUAGAUUGGCAGCAAGUUAUGAUUAUCACAGAUGUCGAUUCACAUGAAUCCCAAUUUUCAAUAGUAUAGGAGUGAUAGUUCAUAGUAUUUCUAAAAAAUGUGGUAUUUCUGAUAUUGUAGAAAAAAAAAAAAAAUCAACCUGUACUUCAAGCAGUCAAAUACACAUGUACUGCUGGCAUCCAAAUCAUUAAAUGCAUGACAAUUUUUUUUUGGUGUUAUAUGAUUUUUGUGGCUUUAAGCAUUUUCCUUUUAUGGGACAUUAGUAUAAUACUCGCAGUUAUUACUGUUUAUAAUAUAUUAUUUAUAUAUAUAUAAGAUCUCCACAAAAUGAGUGUAGCUCAUUAAAUUUUAGAUUUCAUUUAAAAUAAUUUAUUUUAUAAAAAAAUAUUGAAUUUUUUAUUAAAAAAAAUUAAUAAAAAAAUCAAUAAAAUUGAAUUCCUCGGUAUUAAAAAAAAUUAUCAACACGUGACGCUAAUUAAAGUGAUAAUAAGCCUUAUAAGACGAAAGAAAAACCAUUUCGAAAAAAAAAAAAAGACUAAAGAAAAGCAAAUUUAACGGCAAUACAACCGCAAAGCUGAUUUGUCCUGCUGAUAGGAAGAAAAGAAAAUGAAAAAUAUACAUCAUCCACGUCAGUUGACAAGUGGACAAGGGCCAAGGCUCAAUCCAACAACGCUUCACUUCAGGACAAAAUUGAGAUCAUAGGAUGACAUCAGUUCUGAGAUCUGACCUGGCCGCCAAGCUGCAAUUGACCCACGUGUGAUUUUCAUCCAUAGGCAUCCAAAUUACGGACCCCACUUCAGCCUAAUAUUGAAUAAAAAAGUGCCACUCUUCCAUCCUUUUACUGUUUUACCGUUCCGUCUUGUUUUUACUUUUUACCAAGCUUUUUUGUUUUAACUUGGCUUUCCUGCGCAUAUAAAAGACGUCCUCGGGCUUCAAAUUUGGCGUACCCCUAUGCAUCUCUACAACACUCCAAAUAGUGACGCAGCAGCUCAAAACCAAACCAAUUUCACAUGGACUCCUCCAUCUUUCACUCUCCAAUUUCCGAUUUCUCGUCGGAAUCUUCCUUCGGAUCGCCUGAAUCUUUGUACAGCCAAUCCUUUAACCAAUAUCCUCUCCCCUUCAAUGAAAAUGAUUCGGAGGAAAUGCUUCUCUAUGGACUAAUCUCAGAGGCCACACAAGAAACAUCAAAGCUAGCUCUCUGCAAUCGAAUUAUAAAGGAAGAAGAGGUUAGUUCUGUAACCAAAGAAAAUCCCAAGAAAGAGACGAAGUCGUACAGAGGUGUGAGGAGGCGUCCAUGGGGGAAAUUCGCUGCGGAGAUAAGGGACUCUACUAGGCAUGGGAUAAGGGUAUGGUUAGGCACAUUUGAUAGUGCAGAGGCAGCUGCUCUGGCUUAUGACCAAGCUGCUUUUUCAAUGAGAGGAGCUGGGGCUAUACUCAAUUUCCCAGUUGAAAGAGUGAGGGAAUCACUCAAGGACAUGAAGUACAGCCAAGAAGAAGGGUGCUCACCUGUUGUUGCUCUCAAGAGGAAGCACUCCAUGAGAAGAAAAAUGGUGAGCAGAAACAAGAGAGAAAAUGUGGUGGUUUUGGAAGACUUAGGUGCUGAUUACUUGGAGGAGCUUCUGACUUCAUCUGAGAAUUGUUAGACCUUGCUGAACAAUCAAUUAAUAUUUUACUAUUGCAAUUUUUUUUUUCUCCUCCUUUCAGUGGUAGGAUUGAUUUUGAAUAUGGGUGGAUGGGUAUGAUCUUGAUAUCUUUCUUUUUUUCAUUUUAUCCUGUAAAGUUCAUAGGUGUUAAAGAUUGAAGGUAGCACUUAUCCUGUGUGGGUCUCAACCACACUAAACAAGUAUCAAUGAAAUGAUAUGACUAUUAUCUUUCCUAGUACUGAGAUAUUUCAGUCAAAUCAUCAACUUGGCCUAUGUAUAUACAACACCUCAAAACCAGAGUUGCACUCUGUCAAGCUAUGACACAGAAUAAUUAUUGACAUAAUUGCAACAGGAACUUGGCACUGAACUUAAUUCAAUUGCUUAAAGCUAUUCCUUCUUCCAACGCUUAUUAUCAUUCAGAGCAAUAUAAGUCCAUGCACAUGUAUUUUUGUUGGAAAUCUAUACUCAUGCAUGUUUUCUGUCAUGGAAAUGUUUGUAGUUUAUUAUUCAAAUAAAUUAUUAUAUUAAUAUCAAUGAACGAAAAUUAGAAUAAUGAUCAUCUCACUAUUUUUUUUUGGGAUUUGUGAAAUAUAUAUGUUUUUUGAUUUUUUUUUAUUAAAAAAUUAUUAUUUAUGGGAAUAGACUCAUAUCGAGAACUAAAUUACUUUCGAUAAAUAUUUAUUUUAUUUAUAAAUAUUAAAUUCUAAAUAUAUUUUGGAUAAGUAUUUAUUUUAUUUAUAAAUAUUAAAAUCUUGACCUAUUUAGAAAAGAUAAAUUGGAACCAUUUAUUCCACAUUAGUACAACUUUUACUUUGCCAUCGCUUAUUUAGGUGGGUAAAAAUAUUUGAAGUCCCAAUGUAUCAGGUAGACAUGGCCAUUCCAAGAUUUAUUUUUUGAAUCAAACUAAUUUAAAAUAGUUCAAAAUAAUUUUAGUUUAAUUUUAAUUCAAAUUUAAAGCAGUUAUAAUUUUAAUGUUUAACGAUUUCGGUUAUUAUUUCAAUUAAAUUUAAAUUAUAAAUAGAAAAUCUGAUUUGAAUUAAAAAAAAAAUAACGGCAAAAAAUUUAAAUAAAAUAUAAAAAAAUAAAUAUAAAUCAUUAAUAUUAUUAAAUAUAUAUUUUAUUGAAUAAGUAAAUUAUAAAAUAUAUUCAUUCAUAGGAUAUAAAAAAAGAAAAUGAUAUACAUAUAAUAUAAAAAUAAAAGAAUAUUACAUUUAAAUAUAAAUAAUAUUUUUUAUAAAUUAAACAUAAAUUUAAACUUAAUUAUUUAAUAAUUUAAUUUAUUUAUAUAUAUAUUUAUAUAAUUUUUUAAAAUGAUUUAUUUAAAAAAUAAAAAAUCAAAUUAAAAUCGAGUUGAAUCGAAUAAUCGAUUUAAACAGCUCGAUUCUAAUUUAAUUAGUUUAUGUAAAGAAAAUUAUAACCAAUCAUUUCUCUAAGAUUUCGAUCUAAUUUUAAUUUAAUUCACUGUUUGAAUCAGAUUGUAAUCAUAUCUAAUAUUGGAUUCGACUCUCAUUUCUCCUUAUUAAAAAAAAUAUCCAAAGUUUGGGUACGUGAAGCUUAAUUUAAAGUAAUACUUUAGAAAAGACACCAUCUCUUUGAAGGAGGAUGGAGCUAAAUCAAUAUGCAAAAGAGGAACAUUUUCGUUUGUAGAGAAGCUGUUUCACAAUCUUAGGAAGAUAAGACUUUGGGUUUGACAAGCAAGUAGAAACUUGCUCUUCCUUGUGUACUUUUUUAUUACUGCUUUAACCUGAAAAGUGAUGAUUUUCUUCAUAUUUUCAAUUGAAAUACAUUUUAUUAAAAUAAUAAUAGUAGCAAACGAAAUCCAAUGUGCCACAAACUCUAUAGGUUUCAAAGUAAGGAACUUUUGAAAAAUCAAUAUGCACAUGUUAAAUUAAGUAAAUCAAAAUAGAAAAUUCUUGAUUUCAGGGAAACCAACGAUGUUUUUCUUCUUAUAUAAUACAGGAGGAAAUGAUAAAGAAAGUUGCAUAGAUAACUAAAACAAUAAAUUACUUUCCAAUCCUAGAAUAUAAAAUUCUGAAUUGAAUUGAAAAAUUUUAAUAAAAUUACAGAAACAGUUUAUUUGAUACAUGAGCUAAAUAAUUACAACAUAAAAAUUAAGGGAUUUUUGUGGUAUUUUAAAGUAUUUGAUUAACGAAAAAAUAAUUUAUCUUAAUUAAACAAGAAAAGUUAAAAAAAAUAAAAAAAUCUGAAACUGGCAGUAUCUUAAUUAUACUUGAGUUUGAAAAAACUAUUUGGGUCUAAUUAAUUCAAUUUGAAUUCAAAAGAAUAUUCUCUGUGCAGUUCGCAAUUAGGUCUCUGGAUAUUGGUUGAAGUUAGACUGACACUAGCCUGAUGAGACCCGUCUAUCUUAUACUCAACUUAAUAAAAUAAAUUUCGAAAAAAAAAUUAAUAAAAUAAAUAAUUUCUUUAUCUUCUAUCCUUUAGCAUUUUUUUCAUAAAUUAAAAAUUGUAAAAAAAUUUUUAUACACUCACAAAUUUAAAUUGCCAUAUUUAAAUAAAUCUAAAAUAUUUUAGAUUUUACUCCUCCAAUCCUCAAUUUCUAUUUAAAAAAACAAAAAAACCUUCAUAUCAAUCUCUUACUCUAUAACACAUAUAUUUAAUCAUCAAAAUAUUGCUUCCAUAUUUGAUAUACAUAAAUUAUGAAAAAUAUGUGAAAUUUACAUGUAAUUUAUACAUAUAUAAUUUAAUUAAACAUAAAAUCUAGAAAUAAAAUAUUAAAAUUAUUUUUAUAUAAAAUUGAUAUUAGCAUUUUAUAUUAGAAAUUAAUAUGAGAAAUUAAAAUCUACAAGGAAACAAUUUAAUUAGAGUAAGAAUUAAAUGUGGAAGGUCAAUGUUUUGUUCAGUCAAUUGAAAGGCUAAUAUUAAAGGGAAAAUCAUGCAUACACAAAGACUUUUCAUUUUGAUUUUGUAUGUGGUUAAAUGAAUUUGGUCACACAUCCAUUGUUCUAGACAACUGCAAUAAUUAUUUAAGCACACCACAAUAUCAGCUUUUCCUUUUCUUUAACUUGCCUAACAGAAUAUGCACUUCUCAUUCAAUUAAGUAAUCCUACAAUUAUUAGUAAUAUUAAGAUUAACUGUCCAAUUUUCAAUGUUAACUCUCAUAUCAUCUCUUACAAUUAAGUUAUUUAUUUAUUUAUUUAGAACGUUUGCCAUCUGAAAUUUAUUUAUUCAAUAUUGAGAAACAUAAUUAAUAGCCCAGCAUAUCAUUAUUAAUUAUUAAUGGACUCAGUUGUCCGCUACGAGUACGAGACCCAUAGAACUACCCGAUGGGCCUUGCUCCUGCUCAGUGUUAUUGGAACUGUGUGUUUUAAGGAAACGCUGCGCAUAACAAAAAGCUGUUGCAAGUUUCAUUCAAACAGCUGUGUUUCACUUUCAUUGUUUAAUUCUUUAUUUUGGUGCUAAAUGCUUAAUUUCGCUCCACAGGGAAUGAACAUUAUGCUUUCAUAUAUUUCUUAAUUUUUUAUUUAAUUCAUUUUUUAAGGAUUAAAGUGAGCUUAUAUUGGAGUUUUUGAGCUAAUUUCAAUAAAAAAAAAAGUUAUGAUCAGCAAUAUUUUUAAUCCAUCAAAGAUAGAUUAUGAGAAAGCAGCAAAAGGCUCAACGCUGAAAAGCAGGCAACCAAAGGACAAACCACAACAGCUCAAAACAAAAAGGCCCAAAGGCCGAAAACAGGCGAGAUCUUCUCUUCUUGUAUUUUCUUUUUCUCUGAAUAAUUCGGUGGUCUUAUUUAUCCAGUACUUUGCUAAAACCUGUCUAUUAAUUCAAUAAUUGGAACUAACCAAACCAAUUCUGAAUUCUCUAUUAGGUCUUCAUACUACGCUUUUAAUCGAUUGUAUUUUACAUGGAUGUCAGUUCCCUCUUUAAUGGAUGAAAGAGACCUUCUUAGAAUAGGUUGGAAAAUAGCACUGUGGAAAAAUCAAAAUUAUCGGCUGAAGUGACAUUUUAAUAUUUUUAAUUCUUUAUUUGAAAUUAAAAUUUUGAUAUACUUUUUAUUCUUAUAUUGAGAAUAAAAUAAUGCAAUCCUUUUCAAUUUUAAAAAUUUUCACAUUAAAGAAAAAUAUAUCUAAAAGUUUAUUUAAUUUUUUAUAAAUUAAUCUUUUUUGUGCCUUUACCUUAAAAUCAUAAUUGAAUAUUUUGUUCAAAUUAGAUUAUUUAUGGAAAUAAUAUUUUGUGAUACUCUAUCUGUUGCAACAAAAAAAAAUUGUUUUGCCUUUCUUAAUGUAGUCCUGUUGAAUAUGAAUUGAAAGGGUUAAAUUUAUCAAUUUUAAGAAUAAUUUAGUAAUCAAGCAAUUAUCCAAGGAGAGAAGUAAAUUAGGAAAGAUAACAUGAAAUUUAUUAUUUUUAAUUAUAUUUUCUUAGUUCAUAUAAAUAUCUAAUAAAUUAAGUAUGAAAUUUGUGUUUUAGUAUAUAUAUAAUAACACAAGUGAAACUGGCUGCUUUAUGUUUAAUGUGGAAAAUAGGAUAUGCUCAUAAAAUACAAGCAGAGAUAACAGCGCAUAACUACGCAGUCCUCAUCAGUUGUAGCAACUGAUGGAUGACAUACAAGGUGGCACAAUCACUCGCAUCACCAUUUAUUCAUACCUACCAUAAUACAUCGAGUUUUAAGUCGUUUAUUUGGAUGGAUAGGAGAUGGGGGAUUGUGCCUUGCUUGGGGGGCUACCUUGUAGUUAAGGAGCUGGGGGCUUUUUGUAAGACGGAGGCUUCUUGUAAGGUGGAGGCUUCUUGUAAGGUGGGGGCUUCUUGUAAGGAGGCUUGUAGACUGGUGGCUUCUUAGGGGGCUUGUAAUGAGUUGGUGGCUUAUUCACCUUGGGAGGCUUGUAAUAAGGUUUCUUGAAGGUUUCAGGUUCAUAGAUUGGAAUGUCGGGCUCAGAAGGGUCAUAUUUUGGCUUGUAAUCAGCAAGGGUUGGACUAGCUAUAAAAGCUAUAGCUACUCCGACGAACAACAGUGCUACCAAGAUUGCAUGCAUUUUUAGGUUUCCAAUGAUGCUGCAUUACAAAAGAGGUAUGGGUGCCUUUUAUAGACGUCUCAGAUCUUUGCUGGGUACACGUGUCACAGUUUGGUUCACAGUUUUUUCUGUCGGCAUAAGUCAAAAAUGGUUUCUAAAUUUUCGUGGAGACAAUAAAUGAGAUGGGCACAUUUGGGUCCUAUUUGUGUACAAUAGUUGAAAAACUGGGGAAAGGAUUUGGUAUCUUGUGCAGGGGAAAUAUUAUGAAGAUCUCUUAAUUUAAUUCUAAUUCAUCAUUCGCUUCUUUUGCAUUAACUACGGCUGCUUCAACGAUGCGGAGCAACUAAUUUAAAUUUUAAGAUAGACUUAAAUUGAUUUUAAUUUUUAUUAUUGAAAUCUGAUAAAGAUUUAUAAUAACUUUUUAAAAUUUUUUUUCAAUUUUUAAUAUACCUUUCCGUCUAUUUUAUUUUAAUUAAAUAAUAUUAAUUAAAAAUAAAAUAUAAUUAAUUUUUUAUCAUUAAGUUUAUUAAUGAAUUAUAUUUUAUUUUAUUGAUAUUAAAAUCGUAUCUAAAAUUAGGAUAUUUUAUUAAUGGAGCCAUGAUGGUAGUUACUGUUUUUCCUUCUAAAAUUCAGCAUAACGUGCACUGUUUGUCUCCAUGUAGUUGGUCAUUCACUAUCACUCUAUUAAUUCCCGUUUGGUACGAGACAGUGGAUCACAUGUAAUAUGAACAUAUAUAUCAUAUUAUUAUUAUUUUAUUUUGUAUUGCCUGAAGUUAAAAUCAUUUUUGUUGUUUCAUUUUCUCCCUAGUUUCAUGAGAAUGUAUUGGCAUUGGUGAACUUUUUAUGUUGCUUUAAAUGCUCUGAAAUAGAAAAUUAUUCCAUUUGUAGUCUUUAAUUCUUCAAAGAUUGAUCAUACAUUUUCACAACAUAAAUUGCAAUUUUCUGUCUGCUUGAGAGUAAAAUGAUUUUUUGUAAAUGCAAAUCGAAAUACAAGUGCUAUUUGUCUCUCUGGUAAUUAUCAACCAUAUAUAAUUUUCAUGAGUAAUCUUUUAGGUUAUUCCUUCAAACAGCAAAAGAUACUAAUAGUAGAGCUCACCGCUUAAUUUAGAUUAUUUACUGGCUACAAUUCGUGAUGAAGUGCAGUUAAGGCACAUAAGCUAUCAUCUACAGUGAAAAAGCAUAAGCUCUUAUUUCUAGUAACUUUAUAUAUGGAUUGGUAGAAGUGGCUUGUGGUGUGGACUAGACGUCGUCAUCAGGAGCCGGUUGCAUCUUACGUGGAAUUUCAGGAGGCAUCACCUUUGGUGGUGGCUUUUGGAGAGCAGCACAAUCCACUCAUAUUCCAUAACGACUACACAAUUAAUGUAACUAUUCUUAUAUUAGUAGGAGCAUGUUACCACCUGAUUAUAUAUGGCUAAUAAUUAAUACAUCCACAGAUCUAGUAUAGUACGUGAAGGAUAGAUAGAAUCAUAUUCCGACAUGUGCAUUUAUUUGAUACAUUUAGGCUGAGGAAUGGUCAGUAUUCGGUUCAAACCGAAAAAAUCGAUCGAACCGAAUUGAUUUAAAAAUUUAGUUUAAUUUUUUAUACAUUUCGGUUAGGUUUGAUUUUUAAUUUUAGAAAUUUCGGUUAUUUCAAUUCGAUUCAGUUAUGAUCAGAAAAAAACUGAAAAAACCGAACCGAUUAGUAAUAAUAAUAUGUUUUUUCAAUAAUAUAAAGAAAUUAAAUCAUAUUAAAAUUAAAAUAUUUUAAUUAAAUUUUAAAAUAUUAAAAAUAAAGUGUAAAAAAUAAAAAAAAUUAUUAAAAAUCGAAAUCGAUCAAAUCGAAUCAGACCGGUUCGGUUCGAUUCGGUUUCUGACCAAAAUCGGUUCGGUUCGAUUUUUAUAAACACUAAAAUUUCGGUUUUCGAUUUAUUCAGUUCGGUUUGAUUUUUGAACCGAACCGACUGAAUGCUCACCCUUAAUUCAGGCCAUACGCAAGUUGAAGAUGGAGGGCUGUUUUAUGGCAUCCUCGGGUUGGGGAUUAUUACCACCACAAUUAACAACUCUUUGCUUGUGCUCCGAUAAUAUCUUUGGUAAUGCUUCGUUGGAAGGUUCCACAGCAGCAUCAAAGGCCAUUAAUUUUCUUUCUGAAUUAGGAGGCCUCCGGCCACGGGGCGGCCUUCUUUGAGGUGGCCUUUGUUGAGCGUCAAAUGAAGGGGUUAAGGAAAGAAUUAUGCUCCAACAAGGAACAACAGCAGCAAGUGUUUGAGAUUGAUCAGAGCCAUUUUUGAGCAGGCUGUAGCUGUGAGCGUGCAAACACCAGAGAACUGGAGGGAUCUAUUUAUGGUGAAAUGGAGACCAAUCAGUCAAUCACGUUCCAUUGAUUAUUUGUAUUUUGUGCAGAUUGGUGCAACUGCUUUGUUGAAAAAUAGGGUGUUUCUUACGUGGAUUCGUGGAAUUAGGAUAUACUACUCGGGACGAAGCAAAAAUCUAGUGCUAUUAUUCAACAAUCAACACAUAUUUCUAUGCCUUGUAUCCCAAUUUAUUUAACACUGUGGUCAAGCAACUUUUGAAAAUAAACUAUCCAGAAUAAACGGAUAAAAAAAACGCAUGUUCGUAUAAAAUUAAUAGUGAAGAAUACAAAUUCUGUGUCACCAUUGAAAGAAAAAGAUAAAUAAAAAACUAUGCCUAAUUUAAUAGUGAAGUAAGAAUACAAAUUCAAGUAUGUUUGUACCUUUCUUUCAAGGUUAUAUAUACGUUGAUACCCUAGCAUCUCAAUUGGUACUAACAAUUUCUGCAUUGAAUACAGAGAUGUGCUUCCAUUAACAUAUUCAAUAAGCAGAACACAAAUAUAGCAGAAAAGAAGGCAGUGGACGAGUUCGCUAACAGCUAAGGAGACCACUCAAUUAUCUGGCUCCUUCCAUGCUUUCUAUUACCCCCCUAUAGCUCUCAAAACAUUUGUGAGGUUCAGAUAUCAGAGAAAUCACAUACCACAGUAAAUCUUUAUGAAUCAAUCUGUUUACACUAUAUUUGAGACAUCCCUGCACCAAAGUGUUAUAUUUGAAGAAAACUACAUAUAUCAAAAGAAGCGGGUAAGGGGAAAAUCAGCAUGACCUAGAAGUUUUGAAACUGGGUAAUGUUCUGGAAAUUUGAUGUCUAAUAUCCCAUUAACAGCAUAUAUUUCCCUGUAAAAAUCCUCCAUCGCUUUGAUUGUGGCUGCAUCUGGGACCUUACCAGCUGCAUGAAUCCAAAGUCGGCCUUUUGGCGAGUCAAAUAAGGAAAAAACAUUAAUGUCCAUGACAAAUGUAUCUAACACAGUAUCUCGAUUACAAUUGAGAACCAAAGAAAAUCCAGGCAAUCUUAAUCUGAAAUCAAUGAGCGUGAGAAUUUGAUAUAUGACAUUAAUGCAAAGCAAAGACCUCUAACACCAUCAUCAAUAAAAUAGAUAGACCCUUGAAAUUACGUCGAAGUGUUUUUUAAGACAUCCAUAGCAUCUAUUACAUGCUCUCUUUUUCCUGAUAACGUACUAUUAUAUGCAUAAGACAUCCAGAAUGUUCUAGAAUGCAAUUUGAGCGAGUAUUGUUUCUUGUUAAAAUUCUGUGAGAAUCUCCCUAGAUCUUCCAAACAAAUCACCGCCUAAACUAAAAUCCCAAUAUUCUCCCAUUCGCAAUUUUAAGUAAGCAAGAAUCAUGGGCUCGCCUAAACAGCAACAAACUCAAUUUUAGGAACUGAAUUUCCAAAAAUCAAUGGAAGCAAACAAGUAAAACCCAACUUAAUGAUAUGCAUAGUAUAUAUAUACCCAGUGCAUGCAACAAAAUACGUCAUAUAUUAAAGAAUAAAUAAGAAUAAAAGCUGAGGAGGACCAAAAGUAAAAAAUUAGAAAAAAAAAAAAAAAAAGGAAAAGUAUCAUCCUUUUUUGCAGAUACCUCAUACCUCUAACAGGGGCAGGCCAUGAUCUGCCUUCAACACGGUUAAUACCAUGAACAAGCAAAGAGGCCCAUGGCUGACGCAAUGUGAGACAUGGGUUUAUGUAGUUUCCAUGAUGUUUGCCUCCCAUUUGAUUUUGAUUUUAAACCAUUUACGAAAAAAUAAAGGGUUUAUUGCAAUGCCCUCUCCUUUAUAGGAAAGAAAUUCGCUGCCCAGGCAAAUGCCCUCUCCUAUGUAUAUAUAUUUAAAUUUACCGUUUAGAAAAAAAUAUAUUAAUUAAUUUUUUAAUUUAAAAAAAUAUUAAAAAUUCCUAAUAUUUUAAAAAUAUAUUAAUUAAUCUUUUAUUAAUUUCAAUUAUUAAAUAAUAUUACUCUUUAUAAUUUAAUAAAAAAUUAUUAAUUUAUUUUUUAAUUUUAUAAAAAAUAUAUUAAUUAAUUUUUUAUCGACUAUAUUUUAAUAUAUUUAAUUGUUAAAAUCAAUAAAUAGGUUAAUUAAUAAAUUUUUUUAUGAAAGUAAAGAAAUAUUUAAUAAAGUUUUUUAAAAUUAAAAACAACUAAUAAAAUUUUUGAGAAUAUAAAAAUUAAAUAAUACAUUUCUCUUAGAGAAUCUUUUCCCUCCUAUUUACUAGUCAUAGAUAUUCGACGAUCAUAUUACAUUAUAAAAUAUAAAAAAAAAUUUAAAGUGGAUGCUAAGAUUUAAGUUCUUUUAAAAUUCUAUGAGAAAAAAAAAAAUUCUUUUCAAGUUAUGGGACGAGGGAGUGGGGCAGAAUGUAAAGCCACAGUGAGGUAAAAAAAAAAAAAGAAAAAUUCCUUUUCCUUAAUGAAUAGGAAGUGAGAGCUUAGAACCUGAGAUUAAAGUGACUUGCAAAUAUUUUUAAUUUCAACUAUUUUAUCAAAUCAGUCUACAUAAAAAAUAAUUAGAUUCCGGCAACUGGUUCGCAAGACGAGCAACACUGCGUUACUUUAGUUCAUCUUUUAAUUUAUGCUCAAAUAAAUAAGUUUUGGAAUUAAAUUCAUUUGUUAACGAUAGUAGAGAAAUAGCUCAAGUAUUGGGAGGUGGGAAGAUAAGAUUUUGUUUCUGGGUAAGGCAUAGUUGUGGCACACCAUAACUUGGAAUGCUUCAAUGGUGGUAACAUGAGAAUGCUCUAAUGGUGGCCACGCUCUUUCCUUGUUCAUAUUACUUAUUAAAGUUGAAAUCUUGAAACAGCAAGACUAGUGCGUGCUUAGCUCUGUAAUGCGUCAACAGGUGGCUGCUUCUGCCGCCUGCCUGCAACUUUCGCAAGAGUUCCUAAACAAAGGAACAAACAAGCAAAAGGAAGCGUCUUGGUUUUCUUUCUUUUCUUUUUCUAUGUUUCUCACUAUUGGCAUAUUCACCUAACUAUCUACUUUAGCUCUCUUUCAUUCUUUCAAUUCUCAAAUCAGCUCAUUUUCAUUUCUCAAUAACAAGAAUAUAUUCUUUGGCCUUUUUCGAAUUCAGCAACCAACGGACACCAUUCAUUCUUUGCUCCACCACAAAGAAAUCAAAACCCAAUCUCCUCUGUCUUUUUUUUUUUAAAAAAGCAUGUUCGUAUUUAUAACUGCUCAACUGGGUCAAAGGGCUUGUAGUGCUGUUGCUGCUGCUGGUGGUGGUCCUUUAUUCUCCUUCUUCCUUGCCUUAGCUUUUCCUUUUUGUUAUGUGCUUGUUUAAAUUUGAAGGUUGAGAGAAAAGGAGGCUGGGAGGUAUGGAGCCUGCUGUUCUUAAUGGUGUGAUUAAUAGGUUGCUUGAAGUUAGAGGCCAACCAGGGAAACAAGUGCCGCUUUCUGAGACUGAGAUUCGGCAGCUUUGUAUCACCUCCAGGGAGAUUUUCUUGAGGCAGCCCAAUCUUUUGGAGCUCGAAGCUCCUAUCAAAAUCUGUGGUAUUUUGCCUUCAAAACCUAUAUGUCAUGUCUAUCUAUUUCCAACUGAUAGAAUUCAAUUGCCUAUUAGGGGCUACGAGUAUUGGUUAAGAUAUUAGUUCGGUUUUGUUUUAUUGCAAAUUCAAUGAUCAGCAUAGAAAAUCAAUUAUUAGAAGUGGGUCUUAAUCUGUCUUCAGUUUGUAUGAUUUCUGCAUCGGUUAUGUUUCGUAUUUAUAGGUGGAUUGUCUUCUAUUCUCGACUUUGCCGGUAGAAUAUGCCAAGGAUAUUUUAUGAAUUUUGUCUAUAAAAGAUUCCUGGAUUGGAAGUCUGUUCUUGCAUCUAAUGGAUGUUUUGAAAUACAAGCUGUUCUUUCACUGAUAUUGAUUCCAGAAACCGUUCUUCUAAUUUGGUUCAAAAUCAGUUUAACUAAACUGGGAUUUUAGGUUCUCUCAACGAAGGACCUUUACUGCCUUACCUUUAUUAUGCUCACCAAGUGUUUGCACCAAAAACAUCAAGAAUAGCAAUGCAAUUUAAAAAUAAAAAGGGCCACUCAUUGACAUAAUUAAGGGCAAGAAAUUCUAAUGAUCUCAUUGGUGGAUGUAUCCUAACUUCAACAUAAUUGAUAAAUCCUAGCUAUUCUUGUCUAUUAUAGCUUGAUAUCUUUUGUGUAUUCAUCAUUCUGCUACAUCUCUUAAAUGAAAUAUCUGGCAUGUGAACCAGCUUGGCUAAUCUGUUUUCUCAAAUUCAUUCUCUUCACUACCUUGUUUUCUAAUAUAUCAUCCCCUGUUCCCCUCUGAUUUUGGGUUGCAAACUUUGAGAAUUGAGAUUUGCAUGAAUUCCUUUCCCCAGUAACUUGCAUGAAGUCAUACAAUAUUAUUCUAAGCUGUUUAUAAUAGUAUCAUUUAUUUGUUUUCUUUUUUUGCUUUUAAUGUUAUUCAUCUGCAGUAGUUUUAUCAUUCUCACAUGUGUUACUUGUUUCUUUAUACCACCAGGAGAUAUACAUGGACAGUAUUCUGAUCUUCUGAAGCUUUUCGAAUAUGGUGGAUUACCUCCUCGUGCUAACUAUUUAUUCUUAGGGGAUUAUGUAGAUCGCGGGAAGCAAAGCCUGGAAACUAUAUGCCUUCUUCUUGCAUAUAAAAUAAAAUAUCCUGAAAACUUUUUCCUACUGAGGGGAAACCAUGAGUGUGCUUCUGUAAACCGUAUAUAUGGAUUUUAUGAUGAGUGCAAAAGAAGAUUCAAUGUCAGACUAUGGAAAAUAUUCACAGAUUGUUUCAACUGCUUGCCUGUGGCAGCUCUUAUUGAUGAAAAGAUUCUUUGUAUGCAUGGUGGACUUUCUCCUGAUCUGCACAAGUUGGACCAGAUAAGGAAUUUGCAACGACCUUGUGUUGUUCCUGAGUCUGGAUUGUUAUGUGAUCUCCUCUGGUCUGAUCCUAGUAAAGACAUUCAAGGUUGGGGAAUAAAUGAAAGGGGGGUUUCAUAUACCUUUGGUGCUGAUAGGGUUAUAGACUUUCUGCGAAAACAUGAUCUUGAUUUGAUUUGUCGAGCUCAUCAGGUAUAAUUUAGACUAUCAACUAUGUGCAGACACUAAUAUUCAUUUAGCUUGGCAUGUAUUGUAAUUAUUAUUAUUUUCACAGGUCGUAGAAGAUGGAUACGAGUUCUUUGCAAAUAGACAACUUGUAACCAUAUUUUCAGCUCCUAAUUAUUGUGGAGAGUUUGACAAUGCUGGUGCCAUGAUGAGCGUGGAUGAGAAUUUAUUAUGCUCAUUCCAAAUAUUGAAACCAGUUGAUAAGAAGCCAAAGUUUGGUUUUGGAAGCAUGGUUACUGCUAAGCCUGGCAACAGUACAGCAAAAAUCAAGGUACAUCUUAUUCCUUCUGGCUUCAAAUGUAUGGAUUACCGACCACAUAAAGUUAAUUAGAGAGUGGCCCUUGCACGAAAUUUUGGCCUUAGUCCCUGAAAUAUAAUUCUGUUAACAGAUACGUUGCUUGUUAGUGUGUCAUCUAUAGAAACAGUUGUAUGAAAUUGGUCUCAAAACGUAGUUCGUUCUUCCUUCUGAAUUUUGGUCUUCAUUUGCUUCUGAAAGUAUGUCACAAGAGGUCCUCAAAUUGGCAUUUCAGAUGCAUUGCUGUGCUUAGUAUACAUGAACUGCCUUCUUCAUGCUGCAUUCUGUCAUUAUGCUUUUUCCUUUCACAGCAUCUGAUUCUUCACAGCUCCCACCUCACCACCAAACCAUGAGAGGAAAGUUACUGGUCAGCUCCACAUUUAGAUUCAUCACUUCUUACUUUUUUAUUUUAUUUUAUUUUUUUCGGUUAACAAAGCAGGCGAGGGAAUACUCAAUAAACUUGGGAUGAAACACCCACCAGAUUAAGCCCGUGGGUGAUGCUCUUAUCCUAUUUUUAAUUAUGUGGUCAAGCUUUUCUUAAUAAUGUGUUCCAUUUCCUUUUGCCAGUCACUUUUAAAAGUGUAAGGAAUCUGAUCCAGCUGCCGUGGAAAGUGACUCGCAGAAUAUCACCACUGUACCAUCUUGUUUAGGUGAAGAUAAUACAGAGAAGUUCAUCGUCCAUGAAAAUUUUAGGAGGUUGUAAUCUCUAUGGGUUUUUUUUCAGUAUGGUUGCGUGUUGCAACUCUGUUAUCAUCUUACAAUAAUCACAGAGCAGAAAAUAUUUUAUUCCCUCAUUUUCCCAACUGGUGUUAUUAAGCAUAAACUAAAUCAUUCUUACUUAGCAGCAAUUCUUCCUUCAUAUUCUUUUCUUGCACUUGUAGAUCUGAAAAAUUCAUAUUACAAUAAGGUUUUCCAGCGGAAAGGAUAAGAUUUUUGCGGGGGACCAAUUUAGAUAAUUGAAAUGCACUUUGAAUUUGCAUAUAUGCCUUGUUGACUUGGAAAAUUUUCAUUGGAUCCAAAUAACUGGUGAUCAAAGUCUUACAACCACUUUGUAUUAUUCCAAAAUGGACCAUUGAAAUGCAUGUAAAUCGCCAAAAUGCUAAAAGCCAAUUUCACUUGCUGCAUAUUUUCGUUACUUUUUGAAUUUUAGUGGAUCAAAUGCCAAAUUGACCUCUUGAUUCUUGAGGAUUGUAUUCAUUCGAAGCUUCAGAUUUGGCUCCUAAAAGAAAUCCGCACUGAUCAUGAGAUUCCAUUCUAGUAUAAGGUUAAUCUUUAAUUAUAAAAUGUUAAUUUAAGAUACAGAAAGUAUUACUACAGUCUACAAGUGGAAGCAAAAAGGACCGACCAACAGGGAUUAAGGAACGAUUAGGCUUCUGAUAAAGUAUAGGAAGAAGAUAAUGGUGAGUACGUCAUGAAUUCAUAUUUCAUAAGGCUUUUUACGGUAUAACUUUUAGAAGAUAAUAUACAUUAAAUUAAAAGUAUAGUAUUAAGCUGAUAUGAGAGUUUACAUCAUUAAAAUUCUUUGUGAAAAAAAUUUUAAAAAAUAUAAAAAUUAGGUAAGGGUAAUAGCUGAAUAGAAAUUCAUUUAAAAAAAAUAAUAAAUAAAGAAUAGACACUGCAAAGUGCUAAUGUGAAUGAAAUUUCUUGGGAUAGAUACCACCGUAUGUGGUUGUUAUUUUUAGACCUCUUAAGAAUUUUAAAAAUUUUGGAAUAAAGAAUGUUCAACGAUUUCUAAAACAGAACGGCAUUGACUAACAUAAAUAGGUAAACCCACACUUCCAUAUUUAAAAAUUAAAUAAAAAAUUCAAUUUAAUUAUUUUUUUUUAUCAAAUCUCAUACUAAAACAUAUGAUAAGUAAAAAAUUAAUUUUUUUAAUUUUAAAAAAUAAAAUAUAUGUGAAAAUAAUAUAAUAUUAUUAGCAAAGUUAUUGUACCAAUUGAAAUUACAAUUUUACUCUUAGUCCCAACCUAAUUCGAUUCAAUAUCGAGACAUAUAAAUUACAUAUAAUUUUUAUAUAAAAUAAUUUAUAUAUUUAUAUUUUAAAUUUAUAUUAAAUUAGAUAUAAAUAAAAGUUAUGUCAUGUUGGAUUUCUUAUACCUCUUAUAUAUCUGUAAUUUUGAGAAAAAAAAGAAAGAAAAAGACCACUCUUCUGGAGUGGUGGACCCGGCUCGUUAGUCAUUGCUCGUAGUCGUCGAAGUCAACCUCCGAAGCGCGUAACUUCGCGUCUGAGUUAACUACAUUAUCCCGAUCACGCGCUUUCCGCGUCACAACAAUUGCAAGAAGACACAGAAGUUUUGGCCGUUCACAUACUACGUUAAGCCUUUGUCGGACAUUAAUUUCCCUGUCUUGCUGUUUAUGGUGACCAUCUACCUAUGAAUUUUUAUUUAGAAAAAUUACAAUUAUUUAUUUGUUUUUUUUUACUCUUACCCAUUUGAAAUUGACGUUUAAUUUUUUUUAUACAUGUCUGUGGGUGUAUUAUCUAUUGUGGUUUAUAACUGUUAAUAUACAAUUAGAUUAAAAAAAAUUAAAUGGUAUUACAUAUUUUAAAUUAUUAAUUAUUUAAUCUUUCUCUUUACUUAAAUAGUUGUUUUUGUAUAUCUGUAUACAUGAGAUGCAUAAUAAAUUAAUAAAAUAAUUAAGGGAAUUGUAUUGAAUGCGAAUGGAAGUAGCUACCUUCCCAUUCCCUCCAUAAAUUCACUGUUUUACGUAUCAACAGGAUUGAAUUCUUCUAUACAUGAAUAUGCAAGGAACAAAGUCACUUUCAUGUAUAGGCCAUUGGGAACUCUUCCCAGCUUCCUUGCAAAUGCAAAGGCCAUUGUAACUAUCCUGCCUGGCCUACGUUAAUCAAUUAUAGUUAAUAAUAUUAUUUCAUAAUCAUAUACUACAUCAAAGCCAGUUCUCACUUGAUCGGUGGCAAACAACCAAAGCUGUAAUGGGCAUUCAAAACUGGAAUUUGGAAAAAUGAGAAAAAUCAUGCACAUGCAGUGCCUGGUUCUCUAAUAAACCCAUGUAAUGACACAAAAAGAAAAAUAAAAGAAAAGUCAAAGUGACGAAACAAAAUGAUCAGAUUAUUGACUGACUUAGCAUGCAACGUCAGAAUCCUCCCAUAUUUCUUUCACAUUCAUUAAUUAAUUUUGUAGUUAGAGUGGACGUCUCAUGUAAAUUGCAUCACAACUUCGGUCGAUGUACGCAAAGCCUUCUCUCUUUAAAUUCAUAUCUUUGAAAAAAUAAUCUGUUUUUUGUUUGAUUGGCUUAAGAACUGUGUGUGUAUAGGACCUUAGACUUUAUAGUUUAGAAAUUUGAUGAAGAAUUUUGGAUCCCCAUAAAGGACUUAAGAACUACUAUGCUUAUUGAAUUAAUUUCCAAAGAUAUUAAUUUAAAUUAUUUUUAUAAUUUCUUUUUACAUAACCCUCUUACAUAUCAUCAUCUAAUCAUCUAUUAAUUGUCUUUUGCUUUCAAAAAUUUAAAAAGCAUGGACCAUUAGUUUAUUUGUACAGAUUAAGUUAUACACAAACAAUUUUAAAUUUUAUUAAUUAAUUCAUAAUUUUUUUAUUAUGUUCAAUUAGGCCAAUUUUAUUAAUGCAAGCAUAUUGCAAAAAAUGAUAAAUUAAUAAAUUAUUAUAGAUUUGUUUUAUUUAGCUCAUCGUUCUAUAUAAACUCUGACUCUAGUUACCCACUCACCCACCCACCUCUUUGCGUCCUUGGUGUGGAUUGAAGGAGCAGGUUAGUCUCUCUACCUCCUUUGCUUUCUUUUUGUUUUUUGGAAACAUUGAAAACCAUUUUAGACAUGAAGCUUGACAGUCCCAAGUUUCUUGAACUCCUCAUGAGCCAUAACACCCAGAUUGGGAUAUUCAGUAGGAUAUGUGCAAAAUGAAAGCAGCAUCCUUUUCUUAACGUACGUUUCCUUUCGUCAUUAUAAUUCCCAGGAAGUUACUCGAGUAGAGCAGACUUUGGAAACCAUAUCCACAUUUACUUUCUCCUUCAGAAACAAAUCCUUAGCAAGUUUCUUUGUAAAAUUUAUCUAGCUAUUUCACAAUUAGCUUCAGUAUGUUUCCAUUUCUGUUGUUAGUGCAAGUCAUAUGAUUUGGUUAUAUACAUGGUAGUUCUAGGUUAAAAGUAUUUGAAAUUAAUCAGCUUUACCUUCUUUUUUUUUUUUUUCUAAUAUAGGAUAAAUUAGUUUGUAUAUUCAGAAUCAAGUUCAAAGGAGGUUUUUUUUCUUUUACAAUUUUCUUUUACAAGUUCAAUAUUGGAUAUAUAAUCGCAGAAGGUAUUUCAAAACUCAGUCGACUUAAAACCUUGCAUUUUUCAGUUGUUAAUACAAUAGCCGGCCUUCUCAUUUUUCUUUCUUGUUAUUGACAAGUGGGAGGACAAGGCAAAUUAAAAGUCGCAAUCUCUCAAUUUUGAAAUUUUCCUUAAGCUAUUGAUAGGUCUGGGACAGCAAAAUCUACCCAAUAGAGCAGCAAGAAGAUUUUCCUUUCCUCUUACAAUUAUUUCUCCAUUCAGUGACUUCUACUUCCAGCUAUCCCCCUUGUUGAUUUUUCUUCCUUGUCUGUUUAAUUAAGUCUUAUAGUAUAGAGUGACAUGUUAAGCUAGCUACAGUUCACGUGACUCUAUUACAAUGAGCGCCAAUCAAGAACCACAAGCUUGCAUCAUCUGGUAGUUCAUCUGUCUAUUCCAUAUCAGUAUAUCUGACCAAAAACUCAAAAUUUUAAGUCUUCCUUAGAAAAUUAAACACGUCACCGUUACCUUUUUUUUCCCCUUCAUUGUCGUAGUUAUUGAUUUGUUUUAUUGUACCACUUGCUGUUUCCAUGAGAAGAGAACAAAAGAAUUGGACUACGAUGUGAUCAUGUUUUAUGCAGUCUGUUGAGAGUUGAUAUUGGAAGCACAUAAUAUCUUGUAAAUAAUUCAGAAUCUUAAGAUUUUCCUCAAUCCAAACAAUCCCUUAACCCUGCAUAAAUCUCUGAAGUUAUCAAACUAAUUUAACAGCGAGGGAAUACUGACCAUAAAGUCAUACUAAUUCAUGUCUAUAUUUUUCUCGUGCAGAUAAAAUUUUAGAAUACAAGUUGGGGAGAAUUGGCCAUGGCCAGAGAACAAUUGGGAGUGCUUAAUGCACUCGACGUUGCCAAGACUCAAUGGUACCAUUUCACAGCAAUUGUGAUUGCUGGAAUGGGUUUCUUCACAGAUGCAUACGACCUUUUUUGCAUCUCGCUGGUCACCAAAUUGCUUGGUCGCAUAUACUACACUGAUUAUGAUAAAGAUAAGCCUGGCACAUUACCUCCAAAUGUGGCGGCCGCUGUCAAUGGUGUUGCACUUUGUGGCACUUUAGCAGGCCAGCUCUUCUUUGGGUGGCUUGGUGACAAAUUGGGCAGGAAGAAAGUCUAUGGGAUAACUCUGAUUCUCAUGGUUGUUUGCUCCCUCGCCUCAGGGCUUUCCUUUGGAGGGACUCCUGAGGGUACCAUUGCAACUCUUUGUUUCUUCAGGUUCUGGCUUGGAUUCGGUAUCGGUGGUGAUUAUCCCUUAUCUGCCACAAUUAUGUCUGAAUAUGCUAACAAGAAGACUCGUGGGGCAUUUAUCGCCGCCGUGUUUGCUAUGCAAGGAUUUGGGAUUUUGGCUGGGGGUAUUGUAGGUCUUAUUGUUUCAAGUGCCUUCGAUCACAGAUUCAAGACCCCGCGAUACUCAGUUAGUCGACGUGCCUCACUUGCUCCUCAAGCUGACUAUAUUUGGCGCAUUAUCUUGAUGUUCGGUGCCUUACCUGCUGCACUCACUUAUUACUGGCGCAUGAAGAUGCCUGAAACUGCACGUUACACAGCCCUCGUUGCUAAGAAUGCAAAACAAGCCGCUGCAGAUAUGUCCAAGGUGUUGCAUGUUGAUCUUGAAGCAGAGGAGGCGAAGGUACGGAAGUUAGCUACAGAACAAUCCAAUUCAUUUGGCUUGUUCUCUAAGGAAUUCGCCAAGCGCCACGGUCUUCACUUGGUAGGAACCACGACUACCUGGUUCCUGUUGGAUAUUGCUUUCUACAGCCAAAACCUUUUCCAGAAGGAUAUCUUCAGUGCAAUCAAUUGGAUUCCUAAAGCAGCGGAAAUGAAUGCCAUUCAUGAGGUUUAUCGGAUUGCAAGGGCUCAAACACUUAUUGCACUGUGCAGUACAGUACCCGGAUAUUGGUUUACAGUGUUCUUAAUCGACUACAUGGGGAGAUUUGCCAUUCAAUUGAUGGGUUUCUUCUUCAUGACAGUGUUCAUGUUCGCACUCGCUAUCCCAUACCAUCAUUGGACCUUGAAGCCUAACAGAAUUGGUUUUGUAGUGAUCUACUCACUGACCUUUUUCUUUGCGAAUUUUGGACCCAAUGCCACAACAUUUGUCGUCCCUGCAGAGAUUUUCCCAGCAAGGCUAAGAUCAACGUGCCACGGUAUUUCUGCAGCAGCAGGAAAGGCAGGUGCUAUCGUGGGUGCAUUUGGUUUCUUAUAUGCUGCACAAAGCCAAGACAAAACCAAGACUGAUGCAGGUUACCCUCCUGGCAUUGGAGUUAAGAACUCUUUAAUUGCUCUGGGUGUUAUCAAUUUCUUUGGCAUGUUGUUUACAUUGUUGGUGCCAGAAUCAAAGGGCAAAUCCCUAGAAGAGUUGACAGGUGAGAAUGAAGAAAAUGAUGCGGAGACUCAGGACGCUGGUACUGCUAGGACUGUUCCAGUGUGAUUUUGAUCAAGGUUUCUGAUACUUGUAUUUUGGGUUUAAAAGUACUCUACUUUCUUAAAAUGCAACAAUAUUAUGUAUAUGUAAUAUAAUAUAUAUUCUAUUGGAUACUUGCUCUUAAAGGCUUUUCAUUGAAGGUGUUCAGAUUUUGCUCUGAUGUCCUAGAGCUGUAUCCUUGCACUCAUCAAUGUUUCAAUGAAAUCUGUAUUACCGACCAUAAAAAAUAGAAAAAUAUUUACUUAAAUCGAAUUUAUCUGAAAAUAUAAUGUAAUUAUACAGUGAAAUUCAAUAAAAUCUUAUAUAAUUAUAUUAUAAUUUGUGUACAUUCAGUUUAGAUAAAAAUUAUAUAAAAAUUAUUUUUAUAUAUUUAUAUUAUAAUUCAUGGACAUCCAAUUUAAAUAAAAAUUACAUUAUAUAAUAUAGAUUUAAAAGAGUUCGCAAAAACAUUCGCUUCUUGAUUUUAGUUUUUUAAUCAAUGAGCUCAUAUACUGUAAAACCUUAAAAUAUUAAUUUUUCAUUGAUAGACUAAAUAAAAAUUAUGAAUAAAAUAUAUAUAUAUAUAUAUAUAUUUUACUUACUACUAAAUAUAAAAAAAGAAUAUGCAGAAAUCUUUUCUUUGGCUCUUUUUUCAUGAGAUUUUCGACAAAAAUAAAUAAAUAAAUGAGUAGAAAUAAAUCAUGUAAAUUAAAAAAAAACAAAUACCAAGUAAUUUUAAUAACUAUAUUUAUCUACCUAUCAAAUUUAAAGUAAUCUACUAUUUUAUGACAUGAUAUUAUUAGCUUACUCCAUAAUUUUCCUAAUCAGUCUAAUCUAAUUAAUUAAUAUCUUUCCUUGGAGUAAAUUGCUAAAAUGGCAUCCUCACUCAUUGCGAUGACUCCAUAAAAUCUUGAUUAUUAUUAAUUUUUUUAUUUUGAGAGAUUAAUAAUAUUUAUUAAAAAAUCACAAUAAAAUACUAUAACUAACCCAAUUUUUUUAACUGUGCGGAUGCUAUGAAAAUAUAUUUAAUAUAUAAUAAAGUAAAUAAAUAAAUCCAAUAAUUCAUAUUAUCUAGAAAAUGGUGAAAAUUAUUUUGAGUCGUCAAUGACUAAAAUACAUAGUUUUUCCCUGUAUGUGAUUGUGUGUGUGUGAAUAUACACGAGGGAAAUUUGGGGGAGGAUGGGUGGCUAAGGCUUCCCUAGUCCCUAGUCCCUAGUCCUCCCUUCCUGCAUCCAGCCACCAACCUUGCACUGGAUCAUCAAUUGGGCUACGAGAUCAACGUCAUCCUUAUUCGCAACAGAAGCUCAAGUGAAGCUGGUGAAAUUUUCAAAAAUCACAAUGAGAUCCGCAGUGAUAGAACCUUAAGGGCCCAAAAGUAGAAGAUACGGUUGUAGUUCUAGGAAAAUGACGUUAAAUAGAGCUCAUCGUAUCUCGUUCUCGUGUAGUCUUAAGAGGAUCGGCCACAGGCCAUCCAAUCAUCCGGGGGCUCUCUGACGCCUAACGCUUCAACUUCAUGGGUAGAUAUCCAGGGUCUAAAAGCUUUAGAUUCAAAGAAACAAGCACAAAACAGACACCUCACGCUGUGCCAUAGGUUUUUCACUAACUCAUCGGUCAUGAGCAAGCGAUCAAUCCUGAUCGGGUUUCUCAACGCUGGGAAUCACAAGCGAGAAACAAAAAUCACAGCAAACAUGUAACCUUUGGGGAAUAUAAUUCAACGGUAAAACUGAAGAUUCUUUAAUAAUUAAUUAAAACAUUCAAAAUCAAUAAAAAUAUAUUUAGAAAAAAAAAUAAGAGACAUACUUCAUAUAUUUAAAUAUUACUUUCUUCCAUUUUAUAAAAAUUUUAAAAAAUAAUUUAUAUAAUAAAUUUACUAAUAUUUAAUAUACUAGUAAUCAUUAUUUCAUGAAAAACGAUAAAUUUUUAUUUUUUAUAUAUAUAUUUAAUAAGAUACAUAUCAGGAUAUUAAUAAAAAAAUUAUUAUUUAAACAAAAGAUAAAUAAUAUAUAUUUUUUAAAAUUUAAAGACCUUUUUAAAUAAAAACAAACUUAUAUUUACGCAAGAAGAUCUUAUGCUUAUGUUAUAACUCUUCGGCGGACGGUGGAUACUGCAGAGAAAUAUUAUAAUCUGUUAAGUGUUAAAUAAACCCCGCCAUUUCCCUGCGCGGCGUCCUCUUCCCUUCUUCGCGCUCUCUAUCUUAAUCGCAAACGCAUUGUUAAGUAUAACAACCACAGGCACGGCCUAUCCCCCUCUUUCUUCGUCUUCUUCACUUUUCUUUUCCCUUUCUUCUGAUUUAUUUUUCAGUACAGAAAGACAGCAAAACACUUUUCUCUGGAAUCGCACGAUUAAGGUCGGUUCUACUUUACUGUUUAUUGUUGCUGUGUGGGUGCGAUCAGGUUGUUUAUUUUGAUUUAAAUCACUAGCUUUCUUGAUGGUUCAUAUUCUUAAGAACCUUCAUGAGUUGAUUGAACACACUGUUGGCUCACCUUUCAGUCUUGAUUUCCUUUUUAACUUCUCUUUUCCCCAAUUCUCCUUUUCUUCUGGGAGGAAAUCAGGGGGCUUUGCUUUUUUCCUUUUUUCCUCUGAGGGUAUUUUAGAUAUUUUAAUAAUGAUUUAUGUAAUUCUAUCCAUCUAUAUUUACAAUUUUUUGAAGUAGAAGGGCAAUUUGAAGUUCCCUUCAAGAACUUUGUAGAACAAUAUCAGUGAUCAGAGGAUGGCAGCAAACCGAUCAUCUGGGAGAUUACUAAGUUUGUACAGUUUUCGAUAAACUUUGUAAUGCAAUUAUUAUGUUAUAAUAGGUUUGAUAUGGAUUUAUUAUUUUAUAAUAUAAUAUAACAAUAGUUAUUAAUUAUAAUAAUUUUUUAUACAAAUCUAUCAUUUUAUAAUAUAUAGUUGUUAUAUAUAUAAUAAUUAUAUUUAAUAAAGUAAAAUAAAGUAAAUAAAAAUUAUUUUAUACAACUUUUAUAUAGAAAAUAAGAUUUUAAAAUAUUUUCAAUUAAUAUAUUAAAAACUGAAAUUAUUAAAAGAAAUUUAAAAACCUUUAAAAUUUUUAUUUUACAUUGUUGUUUAAAAAGAAAACUUUAUCUUUUUUUNNNNNNNNNNNNNNNNAAAAAAAACUCUUUAACAGCUCUGUAACUUUAAACUAAAUUUAUAGUUUUCCUCAACAAACUUACUGAACAAUAGUGUUAGAGUCGAGUUUUGAAUUUUCUUCUAUUACUAAGAAAAAAAAAGAAAAGAAUAUGGUCUCAUAUUCUCUUCUGAAUUUAUACAUUGUACUUGCUGGACCCAUUAAGUUUCCCUUCUUACGUUCCUUUCCUGACUUUCUUGCUUCACCUGUCGUCAUCCAUGUCACCAUGGACGUGUGGCGUUAAUCUUUCUUUCUGUUUCUUUUAUUUUAUUAAUUUUUUACACUUCCUUGUCUGUUUUCAUGACUGAUAUUUGCUCAUCUUUGAAACUCACUUGUUCACGCAUUUAUGGAGAAAAUUUUCCCACUGUGUCCUUCUUACGAUUGCCUGAUCACUUAUGUAAGUACAUCUUGUACCUACACAUGUAUAGCAGUUCUAUUGGGCCGACUCAGCCUUUUGACUCACAAAUUGGACUAGAAGACUUGAAAACUUUUUCUAUUUAAGGUUUUCUUAUAUGUUGAUUAACCCAUCAUAUUGCUGCUGUUUCAGGGGAAAUCAUGGCAAGGGAACACCACCAUGUGCUUAAUGCACUUGAUGCGGCCAAAACACAAUGGUACCAUUUCACUGCAAUUGUGAUUGCUGGCAUGGGUUUUUUCACUGAUGCCUAUGAUCUUUUUUGUAUCUCCCUUGUCACCAAGUUGCUAGGCAGAAUCUAUUACUACAAGGAAGAUUCUACUACUCCUGGAUCUUUACCAUCAAAUGUCUCAGCUGCGGUUAAUGGUGUUGCUUUCUGUGGCACCCUUGCGGGCCAGCUCUUCUUUGGCUGGCUUGGUGAUAAAAUGGGCAGAAAACGUGUAUAUGGAAUGACAUUGAUGCUUAUGGUCAUUUGUUCGAUUGCAUCAGGCCUCUCUUUUGGCAAAAGUCCUGCUGCUGUCAUGUCCACUCUCUGUUUCUUCCGCUUCUGGCUUGGUUUUGGGAUCGGUGGUGACUACCCACUUUCUGCUACAAUCAUGUCCGAAUAUGCUAAUAAAAGAACUCGUGGAGCUUUCAUAGCUGCUGUUUUUGCCAUGCAAGGUUUCGGGAUCUUGGCUGGGGGGAUGAUUGCUAUUAUAAUUUCUGCAGCAUUUAAGGCAAAAUAUACUGCCCAACCUUAUGAAAAUGAUCCGGCUGGCUCUACGGUAGCUGAAGCUGAUUAUGUUUGGAGGAUUAUCUUGAUGUUUGGUGCAGUCCCAGCAGCAGUAACUUAUUACUGGCGAAUGAAGAUGCCUGAAACUGCGCGUUACACUGCUUUAGUCGCCAGGAAUGCCAAACAGGCUGCAUCUGACAUGGCAAAAGUGCUUCAGGUUGAUUUGGAGGCAGAAGAAAAUGAGAAAGUUGAGCAGUCGGACAAAAAUAAUUUUGGUUUGUUCUCUAAGGAAUUUGUUCGCCGCCAUGGAAUUCACUUGAUUGGAACCACUACCACUUGGUUCUUUUUGGACAUUGCAUUCUACAGCCAGAAUCUGUUCCAGAAGGAUAUCUUCAGUGCUAUUGGAUGGAUUCCUCAGGCUAAAACCAUGAAUGCCAUCGAAGAGGUUUAUAGAAUUGCUAGAGCACAAACUCUCAUUGCUCUUUGUAGCACGGUUCCUGGGUAUUGGUUCACUGUCGCAUUAAUUGAUGUAAUAGGAAGAUUUGCAAUUCAAUUGAUGGGAUUCUUCUUCAUGACAGUGUUCAUGUUUGCUUUGGCCAUACCUUACCGUCAUUGGACUCUACCAAGAAACAGAAUUGGAUUCGUUAUCAUGUAUUCAUUAACCUUCUUCUUCUCCAAUUUUGGUCCAAAUGCCACCACAUUUGUGGUGCCUGCAGAGAUUUUCCCAGCAAGGUUAAGGUCGACCUGCCAUGGUAUAUCAGCUGCAUCUGGCAAGUUAGGGGCAAUGGUGGGUGCAUUCGGCUUCUUGUAUGCUGCAGAUGGUAUCGGUGUGAGAAAUACACUAUUAAUCCUUGCCGGAAUCAACUUCUUGGGAAUGAUGUUUACUUUCUUGGUACCUGAGUCUAAGGGAAAAUCAUUAGAGGAAAUAUCCGGUGAAGCUGAGGAAGAAAAUCAAAGUGACAAAACUACAAUAGUCUAGGCAAAAUGUUCCAGGCUUCUAGCUUAACUAGGCUUUCCUUUUAUGUAAUGUGUUAGCGUGAUCUACAGGACAUAAUCAAAGUCGCAUGGUAAACUCUGUUAGCGUGAAUAUAUGAAAAGUUUCAUUCAAUUUGAGAGAGAUUUGAUAAUUGAAGGGACACUCAUCGAUUGGAUUCUUCAACUGUACAUGCGUUUGUAUCAGGCAACUAACAAAUAUGUUGCAUUGAUGAGAUUGUUUUUUUAAGCUGAUAAUAAAAUUUAACAUAAAACGAACAAACCCAACCAUGCGGAACAUGCUUCCCUUUACCCGAAAUCAAUAAAGAAAACAAUGUCUAAUAAUACUUUUGAGGACUUUCCCCUUGAGUGACAGACCAGCCUUGGGCUGAAGGCUCAUGUUGGAUUUCAUCUCUUUUUAAAGCCUUGGGCUCAUCGAGGGAAAGAGAAAAAAGCAGUAUAGUCCGCCCAAUUCAAACGUGAUGCGACCAAUACUCGUUUUGGAGACUAAUAAAUUGGGCCCUUGUCUGCCCAACAAGUCCAUGAACAAAACUCACCUCACAGUAACACUUAGUGAUUUUUUUUUUUAAUUUUUAAAAACAACCUAUUGGGAUGGUUUAGUUUACCACUAAUUUAGAUUUUGAAUUCAAAUGAUGAAAAAGUAUAAGUUUAACUUUACUCUAUUUAAAUAAAAAUACUGUUGAAAAGAUAUUGAUGCUGUAAAAUUUUACCUGUUUACUUAUAUAAUUUUAAAAUUACAUUUAUUUAUUUUUAUAGAUUUUUAUUAGAUUUUUAUUUUUAAUUUUACUCUAUUAUUUAAUAUUUUUACUUAAUUUAUAGUGUUUUUAUAAGUCAAAACUAAUUAAGUAAUGAAAGAGAUAUUUUAAAGAAAAAUAAAAAAAUGUAGGAAAUUUGAAAAAAACAAACAAAAAUAUGGGAUGGAUUCAUAUUUUUACUUCUGUCUCAUAUUUUAAUAUUUACCUCAUAUUUUUCUCUAAGCAAAAAUCUAAAACCGAAUCAUAUAGUAUAAAAUAGAGAGUAAAUUUGUAUUUUUGUAAUUUAUCCCAUUUUCACUCUUUUCCACGUACUCAACCCUAUAUUUUUAUUAAAAAUCAUAAUCCCUUAAAUUCCCAAUUACCACAUAUUAAGAGUUUCAAAGGUAUAAAUAAUCAUAACUGAAAGGUGAAAGGAUUUUUUUGUCCACUUUUAAAUACAUACACACAGAAGAAAUAAUAAAGUAUUCAAGGAAAAAUUGAAAAAUCUAAAAAUUUAUACAUCUAAAAUUUUUUUUUAUUAUUAUUUUAAUUUGUUAUUCAUGAUUAUUUUAAAAUAAUUUUGAAUAAUUUCUCAAUUAAAUUUAUUUUUUAAUUUUUCAACAUAAACAACUAAAUUUUUUUAUUUGAAACUUAAUUUAGCUUGAAUUAUUAAUUUUUUUUAAUUUAUUUGAAUCGAUACGCGUUAAUUAUUUUUUAACCUAUAUAUACGGUAAAAAUCAUGAGAAAUUUAAUAAAAAAAUUUUUAAAAAUUUAGAAACUCAUACAUUUAGAAUUUAAUUUAAUUUUUUUAUUUAUUGUUUAUAAUUAUUUUAAGAAGAUUUUUUAUAAUUUAUUAAUAGAAUUUAUUUUUUAAUUCUUGUAUAUGCGCAACUAAAUUAUUUUAAACGAAAUCUUAAUUUAGUUUGAAUUAUUGAUUUUAUAUAAUUUAUUUAAAUUAUUUUUUUUAAAAUUUAUUAUUUAAUUAUUGAUAUUAUUGUUUUUAAUACAUGCGGAAUCCCAUAAUGCUUAAUGAUCUAAUCAUGAAAUUGAUAAUGUUUUAUAAUUAAAUAGAAUUAAAUAUCAGGAGAAUAUUAAUUGAAUUGAGAUAAAAUAAUGGUAGUGUUUUAUGAAUUCUGAUUUAUUAAACUAUUUAAUUUAAAUUUUUUAAUUUUAUUUUAAAAUUUAAAAUCAUUGUUCACUAUUAUUAUCUAACUAAUAAUUAAAUUUACAAAUAUUUGAGUAGUUACUUUUAAGUAUAUGGUCAGCUUGUCAAAUAUUAAUUUGAUAGACUCACUUAUAUAUAUAUAUAUAUAUAUAUAUAUAUAUAUAUAUAAUUGAUAACAUAAGCUUCUCAAUUAUGCAGACAGAUGAAGUCUACUGGUAACUCACUUUUUCUUUUUAAAAGUUGUUGUAAAAUUUAAUAACAAUAUAUAAUUAUUAAAAGAAAAUCCCCUGAUACCCACAGGCUUCGCCAUGGCUAAGGGCAGCAUUCCGGUGUCUCAUAUUCUUCAUUCCUUUACUGACUAUACAUUUCAAACAGUUUAUUUAUAUAAAAAUUUCAGUGAUUGAAUUUUAUUCAAAAUUUCCCAAACAAUCUUAAUACGUUAAUAACAAUCCAAAAUUCGAAAUCUUCAUACAAUAUAUUUUUUGGGAGGAGAAAAAAGCACCUCGUCGUUUCCUUUAGUCCAAAAUCUUUCCUCGUCUUCUACCAAAACGAAAGCAUAGCCUCUUAAAUUAAGAGUGAACUCGGCGCAUACGGAUUCCACUCCAUCUAUAGUAUAUACAAUACACCUAUGUUCAUAUACAAGCGUAUAUAGGUAGAAGCUUCCAGCUGCUCCACUCUCUUCAUCCUCCUCCAUUUGUUAUCCAUGGAUGCCCUGCAAAAACACACACAACCACCAUUAACAUAUAUAUAUGUUCUACUAAUAAUUGCUAAUAUUUCUUUAUCAAGUUAAAAUGAAAACUGCAUUUUGAUUGCUUCAAUACAAAUGCUCAGCGCAUUCCGGCUUUUAAAUUUUACAAAAUUAUGCUCACCCAAUAUAAGUUAAUAUUAUAUACUUACUUAAUACUUGUUCUGCUGAAAACCUCUUCCAAACAUCUCUACAAAGCAUACUCCUUAGCAGAUCCUUAACCGCCGCUGACACGCCGCGGAAAGCUCUAACCGGAAACCUCAAAUUCCCCCUCAAAACCGCUUCAAAAAUCUCCACUGCGGUUUCACCAUAGAAUGGCGGAAACCCAGCUAACAUAAUAUACAACACCACGCCAGCACUCCACACGUCCACCUUCUCCCCGUACUCUCUACCGAUCAAAAUCUCCGGUGCCACGUAGUAUGGCGUCCCUACAACACCUUUUAUCAUCUCUCCAUCCAUAACCACCUCAGCGGACCCAAAAUCAGCUAGCUUCACCGAAUUUCUGGAGUCGAGCAAAAUGUUAUCCGGCUUAAUGUCGCGGUGGACAACGCCGUACUUGUGGCAGUGAGAAAUGGCACUCAUUAGCUGAAUAAAGAGGAAUCUAGCUUCGGCCUCCGGAAUAACGCCAUUGGCGAUGAUCAAAUCGUGAAGAUCCUGACCGGAGCACAAGUCCAAUACCAUGUGAAGGUGCGUGUCGUCUUCAUAGACGUCGUAAAGCUGGAUUACGUGAGGAUGAGGGGAGAGGAGGUGGAGAAUCUUGGGUUCCAUGAGGAGGCAUUGGGCGUCGAGGGAGUCACCGGAUGUAAGGCUCUUGUCGAUGGACUUGACAGCGAAGGAGUCACUGGUGGAGCGAGAAAUACAUCUAAAAACGGUUCCGAAACGUCCCCGGCCGAUCUCCUCGCAAGUUAGGUAGUCUCUGUUUAGCGCUUGGCUCAUUACUUCGUGCUUUACUUUGCUCAACUUUUUGCGUUAGUUUUCUUGCGUUGCGACGUAUUUAUGUUUGCUUGGUUUCCUUUGCUUUCAAGAAAGGGGAGAGAGAGUGGGAAUGUCUUUCCGAAUAUUCUACAACUGGGAAUUAAGCCAAUAGGAAUUAGACACGUUAUAAGAUUAAUGUCUGUAAUUUAGGCAAGGAGAGACAGGUCAGUCGUUUUAGGGAAACUAUGAGCAUCACGAUUCUUAAUUUCCGUACUACGGGAUCUACGGACUACGGCUACAGAAACACCAGAGUGGGUUACGAUUUGGAAUUUUGGAUAUGGGCGGCGCCACUUUAAUCCUGCCGUCCACCUGUCUGCCAAACAAUCUAAAAUUUAUUAUUUUAUUACUAUUAAAAUAGUAAAAUAAUUAUCAAACUUAAUAAUUUUCAAUUCGUUUUUUCUUUCUGCCAUAUAGAUUAUUUGUCACAUUUUGGAUUUGUUUUGUUGCAUAUUUUCGAUUUGCAUAUUUGUAUUAUUCGAGGGAAAGUUCCUUUUAGGUGGUGGGAGUGGAAUUGUGAAGGAGGAUAUGCUGUUCAUGACUUUUGGAAGAAGCAAAGGGUUGUGGUAGAGACGUUUGGUUGGCGAGGAAGGACACAGGGAGAAAGGAGGAUAAGCAAGCCAACUUGUUAUUCUACCUCUUUGUUAGGUUAAAAGGGUGCUUUCAUCUGGACCAUCCACCAAUCCUUUUUGUUGUCACUGUAAACAAAUAUCUCAGCUAGGCGGUAUUUGCUUUUCUAGGAAUCCAAACAAAGCAUACUAACUAUUUUCUAGGAAAAUAAAAAAGAAAGGAAAUUUGGGUGCCCUUUAUAAAUCGACUAUCUUGUAUUCUGCAAUCAACCAGCUUUCGACAAGGGUAUGCUUGCACUGAUACGAUGGAGAAAUUUGUUUAACUUGACUAUUUAAAUGUAGAAGUGAGAAUUAGAAGAGUAUAUAUUUCUAGAAACAUAAUAAUAACGGCAAGAGAAAGAGAUGGGACUGUAUGGUACUUGACAGCUAGUAUUUCAAUAUUCAAGAAUCGAAUUUACAGGUCCAAAUCAUUGACAUAUGAAAUAUAUUUCUUUUUAUCAAGAUUUCUCGCAUAAUAAUUAAUGCUUUGCUUAGACGCCAUGCAGAUAACAAAUCAUGAUCGACAUUUAUAUAAUAAGAUAUCAUGGACUCAAAUCCCAUUUAGUUCCCAAAAUACCUUGUGGGCAUUGCACCCAGGAAAUGUAUAUAACCAAAUCCAUGACAAGGCAAACCAGAUCAUAGACAACAGGAAAACAAGAGCAGAUUGAGACACAAAAGGCGCUUCCUUCAUUUACUAUAAUAAUAAUUCUAUGAGCUACAGUAGAAUACAUAUACACACACUCACAGACACAUAUAUAGCCAAUAACUAGGCCUAAUGGCUUGACCCUGUUCUCUACAACUUGAGCUGUCCAAAGAGAUGCAAUAUAUCAGCCAAAAUGCAGAAUAUUAAACAUAGAACUUGCACUCUUACAGUUCAGUCACGUCAAGUGAUACUAUUGUAAAAGUUAUAGAAUAUGUCACAAACAGCUCUCCUUCUCAGAUAAAAAGAAAUAUGGAGUCAAACCAACUUAUGAUUGAUGUAGGCAUUAAGUUCCCGCAGCAACUGCAAAUUUAUCAGAUGAAAAUUUAACGGAUUAGAAGCCAAAAGAGUGAUUUAUAAACAACAGCAAUGCUCGCCCACAGAUUCUUCUUCCAAAGAUCAGAAAAACCUUCUCAUAGAAUCUGAUAUUAAAACUUCAUGGGUCCACAGUAAUAGUUUUCUACUUUCUGUUUUAAGAAAUCACCAAAAAACUGAAAGUGGAACACCUUUUAUUUUGGGUUCGUAAAAUUGAAGAUGACCCCUACAUGUAUUUCCAGGACAUACGAAAUAAGGUCUCCGCAGGGAUUUUUCAGUGAGAGCUAGAAAAUGUCAGAGAAGGCAUUUUUCAUGAUACCAAUAUUUUUUCUCCUGCUGUGGGACAACUUCAGAUCCUGCAGGAGAAGAAUCCUCCAGAAUUCGAAAAUAGAUAAUUGGGGAAAGCAAAUUCUUUGAAUUAAAGUGCAUAUCUAAUUACAAAAACUUGUUUCUCAUUCAAAUACGCAUUGCCUAGGUCUUAUGCAAUGUGCAAAGAUAAAAACAGAUAUGUAAUUCAAGGUUAUAAAUGGAGAAAACACAUCAUAUAUGAGGCUUCAAUAAACAAAGAAAAUACAAAAUAGAACCACCAGAUGCAAAGUAAGGAAAAGGGUGAGAAAGGAAAGGAUUGAAGGGAGGAAAAUGCAGGAAAGCCAUUAAAGUUCUCCUAUCCAGGCACUUGGUUGUGAAAAGGAAGGGAAGGGAAGGAAAGGGGAGGAAUGAAGGAAUAAGUGGGUAAGGAACAGGGAGAAAAUGUGGGCCAAAGCAAUAUGAUGAAACUCAUCAUUCCUACAUUUCCUUUUCAUUUCUCUCAACUUUCGGAAAGAAAAAUUUCAGUGGUUUUCUAAACACAGUCAACUCCAAAAUAAUUCCCACCAACGAGUUCUUUUGAACUAAAAUAUGUAGCUUCUACUGCCUCACUUUUCUUUCCAUAACAAAUAAAAUUUAGGAAACCAAAUGAAACAGUUAUGGAUUUAGAAUUUGUUGCUCAUAUACUUGUUAAAGAAUUAGAAACCAGACACUUCAAACAUUUAGAAAAAAGAAAACAAAAAGUUGAAUAGCUUACCAUCUUUGCUUGAAACAUGUUCCCUGUCAAUUUGCACUUGCAAUGGCUGCCUAACAUCAGAUGAUUCAACCUCAUGCAAGGGCUGGCUUUCUGAUGAUGAACAAUACUGGGGUACAGAAAAUGAAAACCUGCUGGUAGCCUGCUUCUCAGUUGCUGAAGAUUCAGCAGUAGAGCACAAGUCUUCAUCUGUUCUGGAGGUGCCUUUUAUGCCAUUACCUUUAUGCAUUUUAUCUCGAUUUGGUCUUUCCUCUUCUAUGUACUUUGAUCUCUUCUUGUGAGCUGGAUUGCACUUAGGAUUUUGAAUUGUUGGUACUUUCUGAUCAUUAGAUGAAAUGGUUGAACAAGGAGCUUUUUCUUUUAACAUAACCUUUGGAAUCGCCAGAUUUCCAGUGCCAACAGUGUUAUCAACGACAACUUCAUUUGUUCCGCCUGAAUCUGAAGCCCUUGCAGACGCUUCCAUUUCCCACAUCUUGAAUAUGGCUCCAGUCAGACGUUCUCUAGCUAAAUCUAAUUCAAUUAUAGGUUUUGGGUAGUUUUGUCCCAGUUCCACCCCUGCAGCUUUAAGCACUAAAAGAGGUGCAUCCCAAGGAUGAUGGAUCCAUUCAGUUGGCAUUCUUGCGAGCUCAGGCAGCCACUGUCUCACAUAUUCGCCCUCUGGAUCAAAUUUUGAGCCUUGAAUCUGACUCAAAAGAAAUUCAAAAAAUAAGCAAUAAAAAGAGGGGCUCAGAAUUGUUCUCUUAAUCAAUACAAGAAAAAUAGCCAAUUCCAACGCUUGAAAUGAUGUCCAUUUAAGAUUAUAGGAAACGAGCUUGUAUUGAAACAUUACAAUAUUAUUGUUCAUCUAGUUGACUUUAAAUUUUACAGCUCUCAUAUCUUGGAGAGUAUCAGAAUUUGUUGAUUUAUAACAGCAUUUAAAAAUAUCAUAUCACAUAAGAGAGUUGGAGAUCAAAGAAUUAAAAAAUGUUGUCAGAAGCAUAAGAAGUCAAUCAAAUCAUAUGAAAUAAGAUAGGUUUUAGUUAUAUAACUUCAUUAUGAUAAUGACUAUACUUUUACACAGUAACAAGAUAGAAGUAGAACUUGUGUUUCUAUUUUAAUCUGUGGCUAAGCCACAACCUAAUUGUCUCAGAAAAAUGAAACAGAAGAAAAUAUGUUAGACAAAAACAAUAAGCAUAAACGCACAUCAUAGGUGAAAGACUAUAUAUUUCAUUUUGCUACUACCUAUGAAUAAAUAGUUGCAUGAAGUCAUCCAAAGGUUAGCCCGUUUCUAGGUAAUUUAUACAAACGGUACACCAACUUCGGCAGAGUUGUAUUGUAAUAGUAAAGUACAUAAACUCCAUUUUAUAAUAUAAUACCCCUUCAACUUCUAUUUAAGUAACAUAAAACCUCAUUUCAAGGUUACUUUGCUGAUGUGGUACUUGUUUAAUUAAAAAUAUACAUAUUUUCUCUCUAAUUUCUAAUAUUUAAUUAAUUUUUUAAUAUUUUAAACAAAACCAAACAAAUUAUUUGAUUAUUUAAAACAACUUAAAAAAUUAAUUAAAUAAAAAACAUGAGAGAGAAAAUAUAUACAUAACUAGAAACUUGGUAUUAUAGGUGAAAUGGGGUUUUAUGUUAAAUAAAAGUUGAAGGGAUUUUAUAUUACAAAAUGAAGUUUAUAUAUUUUACUAUUAUUAUCCUUGUGUACCGUCUAUGUAAAUUACCCCCAUUUCUAUUAUGGAGGUCAAAGAGCCCCACAAAAUUCAGAUGCAAAUGCUUUAAUAAGGAAGGAAUCACAGCAUACCUCUGGGCUAUCCAAACGUUGAAGCUCAUGGCCAUCAGGUAAGCUUCCAGAAAUGUAUUGCCAACCAAGUAUAUCACUUUCCAAGUCUGCAUCCAAAAGUGUGUCCCAAAAAUACUUCAUCCCCCAUCUCCAUGGGAGAAGCAGAACUUUUACAGCAAAACUUGAAACAAUCACUCUGAUUCUAUUAUGUAUCCAACCAGUUGCCCAAAGCUCACGCAUUCCUGCAUCAACUAGGGGAUAACCGGUUCGUCCCUGUCUCCAAGCCUUAAAAUUGCCCUGGUUGACAUCCCAGGGAAAAUACUUUAAGUUGCUCAGCAACGAUCUCUCAUGAGUGAAAGGAAAGUUAAAACAAAGGUAUCGGGAAUAUUCCCUAAGCCCAAUGGAUCUAAGAAACAGAGUCACGCUUUCUUUCCCUAUUGAGUUCUCUUCUUUCACCCACAGCAACUGUUUUAUUCGCACACAUUGGAAAACUUUCCUUAUGCUCAGUUCUCCAAAAUGAAGAUAUGGAGACAAAAGUGAGCUGGAGUUUGCCCCAACCUUUAGCCUAUUCUUUGAAUAAUCAAUUAGAUGCUGUUCAACAAAUUCAGUCAGUGCCUUAUCAGCAUUGCUCCAACCUGGGGACCAUCCCCUUCCUAGUAAGGAAUUGCUAGAUUUUUCUGUUUCAUCUUCAAGACCCAAUUCCUCAAUUGAGCAUUUCUCAAAUUUUCCUGUCAGUGAGGGAGGGGAGAAACAUUAAAAUCAAGGGAAAAAAAGAAAGACAAACUCUUUAAUAAUUCAUCUCCUCCCCUCAUAGCUAACAAAUGUGCACAGACACAAAGGCUGUGGUGAUGUUGCAUCAUAUCAACAAUUGACAGUUGUUAUCAGAGAACAAAAUUAAUAAUUACAAAUAUCAUUGAAAUAUUACCUGGAGCUGGCAGUAGUCGCCAUGGAGGAAGAUGUGAAACAGGUUCCAUUUGCAUGUGCAGGCUCUUGUCCCAAAACGAGUCAAAUCUCACAAAAGCAUUUCCACUUUCAUCAUAUAUUUCCCACGGUUCACACAGCAAGUCCCCAUUAUAGCUUUGCACAGUAAUGCCAAGCUCCAGCAGUUUUUCUUUGAUGUUAUGAUCUCGAACAAGUGAUACUGGAUCUGGGAAGAGGAAUAAAACAUAAUAAUCAACAAUCAAACAAAUACCUAAGUGAACAGUACUAAAUACCAACAUUCAUAAAGCACCAAGUCAAUACUUCAAGGCCAAAAUAUAGCUGAUUCUACACUAACUACAGAUUUUUUUUUUUUUUUGGUUAACUAACUACAGAUUAUUUGGUAAAAUAUAUUAGCAUUUUUCCUUCACAUUAGCCUGUGAAUGAUUAAUUCCUGAACCAGUGAUAAGGAAAGAAAAGCCUCUAGCCCUUUAGGUAUUGUGCUUGCAGAUUCUCUGAAAAUGUUGGUAUUAACUAUUAAAAUUAGGGAAAUCAUUUAGUUUCCUUUUAUACAAUCUUUGCUGAUUAACCUUCUUCUGCAUGCAACAACUUCAACAAAAACAUCAUAACAUAUUAACAUCAACAUUUACAAUCCUCUUAAGGAAACUGCAAAGGGACUUAAGCAGCAUAAUUAUCAACGCCCAUAAUCUACUUAAGAACUGACAGGGGUUUUAACUUAGCAAAACAAAUAAAAUAAAAGGAAGAAUAGAUAAAACUGCAAAAGGAAUUGUAAAUGCAAUUCAAUGAAAAGCACUAGUGCCCAACAAAUAUUAAGCUAUAGAUUCACAAUUCACCAAGAAAUUUAUUAUAAGAUAUCACUUAAGAUUCCUCAUCAUCCAACCAAGCAAACCUUGGAAUAUAACUGUCAGUACCAAAAAGAAAUGCUUCUAGUAAAGCAAAAAGAGGGCAUACCAUAGAGAUGAUUGAAUACCACUCUUGUUGCUCCAACGGCAUUUAUGCAAUCCAAAAGAGCAGAGAGAGUACUAUGAGUUUUGAUCAAUAUGAGUUCAGCCCCAAGAGAUUUCAGUGACUGUCCAAAGUGGGCAAGAGACUGCUUCAGCCACCACCUUGAUACUCGACCUGGGUAGAAUUGUCCUUCUUCUUGAGGACACCAUAUGAAGACAGGAAAUACACAACCAUCCCUGGCUGCAGUAGCUAAUGCAGGAUUGUCCUCAAUUCUAAGGUCCCUCCUAAACCAAACAAUGGUCUUGUUGCUGCCCAUAUUGGAAUAACUCAGAUCUGAGGAUCAGACUAAAAUUCAAACUUAUGAUGGUUGCACUUGUUCCUCCACAUCUUACCUUCAAUUUAGAACUAAAAACAUCUGAAAGGUUUCUUGCUGAUCACAGUGCUCAAUCAAACAAAUAUAUUCUAUUCAGUUUCAUGAACCAACUCAGUAUCAACAAACAAGGGACCCAUGUAGCAGAGAACCUGCGAAUAUCUAGAAUGGCAACGGGUAGCUCCCGUCCAAGACAACCGGACCCUAAAUUAACAAUACCAGCACAGUAAAUAAUUAGUAAAAUUUGGCUGUUACUCACAACUAGCCAAACAGCAAAGCUUACUAGAAUUCAGCUUCUACUCUACUCCCUUGUAUCAAACAAUACCCAAAUUACCAAAUCCUACAAGUUGCCGCUUAAAGUAAUAAAAUAUUGAAAACACUUUUAUAUACACUCCAAAAGAGAAAAGGCAAACUGUUCAUGUACAUUCUUGAUACGCCUAGAGUUUGAUAAACCAACUUUAAUUCAGCUCAAUAAACACAAAGAGAAAAACAUGAUAUAUCAUGCGAAUAUAAGAAUACAGAUCUGGGACAGGCACCAAAAUGAUUCCUUAUAAUUUAGAUUUAAGAAUAAUAUCCACAAUCGAAAGGAGAUGAGAACCCAUAAAGAAAUCAAACAGCUAAAAAACAGAAACGAUCACAAAAAGUAAAGGAUCCCAACUGUACCCAGUUCUUGUUUGAGGAUGAUUAUUGAAGAAGAUAAAUUAUUUACCCGCCCAGUAAAGGAAAUAGCCGACUAGGUGCCAAUCCCGUAGCAGUUGACGGGCAUAGAUAUCGGUUAAAAUGAUCCAUUGUACCGUAAUAGAAUUAGUAGUGCAGUGGAAAAAUUGGGCAUUGGAUUGGAGUUGGAAUUGUCUUCAUGUGUGAAUGAGUGGCGAAUUGAUGUAAUUAAGAUGAAGAUCACGUGGGCUAUGGUGAUAUUGAUGGUGGUGGUGGGCCUUAUCUUGUUUGCUUUGUGGAUCCAUCAGGUAAAAAUAGAAAAGAAACAAGAUGAAAUCGGGAUAAGGGCCUCUAUCUCUCACGGCAUGAUGCGUAUCCCGUCUUGAGACUGCUCCCAUUAUUAUACUUUUUCCAGAGACUUCGCUCUGGCUGCUUCUUUAGCUUUCCCAGUUUGGGGAAACUCCAACAUAGACAUCCAUUAAGCAUAUUCUUUGAUGCCAAUGCAAUUUCCGACUUGGAUCAUGUAAAAGUUUCCCAGGUUCGCCUUAUACCAAAAAUUAAAACUUCUCAUAAUUAGAGUUAUCAGACUUCAACGAUUUAUUCCCCAUCCUCCUCCUAAUUCGUUUAUAUUGCGCUUCCUUAUUCUCUAACCCUCAUUGUUUUUUUUUAUUGAAAUGGAAAUUAAAAAUUGAGUACUGCACUUCCUUAUUCUCUAACUCUCAUUGUUUUUCUUAAUGAAAAUUAAAAAUUAAAAAAAUAAAAUCUGAUACCUUUCAAAUAUACUUAUUAUCAAAUAUAUUUAUUAUCAAAUGUUAAAUAUCAAAUUAUAUCUGAAAAUGCCUUAUUCAUUACUUAUUAUUUUGUUUAUAACAAUAGGCACUAAUUAAAAAUUAAUUUAAUUGAUCAAGAUCCAUGCAAAAAAUAUCUGCGAGAUUUGCAUCCAACAGUCGCUACCUUUAUCUAGAAUCCAGUAUUUUAUCUGGUCACUUUCUAAACAAAAUGACAAAAUAAUCCAGGAUUCAAUCAUCUAUUCAUCUAUGCUCGAAAGCAACACUUGAUAUCAAAGUAUAACAGUACUUUGAAGAUUAAAAAUUAAUAUGCAAAACCAUGUCCAAUUAUCAACUGAGAAGCAUCAUGGCAAUAAGGAGCUCAAAUUUGUCCAUGCCCAAGAACUCCCGAUCAGCCUUCUCAGACGUCAAUUAUUUAGUACAAUUAAGAUUUAUGUAUUUGUGCCUGAGACACAUGACACGUAAUUAUCAACUAACUGAAGUAACUAGCAAUAUACGAAUUUCCUCCAGGUUGCACGUGUAACUCCUGAAGAUUUGGAACACUUAGAUCCACAGUGAGCGCUCAGUGUGCACGGUCUCUGAGUACCUCGAGAUCCAUCUCAGUUGGAUCAGUUGCCUGGAUUGCAUAAUGGAUGCCUUCCAGUUCUCUUCUGAACCUGUCCUUCGAAGUUGCAUAAAGCAUUUUUGCACGAAUGCGAGAAACAGCAGGAGACCUAAAAGAAGACAGGAUUUCAAAUAUAGUACAUAAUUCCGAAUUUGGGAUAUAGCAGUAACAGAGAAAUACAAGCCUUUGUUUGGUAUGAUCUAUUUUAUAAGAAAAGAAUUCAAAUAAAUUCUUAUAAAAUAAUGCAAGAUUUCAACUUAUUUUAAAAUGAAAGUUUUUUAAAUUAAAAAAUAAAUAAAUUCUUUUAUUGCAAAUAAGAGAAUUGAUAAAAAAAGAAAUCAAUUGAAUUAAAUUCCUGCGAACUCCUUCAUUCCAACUAGAGGGUAGAAGAUGUCAGUUAGUCCACUUUAUGAACCCAUAGACCAAUAUAAAUUUCCUUGCAGAUAAACUUUUACAUUUAACUCUGUCGACUAUCCAAUGCAGCAAAACAACCAGGUGUUUGACUCGCUCUCCUCAAAUAGGGGACUGAAAACACGAAAAUACAUUAAGCAUGUGAUGCAACCAUAAGCAGAUAAAAUACAAUACUGAGACUAAUCUUUCCCUUUCCCCCCUCAUACAAUCAGAGGCAACAUGCACAUGACCCCAAAAGAAAGAUCCCAAAGAAGCAUUCCCCAUUGACAUGGCAUUCUUUUGCUGAAUUCUUAGAGGACCAUUCAUGGAUACUCUGUUCUUGACAAAAAAUGUUGGAUAAGGGUUCAAACCUUAGCAAUCCCAUUCCUUAUAAGAAUUUCCAACGUAUCAACAGAAAAUAAUUGAAAAAACAAAAAAUUCUUGUUUUAGACUACAGCGGACAGCCCAUCCCUCCGCCUAGUGGACCAUAUGGUUUAAUGGCCUAGCCCUAGAAAAAGUUACCCAAAAGCUGGAAAGAGCCCAAACCUAGAAACAUCCCCCAAAACGCAAAAGUAUGAAGUACCAAAAGUAGACACAAGAUGGCAUCGCUGUUUGCCACUUCAACAAAAUGACACCAAGAUGCUCAGAGAAAAAGAGCAUCAACAGUUACUUGGCUAGUAACAAGGAUAACUAUAAAGAAACAAGGGAUUUGAAUGAGAAUCACAGCACUAAGCUUCAGCAGAGAAUUUGGGGGAAGAUUUCAAGCAUUCUAUGAACAUGUGCAUACACCAUAAAACUAAAUUUGCAACACUCCCACAUAAAGCAGAUAAAACCAGAACUAUAACUGUUGUAUUCUAAUGAAACAGCGUCCAUUUCAAGAAAGAAAAUCACCAUGCAAUGAAGAAGAUCUUGCUCUUCUGGCAGUUCUCAGAAGUCACAAAAUCAAAGUCGUAGACAGCAUAUCGGCAAUCAUUCUCAGGCAAGGAAGCAGUAAAGUCAUCAUAACUCUCAGCUGGCCCUCCAGUCUUCUCAACCACAACCUCUUUUUUCUUCUCAUCAAUCUUAAAGAUAACAUAACGGUGGACCUUCUUUCUCUGCAGUUCUAGAAAUGUCGCUUUGCUGUGCUCAGCAACGCCCAUGCCAGAAGAAGCAUUUGCCUGUCAAGGAAAAUAAAAAAACUACUGUUAAUAGAUGCACUAACCAACCCACUGACCAAAACAAGCUCCAGGGACUUUACGUCCACUCCUGCGUCUCAGAAUGGAGGAUUUACCGCUAGUCAUUGGCAUCAAAUUAUGAUUUACUCCAUUAUGAUAUUUGUUCUUCAAAAAGACAAACAACGGUGCACAAAUUGCAAAUGAUAUAUGUUAAAUAUUGAAUACAUACAAACAUACAUGCAUGUAAGCACAUCAAUCCAGGCUGUACCAAGGUAAAGGAAUUCUAUUGAUAAGAUGCACAUUUAGGACCUUGAACUUUUUAUGGAGGUCCCAUAUAUUUAAUUGGUCAUUUUGCAUUUCUUUUUUAUAUACAAUGGAUACUUAGAUCUCUAGACUUGUUUAUCAUUUUUUACAUGGUAACUUUUUUUAACAGACUCAGUAGUAAAAUUUAAAUUGACAACACAUUUAAAAAAAGUAAAGAAAAGAAAAGGAAAAAUGCAUCUUAUUGGGUCCCCAUAGUUUUAGGUAGUCGCUCUGCGUGCCAUUUUCUUUAAAGUCCUUGAACUUUGAAGAUCCACAUCAAAGGCUUUGAAGAUCUCAACAAAUUCGAAAGCGAGAAAGAGGGGAACCCAACCCAAAUUGCCUAUUAUAGAGAGGUAAGAACCAGAAACUCCACAAUUGCCAUUCCCCCUCUCCAACCAUCAUGUGACAGCAUCCUAAGGAGUUGCCUAAGUAUCACCAGAAAUAGAAAUGUGGAACAUAUUGGCUAUAAUUCACAGAGAGAUGACUCAGCUUCGAUUCAAAGAGGGAAGGCUCGAGUACACGGACUCUGAGAAAAAAAUUGAAAGUUCAGGGACUAAAAGAUUGUUUUGCCAAGCCUAAAUGUAUCCACGUCCUAUGAGUUUGUGAUAAAAUGUAAACCUCUACUUGCAAUUCUUUCGUUGCAUUUCUUAGAUGGUAUAUGUGCCUGAAAACCUAAUACAUCAUUUCAAGAACCAACCAAACUGUGGAUACUAGAAUUCAUUAUUCCAGUUACAAUCCAUAGGGCAUUUAUGUAAAUUAUGAAGAGAAGAGCUAUUACAAAGGGUAAUGUUAUAAUCAAUUUGCAUCACUAAGCCAGCAUACAAUUCUAUCCAUUACCAUUAACUAGAUAUAUCAAUUACUCAAAUUGCAAGUUAUCAUUUACAGUACAAUCACCUGAAAGGAAUUAAAAUAAGUUAAAAAAAUUUCGGAUUCUCUCUUCAAUCAUGACUCCAAAUAUCCAAAAAUCCAGCACACAAAUUAACGAAUAACAUACUGAAAAAUGAAAAUAAGGGAGGAUAAAACAUCAAUCAAGCAAACACGUAUUUUGUCUAAAUAAUUAAAUUAAAACUUAUGUAAAUGCUUAGAGAUGACAAAUACUGCACCAAACGAACUAACAGAUCAUAUUCAACAUGACAAGACUUGAUAAAAUUACAUAUAUAAAAAAAACAGCAUCAAAUUCAGAUCUUAACAAAGUGAGACAUGGAGAGAAAAGGAAAGGCUUACCCCUCUGAAAGCCAUAGCCGCUAAGAAAAAGAAAGAGUUCCUAAGGAGCGCAAAACAGUAGAGAGUUAAGAGAAGAAAUAGCCUGGAGAAGAAGAGGAAAUUGGGGAAAAAAAAAAAAAGAGCCACCAAAGAAAAUAAAAUAAAAUAAGUAUAAUAUAGAGAGAAUAUAUUCUGUGUGUUUUUGAGCGAGGCAAGGAACAGAAGAAAGGGAAGGAAACGAAGACAAUAGCAUUAGUAUGAGCAGAAAGAAAAGACGAGCGUCGCGUCUAUUGACAAGGAGUGCCAGAAUGAUCAAGUGAGUCACGGUAGUUUAGGUCUGCUGACAGUAGCCGUGGUUCCUUACGGUUGAUUUGCCAAAGGGAUCAUCAGCGUUCCACGUGUAUGGUUUGAACUUUUAACUGUCAUCUUUUAUUAGACCCUCCUCCAAUCCUCGUUGAUUCUCACUUAGGGCUCAACUAUAACCGGGCCUUGCAUAUCAUAACUUGAGUCCAUUUUUUUUAUAAGUUUUAGUUAUUUUUUCUUUUAUAAGUUAAAAUUUUUAGUAUUUUUAUAAAUAUUUUGAUGAUACAAAGUAAUUAUUAUUAAAUUAAUUAAUAAAGUUUUAUUACCCACAUAUAAUUUUUUUAUAUUACUUGUAAAAUAUAUAUAUAUUCAUUAAUAAUGCUAAAAGUUUAAUACUUUUACAAAUAUGAUGAAAUAUUCAAAUUCUAAUUUGACAAUUUGAUUAUAGAAAUUGGGUGUUAGAAACUCUUGAUCGGGGGGAAGACCUUUAAUUUGUUUAUAUAAUGGGCCCGUUUAUAUUAUUGGGUUUGUCUAAGCGAAGGCCCUAAUCAACGCUCGACGGAAGGUUAAUUUUUCACGAACUAUAUAACUAAUCACUCUAUGCAUCAUUGAGUUAAGCCUUUAUUUGGUAUGUAUUUCUUUUUUUUAAAAAAUAAAUUUUAUUAAUAAAAUUUAAUUCAUUUCUAUUUAUAAAAUAAUUAAUCUGUUUGAAAUCAAUUUAAAUAUAAUAAAAUUUAAUUCAACUCUUUUAUAUUAAUUAAAUUAAUAAUAAAUUUAAUUUAAUUUAAUUUAUUUAUGAUUCUUAUUAUUUUUAAACUAAAUAUAAAUAUUUAUUUUUAUAAAUAAUAAUUAUUUUUUAUCAUAAUUAUUAAAAAAAUAUUAUUAUUAUUUUUAUAACAUUUAAAAUCAGAAUUUCACAUUUUUUUACAAUUAAAAAUAUAAAAAAUAUUUUUUAAAAUUAAUAAAAUAAUAUAAUAAAUUUCUUAAUAAUAAUUAUAAAUAGUCAAUAUAAAGAGUAAUUAUUAAUUAAAAAUAAAAAAUAAAUUUAAAAUUAAAAUAAAUAAAUAAAAUUAAAAAAGUUCCAAUGAUUAAUUAAAUAAUUUUAAUAUAAAUUAUUUUAAGUGAAAUUAUUUUUUGUAAAAUUCUAAUAAUUUUUAAAAAAUUAUUUUUAAUUCAAAAUCAAUUCUAAUCAGAACUAUUGAUUUUGAUUUUACUAAAUAUAAAAUUUUUGGGAAAAUGUAUUUUUUAAAAAUUAUUUUGAAAUUAAACAUUGGGUACUGAAUUAUUACAUUUAUCAAUCCGGGCCAAACGAGAAGAUUCAAAUUAAGUUAUGCAUUAUUAAUGGGCUAGUUAUCCAUAUGGGAACUUUGAAGAUGUUAAUACGCGUGUGUAUAUAUAUAUAUAUAAAGUAGACCCAUCAAAAUCUGUGAUAUUAUGUAUAUGUGGUUCGAGAAAAGCAAGUGAAUCUCUCCGCCAGAUCCAAUCAGGCUAUAGAAAGCCUAAUCUAUAGAGCAUAAAAAUUAGAUUUUUAAUUCUCUUUAUAUUUUUAUAACUCAAACCGGCGUCUCUAAUACUCAUAUUAUCCAUAAAAAGUUUAUAUAAAGAUUAUUGAUUUUUAUAAAAACCAUGUAAACUAGAUACGACCUGGAUGAGACAUUGAUUUUCUACACAAUGAACAAUCUUCUUAAUCUCUUUCAAACUAUUAAACUAAUGUAAUGUACACACCAGAUAAAAUAUAUGCAAAACAGCUAUGCAUCAAUUAAUCUAUUGUCAGCUAUUUGAUAAACCAACCCUAACAUGUUACCAUUUAAUUUAAUGAUAUAUAAAGUAAGAAAUUAAGUAUAAAUAUCCCUGAAUUAACUCUUUGCAGAAAGAGGACACUCCUGGGACCAAAGCUCUCCAAAAAUAAAUCGCUCACUCUUCUAGACACCAAAUCCCAAAAAAGUAAAUCUUUCUCUUAUAUAUUCACAAGAAAAACUCUAAGGAUGGAAGUCCUUUGAAAAUUUUUAGCCAAUACAUUAUUAUUUAAUUUUUUUUAUAUUAUUAAAUUUCAUAUAAUUUUUAAUUUAAUUUGUGCAUCUCAAAAUUUCUUUAAAAUAUCCCCAAUAAAAAUUUAGCGCCUUUUUAUUUUUUUUUUCAAAAUUAAAUAUAUAAAGACCUAGCAAAAUUAUUUUCGAAUCAAUAGUAAAUCUAUUUAUUUGAACCGCUGUGUAAAUGUCCACUCCAAAAUCAUCCGCUAAAAAUCAGUUGAUCGAUAUUUGAGUCACGAGAACAAUUAUCUCAAUAAUUAAUAGACAAAAUUCAGAGCAUAAAAUAGUAAUUAAAAAAAUAUGAAAGCGACUAGCAAGAUACAAUAAACUUUUAAGAUAUGCACCAAAUGAAAUUGAUAAUAUAAAAUUAAUUAAUUCCAUAAGGGAUGACUACAAGCAACUUCAGUGGACCCCAAAAAGGAAAAAAAACAAAAGAAAAAAAAAAAGAGACUUGGUGGACUAACUAUCAUAUGUAUGGAUGAUAUAAUUAUGAAAAUAAGGGUGACAAUAUUAAUUAAGGAUCCAUUAAAUCUUUUAAUUUGUGAUUUGUCUUCUUAAUCAGGAUGUGGAAAUUAUUGAAUAAGAGUAAUCCAUUUUCAAAAUGUAACAUCAAAUAGUUCUGUGUCAUUUCAAUCAAUCAAAAUACCAAUUUAAACUUAUACAUUAAAGCUCAUACUGUUGCAAACAAAUAAUAAUAAUAAUAAUAAUAAUAAUAAUAAAAGAAAUAUUGAGAAAGGCAAAAAAGUCACCCAAUUGAGUGAUUGACCUUAUGAGAAAAUGUUAAAGAGAAAAGCAUGCACACAAGUGCAAUUGAUGAAGAAAAAAUUAGCCCACGAAAUUGACUUUGACAAAAAGGAACACAUCAAAUUCUAAACUUCAUUCAUGCAUUGAACGUUAAUUUGAACUCAUCUUCAUUAACGGCUAACUAAGAGCUAUCUCCAUUUUUUUUCUAUUUUUUAAUCUCAAUACAUUGCAUUUAAAAUUAAAAUUAAAAUUGAAAUAAAACAGCUAUCUAUACAGGAAUAUAAGUUAUAUAUAUUCUUUAUUUUUUUAUGAGUGAAAAUAAAGUUACGUAUGUCAUUUCUUUUUUCUUUUUUUUUCUUUUGGAGGACUAAUAAUAACUAAAGUUUCAGCAGCCAUAACCCUAUACUAAUGAUUUCAUAGCUACCAAAAGGAUAAAAAUAAGGCCAUGUAACAAAGCACUUGCGAGUAAAAGCCGCAGCCAUGUAAUUCAGGCGGAAGACAGUCAACAAUGGCUUCAUUUAUUUCUCCUUUUCCUUUUUUUUUUUUUAAUUAAAAAAGAAAAAAAGGAAAUAGUCGCUCUCUCUUCUGUUAUUAUAUAUCCAGUACUAAGGCAUGGUGGGAACACAUGCUUCAGCUCUCUCUCUCUAUAUUUUUUAUAUAUAUACUGAGAAAUAAUGAUAACCCGGCGCCACUGCCACGCAUAAUUAAUUCCAACUUUCAAUUGUUUAAUCCAACUUGUUUUAUAUUUACCAAAUAUUUUUAUAAAAUUAAUGGAUGAAUUAUUUAAUGUAAAUUUAUUAAAGAAAAGAGUUCCAGGACCAGUACGGGUUUUGUCUUGAAGCUGUGUAGUCUUUUUUAAAUUUAAAAAAUAUGUUUAAAAAAAUCAAUUCUGCUCAAAUCUGAGAGAAACUAGGGGAUCUAGGCUACCAAAAAAAAAAAGUGCAUAAUGGAUCCAGGUCUUAUUUUAUGAAUUAUACGAGUCCAUGAAAAAGACACAAAUCACAAUGUGACAAGAUUUUGCAGUUGGAUAGUUUAAAAGUAUGAAGUAAUCUUACCUUUAUUUCGCAUGAUAUAUUUUGUAAAAAAAUGGAUUUUUUUAAAAAAUUUUAAUAAUAAAAUUAAAUUAUUUUGAAAUUUUUUAUUCAAAUGGAGAGUUAAACUAUAUCUUAAUUGAUCUUAAUCCUAAAUCUUAAGAUUUACACAGCUCAUAUAAAUAAGGAAGUAAGUUAAUUAAAAAAAAAAAAUCAUCACGUGCUUCUUUUGUCCAUAUAUAUGUAUUUAUGUAUAAACUUAUUUUCAGCUAGCGUAUAUAUGUGUGUCUAAUCAUUAAAAUUUUAACACAUUCAUCAACCCAACCAAAUCCGAAAUGAUUAUAUUUAAAUUAAAUAGAAUGAUUCUGAUUUAGAAUUAUAAUCCUAUUGUAUAUUAAUUAAUGGUAUGAGUAUCCAAUGGAAGGAAGCCAAUAUGGCAGCCAUGUGGUAUGUUGCAGAACUACAGGAUGAAGUGGACCCAUAUUUUCGGAAAAUUAUAAAAUAUUUUCAUAAAGCUAAAAUUUUUUUUUUUAUUUUAUAUAUUUUUUAUAUGUGAUUUUUUUAAUUAAUAAAAAUACCUAGAUAAGAGAAUAAUAUGUAAACUAAUUUUUAAAAGAAUUUCAAAGGUUAAAGGUCUUUAUAUCGAGCUCGUAUGAACAUUUUGAUUAAAAGAAAAAUUGUAAGUAGGUUUGGUAUAUUAAAAAGGAGUUGGCAAUUUGAUUAUUAGUGGUUUGAAAAUUCUAAGACAGUAUUUCAAAGCAAGAACAGAUUUUAUUUUAAUUUAGUAAGAAAAAAUAUAUGCAUGUAUCCACUUGCAAAAUUUUAUUCCUUAGAUUUUAGAACAGUCAAAUCCACGUGCGCUCACUCCCCCACAACUUGUGUUGCCGUUUGGCCCUCUCUCAUUGGCGAAUCACUUCUUUGACCUUAUUGAGUCAUUGACCGAGUUGAAGCUUACCACUCUAUUUCAUUUAUCCAAAAAAUAAUUAAUUUAGUUCUAUGUUACUAUAAGAUAACUCAUUAACUACUUUUAAUUUUUUUUAAAAAUAUAUUCAAAAUAUCUUAUAUCUUUAAAAGUAUAUUAACUAAUUUUUUUUAUAUUAUAAUAAUUAAAUUACAUUUUUUAUUUUUUAAUUGAUUCACGGAGAGAGAUAUAUAUAAUGAAAUUUACUUAUUAAAUGUAUUAGCUUCGUAAUGGGUUGGGUCCGGUAAGGAUUUUUCACAUUUUCAAUUUGAGUAUUUGCUAUUUUUAAUUAUUUUAAAAUUCUUAAGAAUUUCAAUUAGUAAAUUUAAACUCUGUUGAUCUCCUGCAAUAAGAGAGUAAGAGACAAAUAAACUACCAAAACCAACGGUAAAUAAUUGAGGAAUAUCAUACGUUAAGUUGAGAUAACGAAAAUGAAGUUAGAACAUUUAAUUUGAAAUCGUAAUACAUAAUAAAUAAAAAAGUCUUAAUAGUACAAAAAAAUAUAUUUUUCAUUUUAUUAUAAUUAUAUUUUAUAUUUUUUUAUCAAUUAAAUUUUGAUCAUUAUAUACUAUUAUUUAUAUGUCAUAUCGGUAAAUUUCAAGAUAAAUUUGAUAGUAAUUUAAAAUUUAAAAGUAAAAUUGUAAUAAAAUUAAAAUUAUAAAAUUUUUUUAUAAUUAUUUAUUUUAUUAAUAAUUUUUUUAGAACAUGGAUAGAAACUGAAUUUAUAAUUUCAGAUAAAUUAUAUAUUUUUCUUAAAUAUUUAACCAAGUCAGAUCAGAUAAUCAAAUAUUUAAUUUAUAUUUUAUUAAUUUUUUUUUAAAAUUCACUUAAAUAUUAAUAUAAUUUUAAGAAAUGGUGUAUUAAUAUUAUAUUUGAAAAUCAAAAGAAUAAUUUAAAAAAUAUUCUAAAAUAUUAUUUUAUUAUUUUUAAUAUUUUUAAAUUAAAUUAUAUUAAAUAUUAUAUUAAAUUAUUUUUUAAUAUUUCAUGAUUAAUAUAUUUAAUAAGAUUAUUUUUACAUAAUUUUAAAAUAGAAAGUAUAUUAGACAAAUUAAAAAAAAUAGAUUGAUAAUGAUUUUAAUCAAACUAAGAGUAAAAUAAAUUAUGAUUAUAAAAUUAUUAAUAAAAAUAAAAAAAAAUUAAUAAUAAUAUAAAUAGUAAUUUUUAAAUAUAUUUAUAACUUGAUAAUUUUAUAAAUUUCUAAUUAUACAAAGUAUCAAUUGAGUUCAUUUAGUUAAAUAUUACAAAAAUAGAGUAUAAUUAAUAAAAAAGUAAAAGUAUAGAAUGAAAUUAUAAUAUAAAUAAAAUAUAAGAUUUUUUGGUGAUUAAUUUUAAAUUUUGCUGAUAUGACGUGGUAACAUGGUGUUAAUUUGUUGAAUUGCAGGAUAAUUUCAUUAAUUUUUUAAUAAUAUAAAUAAUAAUUAAUUAAUAAAAAAAAUAAUUAUAAUAAAAUUAAAAAUAUAAAAUAUUUUAACAACUAAAAAUAUAAAGUAAAAUUACAAUAAAAUUUUUUUAAAUAAUUAAUUCUAAAUUUUACUUACAAAUCGUGAUCAUGUGGUAUUGACGUAUUGAAUUAUAUGAUAAUUUUAUUAAUUUUUUAAUAAUAUGAAUAAUAAUUAAUUGAAUAAAAGUAUAGAAUUUAUUAGCGAUUAACUCAAUAAAAAAUUAUAUUCUUUUAAUUUGGAACAUAAAAAUUAAAUUAAUGUAAAUUAAUUUACAAUCUGUAAAUAAUUAAAAAAGUAAGUUAACUUAAUAAUAAAAUAAUUCAUAAAUUUAAAAUUUAAUACAUUAAUACUAUGUACAUGUACAUAUGUAGUUACAUACAUACAUAUAAAGCAUAAACUUUUCCUUUUUUUAAAAAAAAAUUCAACUACUAAAAUUUCAUCUUAUAUAAAAAAAUAUUAUUUAAAAUUAUCCUUACUAUAUAUAUAAAGAAUUUUAAAAAUUUUAAGUUUAUAACGUUAGAUAUCACAAAACUUUGCUCAUUUUAUCAAUAUAUCUUUAAAAAAAUCUAAUAAAUAUUGUAUGCUAUUAGUUUAUUAAUUAUAAUAAUUUUAUAAUAUUUUUUAUUCAAAUAAGUAGGGUUAAACACUUAUAAUUUUAGUAUGAUAAUAAGUGUAUUUGAGUAAAUCUAAAAAAUUUUAAAAUUUCUGAUGUCUAUUUUAAAAAUAAAAUAAAUAGUGGUCAUUUAUUAUAAUAUUUUUUAUACUUUUUAAAAAUUAAAUAUUUUAUUAAAUUUUAGUUUAACUACAAAAAGUGUAUAUAUCUGACGUCUAUAAUUUUUCAUUAUGAACUAAAACAUAUUUCUAAUUUUAACUUAUAUUAAUAUAUAUUAAAAUAAUAUAUUUUUGUGAAAUAUAUAUAUAUAUUUUUGAAAUUUUAAAAAUGCUAUAUAUUUAUAUAUCUACAUCAAAAUACAAUUAUAUCAAUUAUGUAAAAUUUUAUCACUAGAAAACAAACUGAAAUAAAUAAAUAUAUAAAAGUCUUUUUGAAGAAACCAACUUUUUAAUUUUUAUAUUAUAAAGUUUUUAAAUUUGUGUAUUUAAAAAACGUGGUAUAUUAUGAUAGGAUGAUAAGCAUAAUGGGUGCUUAAUAUUUGUGCAAAUAUUCUAAAGCUGGUUGCACAUGAGAAUUUGUCAUUUUGUAGUGUUACUAAUACGAGAAUUAAUAAUUGGUCACACUCUAAACCCCACUCAUUAAUUUAUUGUUUAACCUAAUCUAAUCUUGGUUUCUGUGUACGCAGUGAUCCUCCUUCUUCCUGGAAAUUGCUCCUAAUGCUUUUGAAUAUUGAGCGUGUGUGUGUGAGAGAGAGAAAGAGAGAUGCCUUUUCUGCGUCUUGACUUUUCCUGAAUCACAUGGAUCCAAUAUAAAUACACCAUCUCAGGCCUUGCAAGGUUUAAUCCCGUUGAUUGCUUUGAAAGCUCAUAUACAAAACAAAAGAGUGCUUAAGCUUAAAGAAUCAAGAAAAACAUGGUGAGGGCUCCUUGCUGUGAGAAGAUGGGACUGAAGAAAGGGCCUUGGACACCUGAAGAAGAUAAGAUUUUGAUUUCCCAUAUUCAAAAAUAUGGCCAUAGCAAUUGGCGUGCACUCCCUAAGCAAGCUGGUAAACUCCCCAAACCCUUAAUUUGGAUUAUGCUUUUGGUUUUGUUUCUAAUUUGAGCUCCAUUUUUAAUUAUGAUGUCUCAAUUACCUUUCCUUUUUUGUUCUGUAGGUUUAUUAAGAUGUGGGAAGAGUUGCAGACUCCGAUGGAUAAACUAUUUGAGACCUGACAUUAAAAGAGGAAACUUCACUGAGGAAGAAGAGGAAACUAUCAUCAAGUUGCAUGAAAUGCUGGGAAAUAGGUAAUCACAGCACCAUGUUUGGAUCUUCAAAUUCUGAGAAAAAGAAUUGAUGAUCUUUUACUUUAUCUGGUCUUGAAAGAUUCUUGGAUUUUAGAUCUAAUUAAAUGAACCAAGAAAAUUAAUUAAACCAUUGGUAGACUGAUUAUUGCAAUUUUCCAAGUGAUAAGAAGAUUAAUUAUCCUCCAUUUUCCAGGUGGUCAGCAAUUGCAGCCAAAUUACCAGGAAGAACAGAUAACGAGAUUAAGAAUGUGUGGCACACCCACUUGAAGAAGAAGCUCAAACAAAAGCAAGAUUCUAAUAAUCAACAACUAUACGUGACAGUACCAAAAUGUGAAGAUCUCAGCAUCAGUAACCCAUCAGAAUCUGAGAAUUCCAAUAUCCCAGCUCUUCCAGGACAAUAUGAAAGUCCAGGGCAAUCAGCAAUGUCACCUCAGCCCUCUUCUAGUGAUCUCUCCACCGCAACCUACACUUCAGGUGCCACAGCCGAAACCGACGACGUCAAGGUCGAAACUAUGGACUCAUCGGAGAUAUAUUUCCCGGUGAUCGACCAAGAUUUCUGGUCAGAAGCAGAACUAAUUGACAGUUCCAGCAUGGAAUUGGCAUCAGAUAUGGUAGCAGCAUCAGGAUUUAAUGGCAACUGUCUAAGUAUUGAUGAUGAUAUGGAUUUCUGGUACGAUCUAUUUGUCAAAGCCGGAGACAUAGAGGAAUUACUAUAAUUUUUUUUUUUUGGAGACGCAAAUGAAUUUUUGAACAUCCAGGGGAAUCUUGCAAGAAUUUGACCGUUAACCUGGAAAACAAGAAUAUUCAAGUUUUCCAGGGUGGGCCAAAUUUGUCCAAAGCGCAGAAAAUAUACAUCAUUCAUUGACCAAGACAAUUAAGGGCAGAGAUGAAUUCUGACACAGAAGAAUUAAAGGGGAAGAAAUGAGGAGGUUGGACAAGUUUUGUAUAGUGAGUAUUAGAUAGAUUACCCAUUAAUUCUUACUUGCUCUUCACUGCAGAGACAUUUGAAUUGGCGUACACUUGCUCUCAGAUGUAUUCGUUGUUAAUCAAUCACCCUACUGCUUUGAAUUUUCAAUAAAAGCUAGCUGGAGCAGUUCUUUCAGAAACAGGGAAAAAAAAUAUCUCCUAAUAUGAUGCUGUUCGAUAAUCAAAGUUCUUAUUUUUGGCACUUCUUGAAAUUUGACAGGAGGAUGAGAAAGUAAAGGAUACAUCAUGAAUGUAUUUUAUUUUAUUUUUAUGAUUGAAAAUAUAUUUUAUUUUAUCACUUAUCUAAGUGAGUAUCAAGAUUAUGAGAGAUUAAAAGUAUUCUGCCAUUAAAGAAUAAGAGAGACAGAACAAAAAUAGAAAAGGGUUUUCUCUCUCAUUGCACAAAACAUAUAAAAGCAAAAUAUAUACAGGAGUGACACGAAGAAACGAUGUCUAUUGAGAAAGAGAUAAAAAACAACUCAGCAUAACCGAAAAAAAGUUUACAGCUAAUCAUAAAGGAAUAAAAGAAUAAUAAAAGACGAAAAAGGACUAACUAAUCAUAGAGAAGAAGAAGAAGAAGGCUAUCUAAUAAUUUUACAUCCCCUCCUCAAGUUGAGGCAUGGUAACAAUUAUGAAGGCCAACUUAGAAACCAAAGACUAAAAAAUAGGUGCACUAAGAGCUUUUGUGAAUGAAGCAGCUAUCUGGUUGCUGAAAGAUAUUUUCUGGGGAGAAAUAAACCUUUUUUGUAUUACUCCCUCACAAUGUGACAAUCAAUAUCUAAAUGCUUAGUCCUUUCGUGAAAGACUAGAUUAACUGUGAUGUGUAGGGCUGCUUGAUUAUCACAAUGCAAAAUUAUAAGAGCAAUGAUUGGUAUAUUGAAAUCUUGUAUGUAAUACCCGGCUAGACUCCGGUGUCGGAAUUCCAACCUUCUGACGGAAUCUUCGCUGGAAUCCGGAAUCUCAGAUACCAGAACUUCUGAAAGGGUAAAAUAUGUUUUUACAAAAUGUUUUUCAUGGUUUUAAUGCUAAGUUUUUAAGUUAAAGUUUUAAAAAUGAAAAGAAAAUGUUUUUGAGGGAUAAGCCCAGGUUCGGUUGCCGAACCUCAGGUUCGGUUGCCGAACCUCAUGUUCGGCCGCCGAACAUGGUGCUGCCGCGGGAGCUCUUUCGGCUCCCGAAAGUGGUCUGGCCAGCCACCUAUAAGAGGCCCCCAGUCCGAAAACGGGCGAGUUUUUUCUCCAUUUUCGGGCAAAGGUGAGUUCUUGCCCUCCCUUUGUUGAUUUUAUGAUUUUCCUUCAGAUCCUUCAAUGUUUUCACGAGUUUUCUCUUGUCUUUGAAGAUCUAAGCUUAAAUCCGAGUCUUGAAGCCUUGGAGACCGUUUGACUCAUCUCCACGUUGGAGUUGCUGUCACUCCUAGAUCUUCAAGAGGUAAGCCUGGAUCCUUGCCUCUCUUAUGUUUUUAAUUAAGUUUUAUGAAGGUUUAAGGGGUAGGAAUGCAUGUAAUGGUUGGAUCUAGAGCAAUAGGGUUUGAGUUGGGUUUUUGUUCAAUGUAUGCUUAUGUGAUAGUUUUAUAGUUGUUUGUUGGGGAUUUAGGCUAGUUUUUAUGCCCCUUAUGCUUGAUAAGUGUGUAUGCAUAUUUUGUGGGGAUGGGUAUGUGUUUUGGAGAGUUUUGGUGGCUGAAAUGCAUAGGGCAGAAUCGGGUUCUGCCAUUCUGGAGAACCCAGGUUCGGCCGCCGAAGGAGGGUUCGGCCGCCGAACCUGUCUGUGGAGGCAGCCUUUGGCCGCCUAACAUGCUCCCGAAAGAAUGGACUUUCGGAUCUGGAAGGGAGUUUCGAUCGCCGAACCUGCCCCCGAAGGUUGGUGACUUUCGAAUCUGUGGAGACCUUCGGCCGCCGAACCUGCCCCCGAAAGUGCCUGACUUUCGGAUCUGUAGGGACCUUCGGCCCUGAACCUGCUGCCGAAAGUCCCCUGCCCAGCCUUCUUUUGCUUGUUUCUAAUGCAUGUUUUAUGAUGUUUUAGGGGGUUUUUGGGGAGAUGUUUAGAGUCUUGAUAGAGUUAUGUUUGGUCCCUCAUUUGAGUCCACCUGUGUAGGUUUGGACCUGAGAGACCAUAGAAGCCAGCAGUAAGUUAGCUGCUCCUUUGUUAGUAAAGCGUCAGUCAGAGGUGAGUAGAACUAAACUAAUCUAUUGUUUUUAAAGUAAUCAAACUUUUAAGCAUGUUUAUGCAUCAUGAAUGCCAUGCUAUGUAAUAGGUUGUUGCAUUAGAAUUCAUAAAUUUGAUGCAUUGCAUAAUUUACUAUUGAUGUGGAUGGAUAUUGGAUGACCCACUAGCCCUCGAUAUGAUAUGAUAUGAUAUGAUACAGAAAGACCAGGCUUGCCCAUUCUACGCCCCUGGCACGAUGUAAGGGAAAGACUAGGGCUUGCCCAUUCUAUGCCCCUGGCACAGUUGGAUAUGUUAUGUUAUGUUUAAAAAUAAGUCCUGAGGAGCUCCGUCGAGGGCCGGACAUUAUUUGGAAUAUGUAGAGGGUUACUGGUGACAAGUCCAUCCUUGAUGUGUAUUGUUUGUGUUGUGAUGCAUUUCAUGCGAGCAUAUGUUUAUUUAAACUGUUUUUAUGGUUCUGCUCACUAGGUUCUUGUAGCUUAUCCCUUUCCCCUAACCCCAGGUUUGCAGGGUCAAGAUUAGCUCGGGAAGUUGGCUUGAGGCGGGUAUAGUUUAUGUAAUAGAUAGUAAUGGACAUGUAAUUUUUAAUGGAAUAGAUUUGUGCUUUGCCCUAGUUUAUGUUGUUAAUCCCAGUGAACAGGUUUUUAUGUAAAAGUUUUUAUUAUGAGUUAUGUUGAACCAAGCUUGAUGUAUGUGAUGUUGACCAUACUAGAGCAUUUGAUGAGGGCUCUAGUGUGGGUUUUAUGUAUACAGUUUAUGUUGAAUGCACAGGUCGAGCUUGGUAUAUGGAAAAGUUUAAAAUUUUUUAUGAAAAUGUAUGUUCAUGUAUGGGAUUUUAUCAGGUACACAGGAUGCAUAGUAGGCUUGCUACGGGUUCCGGUGACCUUAAGUCGACCUGAAUCCUAGCGCCGAUAGCGGUCCGGUUUUCGAAUCGUUACAUUGUAGAAUAUAACAAAUUCAUUGUAGUUCACAAACUAUUGAGGUCAUGGAUCGAUAUUCUGCUUUAGCUGAUGAUCUUGAAACUGUGGUCUGCUUUUUGGUUUUCUAGUGAACAACUGAAUUUCUUAGAAAAAUAUAAAAACCAGUUAAUGACUUUUUGCUAUUAACACAAGAAACCCAGUCUGAGUUCCAGAAGGUUUCUAAUUUUAUGUUGUUAUCUAUUGGAAAGUAGAGCCCUAAGGAAGGUCUUCCUUUCAAGUAUCUUAGAACAUAAAGAGCAUUCUUCCAAUGAUGAUGUUUAGGAUCAUGAACAUACUGGUUAAGCUGCUAAGUUGCAUGAGCAAUAUGUGGUCUGGUGUAUUCCAAAUACAACAUCCUGCCUACUAAUCUUCUAUAAGUAUGAGGAUCUUCUAACUUAAGGCCAUCAUCUUCAUGUAACUUAUGACCUUUCAUCAAGAGAGUUGCAACUGGUUUGCACCCCAUUAAAGCUGCAUCAUUGAUUAAGUCCAAGGCAUAUUUUAUUUGCUUAACACACAAACCAGUUGCAAACUUUAUUAUUUUCAAACCCAUGAAGUAUUUGGCCAACUACAUAUCCUUUAUAGUGAAUUUUCCAUUCAAAAAACUAUUUACCUUUUUAAUCUCUUCCUCUGAACUGCCUAUGAGCAGUACAUUAUCUACAUAGACUAGCAAAGCCAAAAAGACAUUGUGUUUGGACAUUAUAAACAAACAAUUAUCAUGACAUGAUUGUUUAAAUCUAUAUUUCUGUAGUUGAUUAGUAAGCUCUAUAUUCCAUUGUCUGGAAGCUUGUCUAACCCCAUAUAAUGACAUCUUUAGUUUGUAUACUUGCCCAGGUUUAGCCCUAUCAUCAUAAUCUUUUGGUAAUUCCAUGUAAACCUCUUCGUCUAAAUGCCCAUGUAAAAAGCAUUAUAUAUGUCUAGUUGAUGAAGAGACCAAUAUUUUGCAGCAACAAUGGUAAAAAAUAACCUAACAAUUACUACCUUAGCAAUAGGGGAGAAACUGUCAUUAAAGUCAAUACCUUCAACUUGGUUAUAGCCUUUUGCUACUAACCUUGCCUUGAAUCUAUCAAUGGAUCCNNNNNNNNNNNNNNNNNNNNNNNNNNNNNNNNNNNNNNNNNNNNNNNNNNNNNNNNNNNNNNNNNNNNNNNNNNNNNNNNNNNNNNNNNNNNNNNNNNNNNNNNNNNNNNNNNNNNNNNNNNNNNNNNNNNNNNNNNNNNNNNNNNNNNNNNNNNNNNNNNNNNNNNNNNNNNNNNNNNNNNNNNNNNNNNNNNNNNNNNNNNNNNNNNNNNNNNNNNNNNNNNNNNNNNNNNNNNNNNNNNNNNNNNNNNNNNNNNNNNNNNNNNNNNNNNNNNNNNNNNNNNNNNNNNNNNNNNNNNNNNNNNNNNNNNNNNNNNNNNNNNNNNNNNNNNNNNNNNNNNNNNNNNNNNNNNNNNNNNNNNNNNNNNNNNNNNNNNNNNNNNNNNNNNNNNNNNNNNNNNNNNNNNNNNNNNNNNNNNNNNNNNNNNNNNNNNNNNNNNNNNNNNNNNNNNNNNNNNNNNNNNNNNNNNNNNNNNNNNNNNNNNNNNNNNNNNNNNNNNNNNNNNNNNNNNNNNNNNNNNNNNNNNNNNNNNNNNNNNNNNNNNNNNNNNNNNNNNNNNNNNNNNNNNNNNNNNNNNNNNNNNNNAGAUAAAUUUGCAACAAAACUCAUAUGUGCAUCAGUAAAAUGUUUGGGUGUGAUGUAUGGAUAAGUGAGAGGUUUGCAUUUGGUUUCAAGUCUAAUACUUGUUGGAUUAAAGAUAUGAUGUGAGACAUUAUUAACUGUAGUAACAUAGUCAUUGAUCCAGCUAGGUAGUUUUCUGGUUCUAUUGCUAUGUCUAAUAGGGAUGGGUUCUGGAGUUGAUGAGGAAUGUUCAGGACUUUCUGAUAUUUUAUAAACUUCUUGAAUAUCGGUAUGAGGUGGAGUGUCAAGGGUAUCAUUAAUAUUUUUAGAUUCAUAAAUGAUAUUUUGAGUAUCAGAAAAAUGAGGAAAAGGCAAGAUAGGUUCUAAUUGAGCUGCAACAACAGUUUCUGUGGUUUUGAAAGGAUAAAUCUCUUCAUGAAAUCUAACAUCCCUAGACACAAUAAUCAUAAAGCUACCCAAAUCAUAAAGCUUGUAUCCCUUUUGCCCUGGUGAAUAGCCUAGAAAAAUGCAUCUGAUGGCUCUAGGUGUAAAUUUAUCCUUGUGAGGAUAGACAUUAGUUGCGAAAAAUAGACUGUCAAAGCACUUCAAAUCUUCAUACGUAUGUUCCCUUUCAUGUAGCAUUUCAUAAGGAGUCUUUAAAGACAGAGUUUGUGUGGGAAGCCUAUUUAAAAGAUAAACUGCAUGCAAAACAACUUCACUCCAGAACCUAAUGGGAGUAUUAGACUGAAACAUCAAGGCACUAGCCAACUGCAAUAUGUUCCUAUGCCUUCUUUCUACAACUCCAUUCUGUUAGGGAGAAUAAACACAACUUCUUUGAUGAAUAACCCCAAAAUCCUUUAAAACCUGUUGACAAUUCUCUCUUAUAAAUUCGAAACCAUUAUUUGAUCUAACAUACUUUAUAAUUUUCUCAAAAUGAUUCUUUAUUAUGACAAUAAAAUUUUUCAAUAUUGAAGCAGUCUGCAAUUUACUUUUCAUCAGGAAAACCCAGGUACAUUUGCUAUAAUCAUCCACUAAAGUCAAGCCUCCUGUCAUACUAGCAUACUUGUAGGGUCCUCAUAGAUCAAUAUGGAUUAAUUCAAAAAUAUCAGCGGUCUUACUGUUGCUAUAAGAAAAAAGGCAAUCUACUCUGCUUGGCAAGAGGACAAACUUCACAAUUAAUAGAAAUAUCAACUGCAUUCAUAGAGGGCAAAUAUUCAAGAACAAUAUUAGAAGGAUGUCCUAAUCUCUGAUGUCAAAUGUAAGCUUACACCAGAAAUCUUAUUUAUAAAAUUGACAUCAUUAGAGCCAGUACUCAAACCAAGUAAACUAUUGUGUCUAUGUAUAAUAUCACUCUUAUAUGAACUGGGAUCAAGUAUAUAUAAAUUCUCCUUCAACUUCCCCACUCUAAGAACCUUUUUAGUCUUAAGUCCUGAAAAACACACAACUCAGGGUAAAUAGUACACUUCAGGUAGUUUUUCUGUACUAAUCUACCAAUUGACAAUAAAUCAUGCUUGAAGCUAGAAAUGUAUAAUAUAUCUCUAAGAAUUAAGGAAUCAUGAAGCCUUACAUCUCCGUGCAGCUCAACCAAUUUGGUUGCAUUAUCAGGUAAAUGAACAAUGAUUUUUUUGGCUAAUAAUUUUAAGGUUGUAAGUAUAUUUUUGAAAGCAUAUAUAUGAUUAGUUACACCUGUAUCAACUAUCCAACAACUCACAAAGUUAUUUUGUUUAGAUUUUGUGAUAAAGCUACUUGCAAAGUUAGAAAUCUGAGCAAAGUUAACCUUCUCCGAAGUAAUCAUCUGCUUUUCCUUCAAAAUUAUGUUAAUUUUCUGCUGAAUCAGCUCUGUAAUGGUAGGUGAACACUGAUGUAGACUUUCUUUCAUCUCAUCAACUGUGUAUUCUUCAAUAGAGUUGCCUACCAUAUUGGCCUACCUUUUUCCAGUUGUUACCUUGUCAUUCUUUAAUUGCUUAUACCAAUCUGGAUAUCCAUGUAGGUUAAAACAUGUAUCCUUGGUAUGUCCCCCUGCGUUGCAAUAUUCACAUACUCUAUCUUCUUUCUUGUCUUUCUUCUUUGAGCCAAAUCCCUUAUACCCAUUUGACUGAGAGGCAUCAUGACACUACUAUCUGAAUUCUCUGUAAAGUUUAACUGCACAUUUUUCUGUUUUUCAACCCUUAAAAUCAUUGAGUAAGCCUUGUUAACAGAUGGUAAUGGAUCAAGAACUAAGAUCUAGUUUUUGACAUGGUCAUAACACUCAUUUAGACCCAUAAGAAAUUGAAUAAGUUUAGUUUGUAACAUUAUCUCAAUAAUCUCAUUUGAAACAUCACAAGUACAAGGACGCAUAGCUCCAAAUGUGCAUUAAGACAUUGGUUGAAGAACAUAUAAUUCUUCCCACAGUUUUUUAAGUUUGCUAUAAUAAGUAACCACAAUUGUGUUAUCUUGCUCCAUUGAGGAAAUUUGCCUUUGUAUCUAAUAAAUCUGUGGCCCAUUACUUUUACUAAAUUGCUCCUCCAGAUCUAGCCACAAUCUUUUUGCUGAAGUUGAGUAGAUGAAAGUCUCUGCAAUCUCCUUGGACAAUGAAUUAAUUAUACAGGAAGAGACCAUUUCAUCAACUCUUCUCCAUUUGCUCUUGUUUGGUUCAUCUUUGGGCUUUAGCAAAACACCAUUAAUAAAACUCAAUUUAUUUUUGGCAGCCAAGGGUCAUUUGAUAGACCUAUUCCAGGUCAAAUAACUGUGGUAUUAUAACUAAUGUCAUUGUAGGAUUAUCUGGGUUUAAUAUUGCUGCUCUCUCUCCGAUUGACGUUCGAGCUUGAUUAGUCUGUGUAUUAACUAUUUCUCCUUUAUUUACCGUCAAUAAUAAUAAUAAUAAAAAAGAUAAAUUUAAAGAACUUGUAGCUCUACUACUAUAUUAAGAUUAUGAGAAAUUAAAAGUAUUCUGUCAUGGAAGAAUAAAGGGAAUAUAAAAAAAUAAAAAAAGAUUUUCUCCUUUAUUACAUAAAGCAUAUAAAAAUAAAAUAUAUAUAAAAGUGGUACGAAAUAAGCAUACUUGUUGAGAAAAGAUAAAAAGCAGCUCAGUAUAAUUAAAAAAAAAAAAAAACUUUACAGCUAAUUCUAAAAAAAUAAAAUAAAAAUAAAAAACGAAAAAAUAUCGAUUAAUUAGAGAGAAAAGAAGAAGAUUGACUAUCUAAUAAUUUUAGAGUGGGCAUCCAAAAUAUAAACUUAGUGGAUGUACUUCAUUAAUUGGACAAAAUUUGGAAUUUCCACCAACUAGAAAAAAGCCAUCAAAAUUUAGAAUAGAGAAUAGUAGAGAAUUGUUGUUAGUCUCUAUGACUCUUUCUUGCUGACGUCUAUAUUCAAAUGUCAUCACAAAUCAGCUCGAACUCACACGGUAUCUACACUUGAAUUUACCUCUCAAAAAUAUUAUUAAAAAAUAAUUUGAAAAUUUGUAAUCUCGUUUUAAUAUUUUAUCAAUAAUAUAUAUUACAUUUAUUUUAAAAAUAUUUUAAAAUUAUUUGAUAAUUAAUGACGUAAUAAGGACGUCAAAAUCGAAUUUGACAAUGACUGCACACGACAUUAAGAUCAAAAUUUGAAGUGUCUUUUAAGUAGACGAGUAAUAGUACUUCAUCACAAACUUAAUUUACCAUUCCUCUUGACUUCUCUUAAUUGCUUUUUAUUUUCCACCUUCAAUUUGGAAAUUUCCUACAUUUAUACUUAAUUGAUUCAUAUAAUUACACUCCCACUAAUACUGUUUGUGGAACUAAAUAAGUUUUUCAUAUUAUAAAUUUGUAAUUUUUAUAUUUCUAAACCAAAAUUUUCAUUAAAUUUCAGUAUCUUUUAAGUUGUUAUUAAUUUUAUAUGAAUAUAGAGAUGUUUAUUUCUCCAUUUAUCUUUAAAAUUAUAAAUCACCGCUUGUUAAUUGAUGGAAUUUAUUUAUUUAUUUAUUAUUUGGUGUUUAUUAUGAUUAAAAGGUCUUAAAAUCUAGCAAUACGUGUGCAGUAUAGAUAUUUUAUUAAAUGCAAUCAUUAUAUACUUAUUUUUUUUUGUAAAUUUAUUUAUUUAUUUUAUUAUUUUUUGAAAAAUGCUUAAACCAGUCUUUUUAUAUUUAUAAAAUUUAUUAUAUACAUAGCAAAAAGACAAACUAAGCUUAAUUAUUAAAAGGUAAAUUAUCUCUGGCUACAAAAUUAAAAUGUUACAAGUUUAUUUAGGAUAAUGAAUAAGGAAUUGAUACCCCUUAAUCAAACAAAUGAAUAAUUCAUUGGUAUCAUAAACAAGGAUUUGAUUUGGGCGAAUACGUGAUCCGAUCUUCAAAUCUAAGAAUCUUUCUAGAUUUUUAUUUUAUUUUCUUCUUCUUUUUUUAUUACUGGAGUCUCCCUUCAAACUAUGAGCCUGUACUUCAACAAAGAUACAAGUAAUCCCCCCUUCAAAUAAAUCAAAAUCUCCAAUGGAGUGGUUGAACCGGCAGGGAGCUAAUAAAUUUUAUUUAAUGACCACUUGUUUUCAUUUCUUUUGGUCUUGUUUAUGUCUUUGUUUCUAAACUUUAAUAUUGUCUUUUAUAUGCUAAUUUUUUGUUCAUUCAUCAUGAAUCGUAGGUCACCUCUUUUUUUUUUUUUUUAGAAAAAAAAAAGAGUAUUGAAAAAAUAAAAUUAAUUUCCAAAUAAUUUAGUAAUAUACAUUAUUUAAGUUUUAAAAAUAGCAAUAUAAAUGGGAUACAUUUAAAAAAUAGUAAAUAAAUUUUCUUGCAUUAACUACAGUAAUUAUAUGUGGAAAUUUAAAUAAGUCCACCUUUUAGAAAGAAGGGGGUCCAUUGGAUCAAUAUAAAAGACUAUGCCCUUAAAAUCAUCUAAAAAUGUCCUAUUUCAAUAUUACAUAAUGGCACAAUGAGUAGCCAUUAAUUAACAACCUAAUCCACUAUUGAAGCGACAUUAUUUAGAGAAAAAAGAAGAAUAUAGUAAAUUGUAUAGAAAAAGUUUUAAAUAAUCUAGUAAUAUCCUUGCAAGUGCAACCAUAUAUAAUCUACAGAAUUAGAGGGGAAUCAAACCCCAAAGCAGUUCCCACCUUCGCUAAUACGUCCAAGCAUUAACAAACUUGGACCAAUGACUUUAACUAAUUAAUUAUGUUCUUGAUACAGCACUGUUAAGUCUAAAUUAGGGGAACCAAUCCAAAAAUGAAAAGUACCGUAAUACAGUGAAAAGUUUCCGGGGUCCAUAGUCUUGGUAAAACAGCUUUGCACCAACGCUGCAUCAGACUCUCCUUACGAUACUUUUACACCAACGAGGUCUACUGUCGGCAUUCGAGGAAAGAUGUUUGGAUUCACGUUCAGCUUCCUGGAUAUUUCGUCUGUCAUUUUAUUUACAACAACCCAGAAUUGAUCAUCAUAACUUCAACUCCAUCUUUGAUUAUUGACUCAAGUUUACAAGCGAAAGGAAGCUGAAGAUGCCGAAAGGAAUCUGAUUUCCAAAUUCCCUGCAUUUAGAUGCGGCCGUCGCAACAGCAACAGAUGCGAUGCCUUUGCUCUUCAGUCCAUAUAUAUGAAAUGCAAGCCUAAAGCAAUCAUCAAUCUUGUGAGUUGUUUAUACUCGUUACUGUUUUCUUUUGUUUUUUACAUCAAUCCUGUUAAUAGGCAGACAGAUGAUCAGCUGAACAAAUUCAGUCCCUCGCCACGUACAAAAAUAGACACGACAACAGAGCCCGCCCGCUUAAAUCCAGGGUAGAGAGGCGUCAACAACGACAUGGAACCCCAAAAGUACUUUUUGCAACUUGUAUAUCCACAAUUUUGCAGUUUACACUCGAUCGACUCAAGCAAUCUCUCAACAAAGAUCAAUGUCCCUAACAGAAAAAGGUGUCGGGAGAAAAUCCCCGAAUGACUGGAGGACACAAAAGCAGCUUCAUCACCUGUAUAAAUCACCUUCAAAUUCAACGCCGAAGUAGAACUCCAGGUGGAAAGCAGAUGACUACACCAUCGGGUAACCCCAGAAACCAUCUGCACCACUAGUCUAUCUUAGGCUGCAACCCAGUUUUAAGCUCAUAGAAGUUAAACUCCAUAACCAAACAAAUAAAACGACCUCCACAAAACUGUGAUUGCGAGUCCUCAUACAUUACCCAUAUCACACGUGCAAGUAAGAAAUCAAACGCCACAAAUUUUGAACUCCAGAUUCAGCAUUUUAAGAAACUGAAGAACAAAAUAACUGAACGAUUUAAGCAAAUGUUAAAAUCUUAAUCCGUUAAGUUAUAAAAAUACAUAACAUCAUCAUAUCAGAUGACAGGUAUAACAAAAUGAGAUCCAAAAUACAGUUUCUCCAUCAAUGAUGGUUCCUCCAAAACUUCAAUGGCUUUAUUCAAAACUGUAACUAUGCCUCCUGCAACAAAAGAUGAGGCCUACCUACUACAGACCAGUGAUAGCAUUUAUGAGAGACAUGAAUAAGCAAGGGCCUUCUCCUCAGAAAGCUCAUCUGCUGUCAAGUCCAACUUCUUCCUCGAAAAUUCAUCAAUAUGAAGUCCUAGACCACACAAGAGAAAGGGGGCAAAAGUUAAAACUUUAAUCAAGCAUCACAAGUUCCUUAUAUAAAUUAUUACAAAUUUCCACGAAAAUCAACAAAUCGUAAUUGCAGCAAUAGAUACACAGUAGAGAGUAUAACUCUUAGCAAAUUACGUCAAAUAAUUUAAUCAAGAAAACAUGUGCCAAAAAAAAUAACAAAAUCCUACAGACACAAGGGAACACAUUGCAACUAAAUGGCUAUAACUAUGUCACAGGUUAAUGUAAUAUGGAAAUAUCUAAACACCUAUCAUGAUGCCAUUUACAGUAUUCUUACCCUGAACAAUUUUCCAUUCUCCAUUUUGGCAUGUGACUGGGAAAGAAUAAAUCAGCCCAGCUGGUACAUUGUAUGAGCCAUCAGAGUACACACCCAUGGAAACCCAUGUGCCCUACAAGCAAGUAAAAAAUAAUAGAAGUGAAGAUAACAGCCAAUGCAGACAGAAUAACCCUGAAGAACAAAGAAACAUUGUCAAACCUCAGGAGUUCCAAGAACCCAAUCACGAAUGUGAUCACAAGCAGAACUAGCAGCAGAUAAUGCACUUGAAAACUUCCGCGCUUUGAUAAUUGCAGCUCCACGUUGUUGGACUGUAGUGAUGAACUCAGCAUUCAACCUUCAACAAAAAAAAAAAAAAGACAUUUAGAAAAGCUUGAAAUUUUCACCAAAUACAUCAGUUACAGCACCACAGAAAAUACAGUUGCUAAUACCAUUCGUCAUCUUUAACUAGCUCCCGGACAGGCUUCUCCCCAGAUGGAGUUUUAACAGUAGCAUGGUUGACAUCAGGGUAUUGAGUUGAUGAAUGAUUUCCCCAAAUUAUCACAUUCUUAACAUCAGAGACUUGGACAUUCAAUCUCUCUGAGAUUUGACCAAGUGCCCUGUUAUGAUCCAGUCUUGUCAAGCAAGUAAUAUUUUUCUCAGGGACAGAAGGAGCAAAUUCCUUCAAAAUCAACGCAUUUGUGUUUGCUGGAUUGGCAACAACCAGAACCUGGGUGGCAAAGGAAGCAGCAAAAAUUAGAAGAUAUUCAAACAAGUUAAAAGUAAGCAUUUCAAAAAUAUCUAACACUAACUGUAUAACACAAUUUACGUUUUAGUUUUUUUAGAAAAUUAAAUUCUACUGUUUGAUUGGAAUAUAGAAAAUUUAGCUAGAAAUUAAUUUAUAACAUUUAAAAUACAUUAGAAAAAUAAAUUUUGUUUGAAUAAAUAACACUGAAAAUGUUUUAGACUUGCAAAGUUUUCUUACUCUUUAAUAUAGUUCAAUAUGAAAGAAAACUAUAAAUAAAUAAAUAAAAGAGAAUAGAAAAGAAAAAAAAGAAAAGUAAUUAGACACUGACCACCAGUAACCUGUGACAGGUUAGCAAUGGCCAAAGAUGAUUGAACGUGGUUAAAGGACCAACAGGCCUCUACCAACAAGGUCACACAGUACAUUACUUUACUUUCUUAUGAGUUUGUGAUGGUGCAAGAGAUAACUUCCCAUUUUGCAAACAACAAAUAAUCUCCUUUGAAACUAUCUUCAUUUUCUUUUAACCAGAAGGACAUUCCUUAUUGAUCAAUUUUCUACAUGCCCCAAACGCUAACUGUGGAUUUUUUUUUUUUAACUAAUACAUUUCCCAUAAACAAAGUCGGCCUAAAUUCAUAAAUGGUAUUUCACAUCACUUUUAGAUUUCCAAGAGAAUUGAUAACAUCUCAAAACAUUUCAAUUUCUUCCUCUAUUUAGAAGUAUGAUUUUGUUCAAAUUGAAUUGCUAUAGAACAAUCCACUGUAAAAUAAUGUCCAAAUAGACAGACAAUAUUUUUUUAUUGAUAUAAUUGUAUUCACCUUGCAAUUUGCAGCUGCAUGCUUCUCUAAAGCUGAAGCCUGGGACUUGUAAAUUGACACAUUUUUCGACAUCACAUCUUUUCUCUCCAUUCCUUCUUUCCUAGGGAAGCCCCC
rnacentral:lncRNA from 1 species